GAUACAGAAACAUAAAACUCUCUAAAGCAUAGAACACGCAACUAGUGCGAAGCUUGUAACGUUUUCGAUUCAUAGUGAUAUAGAGUUUGUCUCCGGUUUGGAGAGGACUCGCCCAACAUAUUGUUGUGUCGAUUUACUUGUUACAAGAAACAGCCAAGGUCGUUUCUCUACAAGUGGUAUCAGAGCUUAGGCUAACAGAGAUCCUAGUUACAGAGAUUCGAGGGCAAGAUUCAAUAAACAAGCAAGGAGAAUUCUUAUCUGGUGCGGAGAAGAAGACUCAGCUCGUUGGUGAUUGAAGCUUGAAGACUACGGCGUGUUACAGCAACCUGCAAACAAAGGAAAAUAAGUUUACGGGUUAUAGGAGAGAUGGAAGCAAUUUCAAAGAAAUUUGAAGUGGAAAAAUUCGAUGGCAAAGGUGAUUUUGGUCUAUGGAAAUAUAAGAUGCUGUGUCAGCUAGAGAUCUUUGGUUUGGGGUCUGUUCUUAAGGAGAAAACUCCUUCUACGGAUGUUGAAGGUGAAGAACAGAAAGAUGAAAAACCUGAUCCUAAGGAGCAAGACCGGGAAUUGCGUACAAAGAAUCUGAUCAGUUUGUGUCUAUCUGACCUUAUUCUGCGCAAGGUUAUGCAAGAGCCUACAGCACUGGCUAUGUGGAAAGCUCUAGAAGCUGAGUAUCAGACCAAGACAUUACCAAAUCGAAUCUACAUGAAGCAGAGAUAUGCAGGUUUUAGAAUGGAAGAGCACAAGUCCAUUGAGGAAAAUAUGGAUGUGUUUCUGAAACUUGUGGCUGAUCUAGCAAGUCUGGAUAUUAAGAUCAGUGAAGAAGAUCAAGCAAUUCAGAUCUUAACCAGCUUGCCAAAGCAAUACGAGUCUCUCGUUGAUGCAUUAAAAUACGGCAGCGGCAAAGAAAUUUUAACGGUUCGUGAUGUUACAAGCUCAGCUUAUUCUAAGGAAGUAGAAUUAAGAGAGAAGGGACUUCUCAACAAGUCCAAAGGUAACUCGGAGGGGCUAUUUGCUGGCGACAACAGAGGCAGAGGGGAGAAGAAGAGCGAUAAAACUUGGAGAGCUAGAUCUAAAAGCAAUAACAGAUCAAAAUCAAGACCUAAGUUCUCUAAAGAAUGUUGGACGUGUGGCAAGGAAGGACAUUUUAAAAAGCAGUGUCCAGAAAGAAAGAAGCCAUCAAAUUCGGUCAACAUAGCAGAAGAGAAGGAGGAACCAUUGGUAUUAGUGGCUAGCCAGCAAGCUACUAAGGACGAGUGGGUACUUGAUUCUGGCUGUACAUUCCAUAUCACUCCAAAUAAAGAUGUCUUAUUUGACCUUGAAGACAUAGAAGGAGGAAAGGUUUUGAUGGGAAAUAAUUCUAUCAGCGAGAUUAAAGGGAUCGGGAAGAUCAGGAUCAUGAAUAAUGAUGGAUCGAGCGUGAUUCUCAGUGAUGUUCGUUACAUGCCUACAAUGGGCAGAAACCUUAUCUCCUACGGUUUAUUGGAGAAGAUGGGAUGCAGAUACGAAGGCAAAGACUUCAUGGUGCAGUUUUACAAAGGAGAUAAGAAGGUUAUUUCUGGAAAAUACUGUGAUGGUCUGUACUACUUACAAGGGACAGUAUUGGAUGGUGAAGCUGCAGUCGCAAGGCCUGAUAUCGAUUUGACUAAAAGGUGGCACUCUAGGCUUGGACAUAUGAGUCUAAAGGGCAUGAAUAUUUUAGUUAAGGACGGAUAUUUAAACGCAAAGGAUGUGAAGACGUUAGAGUUUUGCGAGAAUUGCGUUUUGGGCAAAGCACACAAGCUAAGCUUUCCAAAAGGCAAGCACACGACUAAGGAAGUCCUAGAGUACAUCCAUUCAGAUUUAUGGGGUUCACCUUCGGUGGUAGAGAGUCUCGGAGGAUGUUUCUACUUUGUUACAUUCAUUGAUGAUUUUUCUAGGAAAGUUUGGAUCUAUUUCCUAAAAUCAAAAAAUGAAGUGUUUCAAAACUUCAAGGAAUGGAAAACAUGCGUGGAAACUGAGACAGGAAAGAAGGUGAAGUGUCUUAGGACGGAUAACGGAUUAGAGUUCUGCAAUACACAGAUGGACACAUUGUGUAAGGAAGCAGGGAUUAAAAGACACAGAACAUGCGUCUAUACUCCACAGCAAAACGGAGUAUCAGAACGCAUGAACCGUACGAUUAUGGAGAAGGUGAGAUGUAUGUUGACAGAGGCAGGCUUAGAGCAAAAGUUCUGGGCGGAAGCAGCUUCUACAGCUGUCUACUUAAUCAACCGAUCUCCCAGUACAGCUAUUAACUUCAAACUACCGGCAGAGGUGUGGUCUGGAACCAAAACAGACUUAAAUCAUCUAAGGAAGUUCGGGUGUACAGCUUAUGUUCACGUGACUCAAGUCAAAACCAGUCCAAGAGCGAUGAAAGGAGUUUUCAUGGGAUAUCCAGACGGGACUAAAGGUUAUCGAGUUUGGUUACCAGAAGAACUAAGAUGUACAGUGAGCAGAAACGUGAUUUUCAAUGAGGAAGAGAUGUUUAAAGACAUUAAAGGAGUCAGCGAGAAGAAAAGAAAAACGAAAAAUGUAACGUUCAAUCCUGUGCUGAUUCAAGGACCUUCAAACACAACUACAGACACUGAAACAGAGGAUACAGUUCAAGGUGGAGUUUCUCCAGCAUCAGAAAACUCGGAACCUGAAUCUUCAAGCUCAGAAAGCGAAGAAGAAGUUGUGGGAACUCAACAGGAAAAUCUAGACAACUACAUUCUUGCUAGAGAUAGAAUCAGGAGAGAAGUAAAGAAACCUUCUAGGUUUGAUGAUUCAGAUUGCGUGGCUUAUGCUCUAGCUACAGCAGAAGAAAUAAAUAAGGAUGAGCCGAAAUCCUAUUUGGAAGCAAGAAGGAGUAAGAGCUGGAAGUUGUUGGGGUCAAAAUCGGUCACGACGGAAUCAAUGUCUGAAAGUCCGUAAAAAUCAGCAUAACCGUUUUUACGAAAAGUAAUCUUCGUAAAGAUAUCUUUACGAACAGCCUUGCAGUAAAAUAUCGUCCAAAUCUCAAUCGAACCACUAAAUACCGAUUGUCCGAAGGCAACGGACAUGUAUCCAAAUCGGCCGCGGACAAGCUCGAGUAUGGAAAUCAGACCGCGGACAAGCCAAGCUCGAUCGAUACGCGGCAACCAAGCAUGCACACAGCUCGGUCGCUACGUAGCGACCGAGCUCGAGCCAAGCUCGGUCGCUACAUAGCGACCGAGCAUCCGUCUCGCUCGGUCGCUACGUAGCGACCGAGCGAUCGUCCCGCUCGGUCGCUACGUAGCGACCGAGCUCGAGCCAAAGCUCGGUCGCUACGUAGCGACCGAGCGAUCGUCCCGCUCGGUCGCUACGUAGCGACCGAGCUCAGCCAAGCUCGGUCGCUACGUAGCGACCGAGCGCUCGUCCCGCUCGGUCGCUACGAAGCGACCGGGCUCGAGCCAAAGUUCGGUCGCUGUGUAGCGAUUGAACCUUUCCGAAUGUCAAUACGACACCAGUUCUUGCAUUCUCGUCAAAACCUUCGAAUGCUAUCUCCCGAAGACCGUAGCAAGCUCAGUCCAUGUUUCCCGCCAUUCUAAUUCAUCGAUCAAACUUCGCGGAUUAGAAACCGCGGAAAACUCGUAGUAAACGUGUCGAGUCGGAAGACGGCCCAAAGGGACCUAAAACACGACUCGAGGCCCAUCCUACGAUUUUCCUAAUCAAAAGCCCGUAAACCACAGCCUGGUUUACGCUUGGUCUACAAGGAAGGAUAAAUGUCAAGUUUCCGCGGAUAAAUACGGAAGUUUUGAAGAUAAUUGUGAAGAUCGGGAAAAAUGAAAUAUCUCCAUUUUUAUGCUAUGACGGCUUAAGGGCAGAAGAGUAAAAGCGUAAACCGACCUUGGAGCUAGUAUAUAAGGAGUCCUAGGCGAGGAGCAAGAGGGAGAACUUUUUAGAUUCGGAAUUCUCUGCACUUAGAAACUUUAGGCUUAUUCUCGACAAGUUCGGUUUCUAUGACUGGCACUCAAUUACUAGACGAAUUCGCCCAGGCAGUUCGAUCUCUUGUCCAGCUCUAUCAAUUGAACUACGUUCGGCUUGAUCCUCGAAAGGGGUACGUAGGCAGCCUUUAACAAGGUUCAGUCCGAAAUCAAUCUAAGCCUUUUAGAUAUCUUUUUCGUCCUUUGUUAUCGAGCUGCGACUCAACUAGGAUUAGGGUUUUAUGUUGCUAGAACUAGGUAACUCGCUGACGGCCCCUGCGGCCAAAGCCUUUGUAUUCUCUUGUAAUGAUCGCAACGCUCUUACGCGGACUCGAAAUAAGAUCUACUGUUUUCUCUAAACUCGUUUGUUAUCUUUUCAUGAUUUCCGCAUAUAUUCGAUCACUUGUCGUUGGCUCUCGCAGAGAUCCGGGACCUCUGGGAAAUUAGGGUUUUCCUAGUUUCCUUAUUUAAACGGAAAUCGACAGUGCGAAUUUCGGUUCCCACAGUUUGGCGCUAGAAGGAGGGGGGGUUACGGAUUACUCUUACUCAUGGCCACAAAACGCUUGAUCGAAACGAUGUUUGGAUAUAUGAAAGACAAACUCGCAGCACUGACUGCUCCUAUGGCCAACGCUUACGCAAACGCCGUAGUUUUCAACAAAAUCGAAAACUUAGUCGCGACCUUCCGCCACAGGAAGAGCACUAAAACAAGCUCGCGAUUCCUCCCUGUAAACAAGAAGGGAAACGAUAAAUCUUAUCAAAACCCCGUAAACAAAUCUCGAUGCAUAAGGGUUUUACCAAAACACGUUUUCCGAAAACAUUUCGGAAGGAUAAAACUUGUUCUCCCAAAAAAACCGCUGAAAAACCCCUACGUUAAUCGCGGAAAAAGGAAACACAACAAAACGAUUACACAGCUCGGUCGCUACGUAGCGACCGAGCACGCACACUGCUCGGUCGUUACGUAGCGACCGAGCACGCACACGCUGCUCGGUCGCUACGUAGCGACCGAACACACACGCUGCUCGGUCGCUACGUAGCGACCAAGCUCAUACGCUGCUCGGUCGCUACGUAGCGACCGAGCACUCACACGGCUUGGUCGCUACGUAGCGACCGAGCAUGCACGCUGCUCGGUCGCUACGUAGCGACCGAGCACACACGCUGCUCGGUCGCUACGUAGCGACCGAGCACGAACACGCUGCUCGGUCGCUACGUAGCGACCGAGCACGCACACUGCUCGGUCGCUACGUAGCGACCGAGCACGCACACGCUGGUCGGUCGCUACGUAGCGACCGAGCACACACACUGCUCGGUCGCUACGUAGUGACCAAGCUCAAGCCAACUCUCCACUCGCUACAUAGCGACCUGUAAGGCCUCAGAAAGGUCCUCCUUUGGGUUCUCUUUUGAAUCCUCGUCGAAACGCUUUUCGUUUCGUCUCAAUCGGAGUUUCCGUUGAGAUUUUACGACGAACACAAGUGGGAAUCUUCUCGGCUUGCUUCCACUCGCUACGUAGCGACCUGUCAGACUGUCAGUCGCUACGUAGCGACCUGUAAGGCCUCAGAAAGGUCCUUCUUUGGGUUCUCUUUUGAAUCCUCGUCGAAACGCUUUUCGUUUCGUCUCAAUCGGAGUUUCCGUUGAGAUUUUACGACGAACACAAGUGGGAUUCUUCUCGGCUUGCUUCCACUCGCUACGUAGCGACCUGUCAGACUGUCAGUCGCUACGUAGCGACCUGUAAGGCCUCAGAAAGGUCCUUCUUUGGGUUCUCUUUUGAAUCCUCGUCGAAACGCUUUUCGUUUCGUCUCAAUCGGAGUUUCCGUUGAGAUUUUACGACGAAAACAAGUAGGACGCUUCUCGGCUUGCUUCCAUUCGCUACUUAGCGACCUGUCAGACUGUCAGUCGCUACGUAGCGACCUGUAAGUCCUCAAAGGGUUCUUCCUUUGCGUUCUCCUUUGAAUCCUCUUCGAAAUGCUUUUUGUUUCGUCUCAAUCGGAGUUUCCGUUGAGAUUUUACGACAAAAACAAGUAGGACGCUUCUUGGCUUGCUUCCAUUCGCUACGUAGCGACCUGUGAGACUGUCAAUCGCUACGUAGCGACCUGUGAGUCCUCAAAGGGUUCUUCCUUUGCGUUCUCCUUUGAAUCCUCUUCAAAAUGCUUUUCGUUUCGUUUCAAUCGGAGUUUCCGUUGAGAUUUUACGACGAAAACAAGUGGGACUCGUCUCGGCUCCCUUCCACUCGCUAUAGCGACCGAGAUGACAUCCUCACUCGCUAUAGCAACCUGUCAGGCCUCAAAGGGGUCCUCCUUUGCGUUCUCCUUUGAAUUCUCAUCGAAACGCUUUUGGUUUCGUCUCAAUCGGAGUUUCCGUUGAGAUUUUACGACAAAAACAAGUAAACCUCAUCCUAAACUCCUUGGCUUGUUUCUGCUCACCCUACCUCCAUCUUUGCGUUCACUUUCGAAUCUCGAUCGAAACGUCUCUUGUUUCGCCUCGAUUGAAGUUACCAUUGAGACUUUACGAUAUAAAAAAAAAAAAAAACCGCAAAGACCUAUUUUCUCGCAUGGAUUCAGAUUAAUCGUAUAAAACGGCAAUGGUUAACUUAACACCUUAGCCGCCUUAACUAUACGAUUACGUUGGACCUUUUUACAAAAAUCGACGUCUUAUCUAAGGAGAAGAUAACAGUCAAGUUCGGAAGAUAAAUGUCAAGUUUCAAAGGGUAAACACCAAUAUCGGAAAUGGCGAACAUACACGAGAAUAGGAAACGGAAAUGAGCACGCAAAACUGAGAAGGGAUAAAACUGCAUCUUCGAGAGAACUAAGGUAUUUUCGACUUGAAAUUUUUGAAAUCAGACUUGGAAUUUUCGUAGGAAAUUACUUUGAGGCUGCCAUAGAACUUUAGGGAACGUAAAACCUAGGCGGAUAGUCUAGCGAACUAAGUUUUAAGCGAUUUUUCCUGUCUCGAUAUAUUGUCCCAUAAUUGUUCAUCCAAAUCUUGCAAACCGAUCUAAACUCUCCGAAAGUCGAGAAAUGAUCGCCACGCAUAUCAAGCUCGCUUCCUAAAGAGAGAAAAAGUUAGAGACAUGAACGUCGUCUUAAAACCGAUUCGUUUCUGGCAAUUUUCUCGGAACCGACAUAUCCCAAGUCGUCAACGUGGAAACAACCAAAUCACAGUCCAAGCGUCGUCUAUAAAUCGUCCCGAAUUAUCGAUCAUUCCAAACAUCAGGAGAGGAAACGUACACAACCCUUCAAAGUAUCGGUUCAACCGUUUUUCUUUCGUAAAAAAAAAAGGGGAGUAGGUACGUAUACUAUACUCGUAUACUCCCAAACUUCAAAAAACUUCUGCAAAUCGUCAAGAAUAGGCAAACGACAAUCUUAAUAUUCGUCUAAACGCUAGCAACAUAUCCAGACGAUCAUGAACAUAAUCUCAAAAACUAUACAUCAUUUCUUGUCGCAAUCAUGCGUACAGAAAACUUGUACCAAUAUCAAACUGAAACUCGACGAUUAGCCAAAGUAUUGAAGCCUUUUCCGGCUUCAGAAAGCCAGUUUCGUUUUAAACUUAGCGGCGAGAAAUCUUCAAUCACCAAAGCAUUUCUUUCAGUUUCCGUUGUACCAAGUAAGUCACGGAAAAGUAUCGAAAACAUUUGCGACGAAGAAAACUCGAGAAUAUAUGUAGCAUCGUGCACAUUAAAAGAAGCACUUUCCUCCCGAUGGUUAGCUAGAUCCACUUCUGGUUGACCAAUUCUUUCAAGAAACAAAUGUGUCAUGAGAAUCCUCUCGAAAAACCUAUGAAAAACGUUCUGCGACUAGAUCGUAUUGAAAUAAACUUCGGUAAUACUCCAUGGGUAACGCCAAGCAACCUUCACCUAAGAUCAAAAUCAAAGCGGGAACGUUUCUCGUAGAACCCGCAGAAACAAUGCUACUUUGACAUAUGUAUACAUAUCACUGAUUUACGACCUUCGUAAAAUCGGUUAUAUGAUAUGAUAAAUUAUCGUAUAGCCCACAAUCGGAAAUCAUAUGAUAAAUUCUUCAUAACGAAACUAAGUCCUAACAACUAAACGGUUAACGGAAAAUCUAAACUUUUCGAAAAUUGACCAAGUUCAAUACGCUCCACAAUUCACUUUAAGCCCGCAACGUUUUAACCACAAUACGCGGCAUGUAAGGAAAAAUUCGUAACAAAGCUUCUAGAGCUAUAUGAAACAUCCUAAAAAAUGCACGAAAUACAUCUCGGAAGGCCAACUCUUCACAAAGCACAAUGAAGGAAAACACUUGUUCCCAUGGACAAAUUUACACGACACCUCAGUCAUAAUUCCUCGAUCGCAAACAAAACUAUUAGCAUCCGAACAGGAACAACAAUUUUUGGCUGCGAACAUUCUUAGUCAAACCAGAAUGUUUCUCAAACACAGGGCUAAUACUAAACCCUCGCAACAUCGCGAAAUAUCUUCAAAGCCCGCGAACAUUUCAAGCACGAAACGUGGCAUACGAAAGAAUAACAAAUCUUCAGCAUCGCGAGACGUCGCGGACGCCUGAAGAUUAGUUCUUCGACGAAAUUUCCUUCCUCGAUAAAAACACCUUCAUGGAAGACCAGACAGUCAUACGCACUAACAUCUUCUCAAAACAUAUUCUUCGCGAAGACUCAAAAUAGUAAUUUUUACCAUUAAGUUUGUUGCUGAUCACAACAAACUCUUAACGUCCUAAACAGACUUAGCCAUCUCGUAGAAGAUGACUCUCUUACAUCCGACACAAGGAUAAUAGCGCUAUAAAAGAAAUCCGAAAAUUUUGGUCCAGCACUUCCGGUCUCCGGAGAGAUGCUCGAUUCCAACCAUACAAGUCGUAUAAGCCGAGAACCUAUCGCGGACUUUAAAUCGGUAUGGAAUCAGGAUGAAACUGAAACGGGAUACGUAAGUCGAAUUAGUCAUCGCACCCUCUAAAACCAGGAGUAAACCUAGGUCUUGCCCUAAACCCAGCGCACUGGUCUCUAACAUCUCUAGGCAUAGUAUCAAACACCCUGAUACGAGAUCCCAAAAUUUGUCUCUUUGCCAAUAUUCGAACGUCUUCAGAAAAUCCCGCAAGUUUACACACUGCGGAAAACUCUCGAAACAGAUUAUGGAUAUGGCAAUUCACACAGAGUUAGAUUACGAGACGACAACUCGUAGUCUUCCCUCUACACCCAUACAAAUGCCAUCGGCAGCAACACGCCUUAUAACCGCUACAUAAAAACUAGACCAUAAAGGUCCUACUGGAAAACUAGUCAUAAGAACCUUAACUCCAAGAUGAACUACGAAAGGCUUGAUCCCUUCAACAAGGGUACGUAGGCAGCCGUCAUAAGGCGCAGCCCCAAUCUUAUCGCGUUUUCUACUUUUAGGAGAGCGAGAAGAUCACUUACCACAGACCUUUUCAACCAUUAAUUCCGCCUAACUCACCUACCUUGCCUAACUUGCCAAGCCACUCGCUAGAACCUCACGCUAGAAGCUCAUGAUUCUAACGAGCUGGGGGGCUAACUGUUGGGGUCAAAAUCGGUCACGACGGAAUCAAUGUCUGAAAGUCCGUAAAAAUCAGCAUAACCGUUUUUACGAAAAGUAAUCUUCGUAAAGAUAUCUUUACGAACAGCCUUGCAGUAAAAUAUCGUCCAAAUCUCAAUCGAACCACUAAAUACCGAUUGUCCGAAGGCAACGGACAUGUAUCCAAAUCGGCCGCGGACAAGCUCGAGUAUGGAAAUCAGACCGCGGACAAGCCAAGCUCGACCGAUACGCGGCAACCAAGCAUGCACACAGCUCGGUCGCUACGUAGCGACCGAGCUCGAGCCAAGCUCGGUCGCUACGUAGCGACCGAGCCCAGCCAAGCUCGGUCGCUACGUAGCGACCGAGCGAUCGUCCCGCUCGGUCGCUACGUAGCGACCGAGCUCGAGCCAAAGCUCGGUCGCUACGUAGCGACCGAGCGAUCGUCCCGCUCGGUCGCUACGUAGCGACCGAGCGAUCAUCCCGCUCGGUCGCUACGUAGCGACCGAGCUCGAGCCAAAUCUCGGUCGCUACGUAGCGACCGAGCGAUCGUCCCGCUCGGUCGCUACGUAGCGACCGAGCUCGAGCCAAAGCUCGGUCACUACGUAGCGACCGAGCGAUCGUCCCGCUCGGUCGCUACGUAGCGACCGAGCUCAGCCAAGCUCGGUCGCUACGUAGCGACCGAGCGCUCGUCCCGCUCGGUCGCUACGAAGCGACCGGGCUCGAGCCAAAGUUCGGUCGCUGUGUAGCGAUUGAACCUUUCCGAACGUCAAUACGACACCAGUUCUUGCAUUCUCGUCAAAACCUUCGAAUGCUAUCUCCCGAAGACCGUAGCAAGCUCAGUCCAUGUUUCCCGCCAUUCUAAUUCAUCGAUCAAACUUCGCGGAUUAGAAACCGCGGAAAACUCGUAGUAAACGUGUCGAGUCGGAAGACGGCCCAAAGGGACCUAAAACACGACUCGAGGCCCAUCCUACGAUUUUUCUAAUCAAAAGCCCGUAAACCACAGCCUGGUUUACGCUUGGUCUACAAGGAAGGAUAAAUGUCAAGUUUCCGCGGAUAAAUACGGAAGUUUUGAAGAUAAUUGUGAAGAUCGGGAAAAAUGAAAUAUCUCCAUUUUUAUGCUAUGACGGCUUAAGGGCAGAAGAGUAAAAGCGUAAACCGACCUUGGAGCUAGUAUAUAAGGAGUCCUAGGCGAGGAGCAAGAGGGAGAACUUUUUAGAUUCAGAAUUCUCUGCACUUAGAAACUUUAGGCUUAUUCUCGACAAGUUCGGUUUCUAUGACUGGCACUCAAUUACUAGACGAAUUCGCCCAGGCAGUUCGAUCUCUUGUCCAGCUCUAUCAAUUGAACUACGUUCGGCUUGAUCCUCGAAAGGGGUACGUAGGCAGCCUUUAACAAGGUUCAGUCCGAAAUCAAUCUAAGCCUUUUAGAUAUCUUUUUCGUCCUUUGUUAUCGAGCUGCGACUCAACUAGGAUUAGGGUUUUAUGUUGCUAGAACUAGGUAACUCGCUGACGGCCCCUGCGGCCAAAGCCUUUGUAUUCUCUUGUAAUGAUCGCAACGCUCUUACGCGGACUCGAAAUAAGAUCUACUGUUUUCUCUAAACUCGUUUGUUAUCUUUUCAUGAUUUCCGCAUAUAUUCGAUCACUUGUCGUUGGCUCUCGCAGAGAUCCGGGACCUCUGGGAAAUUAGGGUUUUCCUAGUUUCCUUAUUUAAACGGAAAUCGACAGUGCGAAUUUCGGUUCCCACAGAAGUUAUGGAACGAGGGAAUGCAAGAAGAGAUGGAUUCGUUGAAAAAAAAUCAGACUUGGAAGCUGGUUGAGAAACCAGAGAAAAAGAAGAUUAUUGGCAGCAAGUGGGUUUUCAAGCUGAAAGAAGGCAUUCCUGGAGUAGAGAAGCCGAGAUACAAAGCUAGAUUAGUAGCUAAAGGGUUUUCACAAGUUGAAGGGAUCGACUACACAGAGGUGUUUGCACCAGUGGUGAAACACGUGUCGAUUAGAAUUAUGCUGUCACUUGUUGCAAAUUAUGAUCUUGAUUUGGAACAACUAGACGUGAAAACGGCUUUCCUGUACGGAACGUUAGACGAGGAGAUAUAUAUGGCACAGCCAGAAGGUUUCGUUGAGGAGGGAAAAGAAGAUCAAGUUUGUCUCCUGUUGAAAUCACUUUACGGAUUAAAACAAUCACCAAGACAGUGGAAUAGGAGAUUUGAUAGUUUCAUGAAGCAACAAGGCUUCGAAAGAAGUGCAUAUGAUCCUUGUGUCUACAUGAAAGGUUCAGACUUAUCUCAUAUGGUUUAUCUCUUGAUCUAUGUUGAUGACAUGCUCAUAGCAUCUAAGGAUUCUAAAGAAAUUAAAAGAAUCAAAGAUAGCUUGAAGAGAGAGUUUGAGAUGAAGGACCUUGGAGCAGCUUCAAGAAUACUUGGAAUGGAUAUUAUUAGAGACAGGAAGAAAGGAACUCUAAAACUAUCGCAAGGGAAGUAUCUACAGAAGGUGCUGGAAACUUUUAACAUGGCAGAGAGCAAAGCUGUGGUUACUCCUAUCGGACCACAAUUCAAGCUUAAAAGUUUGACACAAAAAGAAGAGCACGAGGAAGCAAGGUUCAUGAAUGUGAUCCCAUACGCAUCAGCCGUUGGAAGUUUAAUGUAUGCAAUGGUGGGAUCUAGACCAGACUUAUGUUUCGCAGUGGGCUUAAUCAGCCGUUAUAUGAGCAAGCCAGGAAGAAUACACUGGGAAGCUGUUAAGUGGGUGAUGAGAUAUCUUAAAGGAGCUCUAGAUUCGGAUCUAUUGUUUACUAAAGGAGAAGAUUUCAAAGUACGAGGAUUCUGUGACGCAGACUACGCAACCGAUUUGGACAGAAGAAGAUCCGUGACAGGAUAUGUGUUUCAAGUCGGAGGCAACACAAUAAGCUGGAGAUCAGGUCUCCAACAUAUUGUCGCACUAUCAACGACAGAAUCAGAAUACAUGGCAUUAGCCGAAGCUUUUAAAGAAGCAUUAUGGCUUAAGGGGUUUGUUAGUGAAUUGGGAUUCAAGCAAGAUGAUGUGAGAGUGUUUUCAGAUUCACAGAGUGCUAUACACUUAGCUAAGAAUGGAGGAUUCCAUGAAAGGACUAAGCAUAUAGAUACUAGACUACACUUUAUGAGAGACGUAAUUGAGGCUGGCGAUGUUACGGUUCACAAGAUUCACACAUCUAUCAACCCUGCAGAUUUUCUAACUAAGUGUGUACCUGGACAGAAGUUCGAGACAUGCUUGGAGAUCCUCAAGGUUCUGCCUUAGAAGGUCUCGCGUGGCUGCAGGUGACAAUGCUGUCGAGUUGAUCACCUCGCGGAAAGGCCACAAAAGAAAAUAUCAGUUUCAGGAAAAGUAAACUGAUGGUUCGACAGGGUUAUUAUAAAGCUCGGAAAGAAGAUGAAUUUGAAUGUAGAAUAUUACCUUCAAAUAAUGACGGGUGUAGACAGGAGCUGUCUAUGCAAGGAAUCUGAAAAAAUUAUUCAGGAAAUACUAGUCAAAGAAUUGUUUUAUGCAGAGAUUAAGCUUCAAACAGAAGCUGGAAAAAUCAUUAUAAAGAGAUGAAUCAGAAGCUCUACCUGAAGACGUGGGGUUGUAGCAAGGAAACGCCUGCAACACAGUUGUGAACAAAAGUUAUUAAUUCACAAGUUCAAAGCUCUUAAAGGAAUUGAAGCAACAAUUCUAAUUUGAUUACCUUACGGAAGUAACGAUGGUGAAGAGACGUCAACACCAUGAGCUGUAACAUUAAACAAGGAGAUAUGUUUAAUUAUUCAGCAAAAGAAUCUUUCGUUACAGGUUUCUAGGAAAGCUUAAAAGACACGUAUGUAUACAGGAAGGAAAGUCAAAACAAAAGAGGAUACUUUUUUGGUCUUUGGCAAAGUUCUGGUUCGUUUUUUUCCGAAGGUGGCGUGAGGAGGAGUUAAGUGGUUUUGCCAUUUGAUAAUCACAAAGCUACAACAGAUUCAUCAAGGCACGAGCUGGAAAAAGAAAUUGAGAUCAAAGGUUAAAGCUUUGUUCAAAUGUCUAAGGAAAAAGACAAAGAGGAGCAAAAGGAACCUGAGACGUCAAUGGCGGAAGCGGUGACAGCUAACGCCGGUGAAGACGAGCGGCGGUGAAGUCGGGAUCUUGUCUUGGUCACGGGGAAUCGAAGGAGAGAGAGAUUACAGCAGGGGCGAGAUAGAGAGAAGCAAGGAUCGGAGAGAAGCAUGCAUCUCCGGUGACGACGGCGUCGAGGAACAGACGAUCGUCCGAGAAAGACGAAGCGGUGAGCUCGUCGAAGCUUCUGGUCGCCAAAAGAGAGAGAGAGAGACGGAGAAGACGAUGAGUGAGGCCAAAGAGUCAAGGUGGAGAAUGUGAGGCUUGUGUCUCUUGGGCCAUCUGGUGGGCUGCUUAUGGGCUUCGGUUUUAGACCUGAAACAAGACAUAAAGAAUAUGGGUUAAGUCUAAGUAUUCCUUAUAGCUUUAGGAUAUAUGUUAUUCCUUAUACAACAAGGAUUAACAUGAUUAGGUCUAGUAUAAAUAGAGGUCUCUGCUCAAAGUUGUAAGAUACAGAAACAUAAAACUCUCUAAAGCAUAGAACACGCAACUAGUGCGAAGCUUGUAACGUUUUCGAUUCAUAGUGAUAUAGAGUUUGUCUCCGGUUUGGAGAGGACUCGCCCAACAUAUUGUUGUGUCGAUUUACUUGUUACAAGAAACAGCCAAGGUCGUUUCUCUACACUAGCUAGUCAAAGUUAAAUCUACAUCCACCGAGCUUUGAAAUCGUCAAACGAUCUCCUGGAAGAAGAUUUUUGAGCCAAAAUGUCAGACUUUGGUUUUGUCAGGACUACAACAGAAAACAGAGAAUCAAUGAAUACCAAUUGUUUGUAUUGUUACUAUGUUUUGUGGAGAAUUUGUUAAGUCUUUACGGAAAAAUAAUUAGAUUUUAAAAAAUAAUUUAUUACGGCUAUUCUAAAUAUGUCAUAUUUAAAAUCAUCUGAAUAAAUGUAGUAAUUAUUUGUAGGAAUGUUUAAAACUAAAGAAAUUGAUGAUUUGAAAAAUCUAUAAAUUUUUAAAAAAUUUUAGGGCAAUUCUCAUAAAUAGACCAUUUUCAAGUUUUGGUCACAAAAAUAGACUACAAGGAGGAAAAUGACCAAAAUGUUUCAUUUAAUAGGUAAAAAGACACUAAUACCCUAGAUAUAUAAAAAAAUAAAAAAAAAUAAAAAAAAAUUAUAGUUUUAGAUUAUAUGUUUUCAAAUUCAGACUUUUUAUAAUUUUUUUUUGAAUUUUUAUUUCGAAAUUUUUUGUAAAUUUUUUUUUCAAAUUUUCUUUUUGUAAUUCGAAAAUACUUUUUGAAACUAUUUUUAAAAUUUUUAUUUUAAAAUUUUUAAUAUUUAUUUUCUAUUUUAUAAAAUUUUAAACCUCAAACUCAAAUCCCCACCCCUUAACUCUAAACCAUAAGGUUUGGAUUAGUUAACCCUAGGGGUAUAAGUGUAUAUUUACCUCUUUAAUGAAAGAUUUUGAUUACUAGAGUCUAUAUUUGUGAUAGAAACUUUUCAGUGCUAUCCUAUGACAUUUUCCUAAAUUUUACUUAAUUUUAUUUUUUUUUCCUUGAAAUUUUACUUAAUUUUACUUAUUUUUUCUUUCAAGUUCAAUCGCUUACGGUGCGUCAAAUUCUCAGGUCCUCAUCACUAUGCUGAAGACCAAGGAAUCAAAGAAAUUGCUUUUUGGGAUACUGUUUGACAUCUAUCACUUUAGUAAUGUCUUUGAUACCAUCUCAUUUCGACUAUUCCCCGUUUAGAGAACUUUGAAGCUGAUUUAGUGGCAAAAUCAGCACUUGUUGUAGCAGACCCUCCUUCCUUCAGUGAGGCUAACUCUUUCUAGAUUAAUAUCAGUAAUCAGUAAUGUUUGACUAAAAAAUAACUAGUCAAUGAGCGCAUAAGGAAAUGGUGACUCAAUCUCAGCAGAACAUAGCAUUGCCACCUUCUCAAAGCAACCCAUAGGAUAUGUUAUUCCUUCGACAUGUUUAAGACAUGGAUACGCAUUAUCCCCUUUAUGCUCAUCUUGUGCAUUGAAGCUCUGAUCUCCCUCCUAAACGGAGAAAAGUGAAAAUCAUAUUAUGGGGUUUACUAGUUAUCAAGGUAGUCCCCAGAUCUUACAUCUUCCUUUUGCGGAUGACAAUCUAUUAUUAUUUUGCAAGACGGAAAAGGGACAGUGUUUGGUAACAAAGUGGAUCAUAAUUUAAAAAAUAUAUUAAAAGAGUGCUCGACAUUACUUAGGACUACCAUAAAAAAUUGAGCUUCUAAGAUGAAAGUUUCUUUCUUUGUACAACAUCUUCUAAAUGGUCAUGUUAACGAGUGGUUGGCAAGAAUACUUUUGAAGAGAUACAAAGAGGUAUAAAUUAAAUAUGUGGCACAAGCAGUUCUGCAAUACAUUAUGUCGAGUUUUUUUUGUUACUACAAGACAUUGUGGAGAAAUUAAAAAAGUGCAAUCUUAAAAUUCUGGUGAAGUUCAAGACAAAACAAUUGAGGCUCUAUUGGAUUGCAUUGGAUAAAUUUGUGUUCCACAUGAUAAAAAUAGGCUUGGAAUUCAAUACUUGCAUGACUUUAAUGUGGUGUUACUUGCAAAACAGUAAUAUAGAUUAAUACAUUUUUUAAAUUCCUUACUUUCGCGGUACUUAGAUGAUGUUAUUCCAACCGAUCUUGUCCUUUAGAGGACUGUGAGGUUUACUCGCAUUCUUAUGGCUGGCGCAGUAUUAUGGCAACGAGACGACUCUUGAAUUCAUGCCUAUGGAAAAUUAUCGGGGCAUGCCUCAACACUAGUGUGGUGAACGAACCGUGGCUUCUAGACACAAAUACACACCCACUGAAGGCUUCUGAUCGAGUGACUUACAGACACCUACAGCUAAUAGUUCAUUCCUUUAUUAGGCAUGAUACCAGGGAAUGGAAUACUCCCCUCUUACGAGUUUUCUUCAACUCUGAAGAUAAACCUCUGAUCCUCGGGUUGAGACUUAGUUCUAUGAGGUCCAGGGAUGAUUACACAUGGAACCAUACGAAAUAUGAAGUGCAUUUAUAUAAAUCUGGGUAUGAUUUGCUACAAAAGACCAAGCUACAAAGUGCUUAGACUCAAGUUUUGAACCAAGCAUUACUGGCUUACAUAUCCAUGUGUGUAGAGUCGAAAGAUGAAACACUUUAUGUGUCAAGAUUUCACAAGAUGUAUAUUGAUGACUAAAUUGCUAGAUUUUAGGAUUUUCGGUACUGACAUUAUAUUUCCUAUAUGCAGUGGACCAAAGGAAUCUAUAGAUCAUUUUCUUUUUUGAUUUCCUCCUGCCUUUGAGUUUUAUCAAAUUAUCUGUCUGUUUCAGAUUUCUUCAUGAGUACCUAUGUCUACCAAACAUGGAUUUCUUAUUUUGUAGGAUACAUAUUGAUACCUUCAUUUGGAUCAUUUGGAAGCAAAAUAUGACGAAGUGUUUAAUGGCAAGGAUGUUUAGCUAGUUGACACCCUCCAUCUAGCCUUUCUUGAAACAAAAGUUGGAGAAAAACGAACAUCAAAGAAGUCAAAGAGGACACACAUGUUUCACCUUUUUUGGUUAUAGGUUCAACACCCUAUGUGGAAAACCAUGAUUGGCCCCGACAUGCCAAAUUGAUGUCUCAUGGGUCAAUCAUGGUUCAGCCAAUGGACUAAGGUGGAUCCAUAGUGUAAUCAAAUGGGAGUUAAACGGUUUAGACUCUUAUAAGUCUUUCGUCUCUUUAUACUAUAGAUGGAAAAUUUACUUUGGGCGAUAUUAUGCUUACGAAAUUUGCAUAUUAUUAUGAUAUGAAUUGCUUAGAUUCGUGGACAUGGUUGUUAACCCAAUCAACUGGCCAAUCUUUAUCUUCCAACUAGUCUAAUUUCACAUUCUACAAAACAAAUUUUGAUUUCAACAAUUCUCACAUCCUCAUGUUUAGGAAUACGAGUGUAAGUUCUCUUGCCAAGAAGGCGAGAAAUAGUAGUGUCUUCUUUUCCAUAUAGAUUAAAACGGAUCGAAAAGGAUGGUUCUAAAAAAAUAAUCUCGAUUAUCUAUUAUUUUUAUAAUAUGAAUGUUGACAAAAAAAAAAUCAUGAAAACCAGUGAUGAAUAUUAUGAUGAUUAAGCGUAUGUCAUUUUCAAAUUUACUUAAAACUUGUAGUGUCUUAUCUUGUUUUUUUUUAAAGUGAGUUAACAUUUGACAGCUGCAUUCAUUUUCAUUGAAUUUGUUUUCAAAAAUACCAAAUCGAUAACCAUAUCUUUAUUUGAGAUACUAAAAUAAAUGAGAUAUAUGUUUGUUUAACUGAUUUUUAUUUUUUAAUAAUUACAUAUAAACAAAUAUUAAAAUUUAAUUUAAUUAGAUAUUUUUAAAAUAUAUAACCAUAUUUGAAUAACUCGAAAAGAUAAAAAGAAACUGAAAAUUUGAAAUGAGAAAAGAGAGAAAAAAAUAUCAAAAGAAACAGCCAAUCAGAUACGAAAACGUGUGUUGCUGACUCUAACACAAAUGGUGUGAAUGAAAAUAUAAAAAUAUAUCGAAGAGGGGAAAAUCGCAUAAAAAACCUUGAAAGUGUCACUUACUAGCACUUUAAACGUUGAAGUUUUUUCGCUAGCAUUUUUAACCUUCAAAGUGAUAUUUUUAUCAUAAAAAACCUCCAAACAAGAAAAAUGACCGGUUGAACAGGUUAAAAACAGUUUUUUUUUCAAAAAAUAAUUAUUUAAUGAAUAAAAUAAACAAAAAAUUAAUAAAAAUCGAAAAAUUUAACAAAAAACUCACAAAUUAAAAAAUGAGAAAAAUAAAUAAAUAUUUAAAAAUUAAAUAAAAAAUAACAAAAAAUUCAAAAAAUAAAUAAGAUCAAAUUAAAAUGGAGAAAAAUAAAAAAAUCAUAAAUUUAAAAAAAAAUGAAAUUUUUUGAAACUGUUUUUUAAAUUUUUUAGUAUUUAUUUUUUAUUUUAUAUAAUUUUAAACCCUAAUUCCAAAACCUCACCCCUUAACUCUAAACCCUAAAGUUUGGAUUAAUUAACGCAAGGGGUAUAAGUGUAUAUUUACCUCUUUAAUGAAACUUGUUUUUGUGACUUUGAGCCUUGAAUACUAGUUUGAGAACAAAAACUUGGUUUGGUGUUAUCUUAGUCUUUUUUUUUUUUAUCAACACAUAUCUCCAAUGAUAAUUUCCAACAUUAUAUUUGAAAAUGAAAAAAAAAAACUUUUUGAAUUUUCAAUUUUUUGAAAUUUAUUAUUAUUUUUUAUGUAUUUUAAUUUGAUUUUAUUUAUUUUUUAAUUUUUAGUUAUUUUUAUUUAAUUUUCUAAAUCUUUAUUUAUUUUUCUCACUUUUUUUUAAUUUAUGAGUUUUUUGUUAAAUUUUUCGAUUUUAUUAUUAUUUUUGUUUAUUUAUUAAUUAAAUAAUUAUUUUUUGAAAAAAAACAUGUUUUUAACCUGUUCAGCAGGUCAUUUUUCUUCUUUGGAGGUUUUUUAUGAUAAAAAUGUCACUUUGAAGGUUUACUGAAAAAACUUCAAGGUUUAAAGUGCUACUAAGAGACACUUUCAAAGUUUUUUAUGCGAUUUUCCCUAUGGAAGAGAGAAAAGCCGAAACCUUUUUUUUUUCUCUCGUCUCCAAUUUUCUCAGCUUCUGCUGGAUCUCUCCAGCAGACACGAUCCUUCCUUGGAGAGAUUCGUACGGUAAAAGUGCUCUUCUCUUCCUUUCUAUUUCGAUUUGAUUUAUCGGGUUUGGGUCUCGGCUUUCGAUUCCAAUUUCGAUUUCCCCUUUUGUCAAUUGAUUAGGGACUGAUUGAUCAACCAAGGCUUCUCGGGCAAUCAGGUGAAUAGAAGUGAGAUUAGGCUAUGUGGGUUUUGUAUGUUUUACAGAUUUGCUAUGAAAGUUCUCAACUUUUGAGCUCAUUAUUUAAAAGGUUCAUUUCUAAGAAGGAAGGUAGUGUUGGAUGAGAAUGAGAUUAAACUAUGUGUGUUUGUAUAUUUUACGAAUUAAAAAUUAUUUGUUGUAAAGUUCUUAGCUUUUACGCUGAUAUAAAUGUUAAUUGAAGUUAUUGUAACGAAAAAUUUCUUUUUCCUACGUGGUACUGAUGAUGUCUGUUUUGAAGUGCAGAAAUGGACCACGACGAGACAGGAUGCCAAAGCCCACCUGAAGGUCCCAAGCUAUGCAUCAACAACUGCGGUUUCUUCGGAAGCUCUGCCACAAUGAACAUGUGUUCCAAGUGUCACAAGGCUAUCCUGUUUCAACAGGAACAGGGGGCUAGGUUUGCAUCUGCAGUGUCUGGUUGUACAUCUUCAUCCAGCAACAUCUUAAAGGAAACCUUUGCUGCUACCGCGCUGGUUGAUGCUGAAACCAAAUCCGUUGAGCCGGUGGCCGUCUCUUUACAGCCAUCUUCUGUCCAAUUCGUCGUCGCAGAGGUAGUAGCUCCAGAAGCCUCUGCAGCAAAACCAAAGGAAGGACCAAGCCGAUGUGCUACUUGCAAUAAACGGGUUGGUUUGACUGGAUUCAAAUGUCGCUGUGGUGACCUCUUCUGUGGGACGCACCGUUAUGCAGACAUACACAACUGCUCCUUCAAUUACCAUGCCGCUGCGCAAGAAGCUAUAGCUAAAGCAAACCCGGUUGUGAAGGCAGAAAAGCUUGACAAAAUCUGAAGAACUCAAAACUCAAACACCAAAGUGAUAGACUACGACCUCCUUAGGAGCAUUUAGAAUUGGAAAUGAAGGUUUAGAAUUUUACAUAUUUAUUAUUAUUGCCUACUAAGGUGUUUACUCCUAUAAGAGGGAGACAUUUGAUUCUAAUAAAAUCAUCCAUUAAGAGAUCAAAGAAACGGAGUUGUCUCCUCUAAAUCUAAUAAACGAGGAGUUUGUCAGCUUCUUGAAUAAAUAGCAUAUUGAUAGAUACUGCCCAGAGGCGUCUAUCACAAAGUUCCCUUUCUCCUAUCUGCGCCUGAUUCAAGGUGUCCCUCAUGUUAACUAAGGUUUAUAAAGUAUACUUCCAAAUAUAAACCAUUACUAGAUCCAAGCGUGGGUUUUUUGGAUUAUAUUAUAAUACAAAGUCUUAUUAUAUCAAAAAAAUAUAAUUUUGAACAGUUAUAUAAUUUAUGAAUUAGUUUAUUUGAGACUUUAUAUGUACAUUUUUACGUAAAUUUCUUUUAGGCAUGAGAAUUAUAUCCGGAUAAAAAAAACAAACUGAAUCGACCCGAAAAUAUAGGUUUAGUUCAGGUCCAGAGAAGAUAACCUAUUGGGUUUUUGGACCUGUAAGUCUUUGUUUGAGUCAAUGUACUAUUCUAGACCCGAUCAUAAAUAUGUUGUGUUUAUUAGAUAUAUUUGGAUAUUUCGAAUAUGUUUCCGGUAUUAUGAAUAUUUUUUUUAAGUUUUGGUUUACGAUUAUAGUUUUUGAUUUCACGUAAAUUUUCAAAUUUAAAAAAAAAAUUGGGUAUUUUUUAAGUUCAUCGUGUCAGAUUUUGAAUAAGAUUUUGAAUUUUUAGGUAUUUGAAUUUUUUUGGUAUUCGUUAGGAAUUUCAAAUAUUUUUUCAGAUUUUUUAGAUAUUUUGAUAUUUUUUUUAGGAUCCUAAAUACCCGAACAUAUGUGGACCCAUUAUGUCCAUAUGAAGUCUAACAACCUUUUGAUAUAGAUUUUUAACGUUAUUGUACAAAAACAUGGUUGAUAAAAUAUUUUUCUGAGUAAAAGUAUCAUAAGGAAUAAUAUUAGGAUCUGUUAAAAAUAUUUAAAAUAUUGUAUGGUUAGAAUGAUUAAUGGUAUUACUAAAAAAAAAGUUAUACAUGACUCCAACAACUUUUUUAUAUUAGAUUUUUAAGAUUAUUUCUCUUUUAAUAGUAUUGAUUCGUUUUUAAAUGAAAAGUAUAUAAAAGUAUAAUAUCUAGACCAAUAAUUUUCAAAAUCGUAAAUAAUCAAUACUGAUAUCGUGAAGUCGGGUUAAUUUUAACAGAACCAAUGAAUUUAUUUUGUGAAGGUAACAUGAAAUAUUCAGAAAAUUCAUUUUUAAAUAUGAAAAUAUCUAUCAAAACUAUAGACGGUUGAAAGUUUAGCAUAUGAUAUGAGAUUUUAGUAGAAACGUUUAUAUAUGAUAUGAUUACUUUAUUAUAAAGUAAAGAUGAAGUUAGAAUGUACACAUAUAUGUCAUGUAACCUCUCUUGAUUUAAAUCAUAUAUUAUAUGAUAAAAAUGAUAAUAUAAAACAUUAGUUUCAAUGCUUUUACGAUUAAAAAUCAAAAUGGUAAAUAUAGUAAUAAUAGUGAUUAAAAUUUAGGAGUGAAAUUUGAAUAAAUAAAGGAAUUGAAUAAAUUAUUAUUAGAGAAAUAUAUGGUAACAUAUUGUUAGUCUAAAUUUAAGGUAAGACAAAAAAAAAUAAUAAGAUAAAUGAAAGGGUCCAAACAACUUUUAUAGGUAGAUUUUUUAAGACUCCUUCCCUUUUAAUAGUAUUGACUAGAUUUUGAUCCGCGCUUCGAAAGCGCGGAUUUUUUAAAACUAUAAACAUAGUUUUAUAUGAAUUAGUAUUUCGGAUUGUUGUACAUUAUUAUGUUACGAAAUCAUAUUAUAUUGAAGCAGAUAAUCUUAAAAAAAUAUAAAUUAGGUUAUUUAGUUUUUUGUAUAUACAUUUUUAUGUAACUCUUUCUAAGUCUGUGCAUUUUAUCUGAUCCAAAACAACUGAGAUCUACCCGAAAAUAUAGGUUCGGUUCGGGUCCAUGGGAAAGGUACCUAUUGGUUAUUUUAUAACACCCGUAGGUUUUGACUUUGUUCCAAUCAGACAUGAAACUCGAUCGGAUACCAAAAGUACUCAGAUUAUUUUUGUAUAUUAGGUAUGUUUGGGCAUUUCAUAUAUCUUUUGGUAUUACGAAUAUUCUUUUAAGUUUCAGGUUUGUGUUUCUGGUUAUAGUUUCAGGGUUUACGUAGAAUUUCAAAAUUUUAAGAACAUAUUUCGCGUAAUCAGAUUAAAUUUUAGGCAUUUUUGGUUUCGCAGAUCAGAUUUUGAGUUAAAUCGGGACUUUUCGAGUAUUUGAAUAUAUUUCGGGUAUUUACUGAUUUUCAUGUAUUUUUUGGAUUUCAUAUAUUUGCAGGUUUACUCGUACUUGGGGUCCUAGAUAUCCAAACCUACCAGGAUCCACUAUAUACCUGAAAAUUAUAUGUAUUUUUAUCUGGAUCCACUACAAACCUACCUAGAUCCACUAUAUACUUGAAAAUUAUAUGUAUUUUACGACUAUUUAAAUUAUGGAUCCAAACCAACUCAUACCCGAAAGAAACCGAUUCAAAUCUAAACCAAAAAAAAAAUUGACAUCACCAAAAAAUUAUUAUAUUUUAGAUUCUCAAUAAAUAUAGCUUAAAACAUUUAUAACAUUUAUAAUAUUUUUGAUGCUUAAUAUAUGAGAGUAAUGAUAAUAGCUCCUUAUUAAAUGGGAAGAAAUGCUAUAAUAGCUAUCGGGAUUUAUCACAUUUACCGUACAUGAUAUAUAUAGAAGUUAGAUGAAAAUAUGGAACGUAUAAGUUAUGAUCUUUUACGAAUCGGGAUAUGUUGUUACGCAAAAGACUUAAAAAUAUCUUCUAGGAUAUUAAACACUAAUUCUUAACUUGACUGUAUACAUAUUCCACAAACAUUAGAAUACUAUGAUAAUUAAUAUAUAUAUAUAUAUAUCAGUAUGUAUAGUAAACCGGUUUGGGUAUUAUCAACAUAUACUAUGUUAUAAAUAUGUUUAUUCUAAAAUUAAUAAUAUGUUUGGUUUAAACAUAUUCGUUCGUGAAUGGGGAUGUUCUUAUAUAUGGCUUGAAUCUUAAUUUCAAAAUUAAAUUGGAAGUCAGUUCGAUCCAAAACGGAAUUGACGUUUUAUCAUAUGUUACAACACAUCACUUGUACAAUUAGGAAUUAUAUAUUACAAAUUUAUAAGUGCUACAAAAAUGUCAUUUUAUCAUAGUAUAUUAUCGAUAAUAUAAACCUCAAACUAUAUGUAAAUAGUGUUCAGGAAAGCUUUAAAUUCAUUAAAGUAUUUCAUGGUGUUUUCAAUUUCGUAUAUAGGUGUUGUGAUAAUAUACGUAUGUAAUAUAUAUGGUUUGAGUAAACCACUAAAUUUGAUAUGUAUCUCAUGUUACCUUAUAUUGUUAGAGAAAUAUUAGGUAAGACCAAAAAAUAAUUAACUAAUAAAUAGGUCCAACAACUUUAUAUAAGUAAAUUUUUUCAGAAUAAUUUUCUUUUAAUAGUAUAGAUACAUAGUUUAAAACAAAGUACAAGAACAACGUUAUAAAUAUCAAAUUCUGAAUAAUAUAUUUGCUCAUUUUGACACAACCAAAUACACAUAAUAAUAAAAAACAUUUGUACGAGUCAAACGCUAGAUAUAUUGUUCGAUCACCACAUAAACACAAUGGUGAUCGUUUUAUUUUACAGAAAACAAACCCCAAAAUGUUCACCAGGACAUAAAACUACGUUUUUACCAUACAAUGAAAAAACGAUUUUAGGAAUCAUAGGAAACCAGAACAAUUUAAAACCGAAUGACUUCCUAAAAUGUCUAUAUACAUAUAUUUUAUCAAAAAGUCACUUAAUGCAGGAACAAAACAUCUCUUCUCUGUACAAAAUUUUCCUCCUACGUAUCCCCUUCCGUGAUGAGAGCUACAACUACUGCUUAUACGUUCACCUACCUGAAAAGAAAAGUCCAGGUAAGUGAAAAAAAAAACUCAAAUAAUCCAGGAAGGCAUAUUAUUAACUGAAAACACACAAGCUAUGUUAAAUUAUUAGAUGACCAAAAUAUGAAAACGGGAAGUGGUUGUUGGUCUCAGAUGAAACAGAAAGCGAGCUAUAGACAAGAAACACUUUAGUACACUAACAGAUGACGAUGAUAGAGAAGUAAGUUCAUACUUGUAUUUUCUGGUCCUGUUCAAUUGAUUCCCUUCAGGUUGAGGAGCUUUUUCCACCACAUAAGAAGCAAUCAAGGUAUCCAGUUUUACCAACCAGAGAGCAAUCGCAGAAGUUGUUCGAGGCAUAGAAGGGAAGCUAGUUAUAAUUUCUCCCUCCUCCUCCUCACCAAAGUGCCAUAACCAAUCUUCAUUGAUUGCUCCAACAAAGUCCCCAAUCACCUUCAGACCAUGAUUUAGCAACAAGAGGUAAGUUAGAGAACAAUCAAUUUCGGACUAAAAUAAGGAAAAAGGGAGCUUUGCAUAAUAAAAAUGAAAACCUGCGUAAUUUCAGACAACGUUGAGCUUCGUCGAAGCCUUUUUGCCCAUAACCUAUGAGCUGACUUUUUCCAUGCACCAAUCAAGGCAUCUUCGGGCAUUGCAGACUGAAAAAUGUUAACCAAGAAAGGGAGCAGUUUCUUAACACAAACCAAGAAAGACGGAAAAGAUUAAAAAUAGUAAAGCAAAAACGACUAUCUCGACAGACCUCAAUGGCAUACACUGCAGCCUUUAGUGAUUGCAACUGGGAAGAACGAACUUUGUGAUCUGGAAAUGAAUCACUACUCUCUUCAUUCUUCCUGCUGCAUGUGGCUUCAUGAAUCGCAUAUCUUUCUUCAAGAUCUAUAUCAAGCUCAAAGGUAGCAUGGCAAAUCUUGCAGUGCUUCUCAUCUCUCCAAUACAAAUCAUGACAACUCUUACACCUAGUAAGCGAAUCAAGGUAGGAUCUUCGGCUGUGUUUAACAACAUUGAGAUUAAGAUAAUAUUUAUCCCAUAUCCAUUCAUCAAACUCCUGAACAAGGCUCCAUAAUAGGCUGUUGCCCCGCUUCUCAAAUACUAUAGCUGCUUGUUGAUCAUUGGCAAUCUCAUUGAGACAUAGGUUGUUGUUGUCUAUAUCAGAAACCGGUGAAGAAGAACUGUCCUCUCUGACUACAUGGUCAAUUCUUCUUAACAUGGCUUGACAGAGAAAACUUUCUCGUUUCUCCAAUGACUCAAUAAGCCGAGCUUCCCGUCUACCCCUAUCGUCCAACACUGACAACAGUGCCCGCAAAGCCUGCACCAAGCCAAAAAAUAGGGAAAUGUUAGGCAAGGAAUCAAUCCAACUUACACAAUACAAGUUUUCAUUUAAUUUGUGCACAAUGACAUCACCUCCUUGUGGCUGAUAACUUCCCAGUGACCAUCUUCAGAAGAUUCAAAGUAGACACACCUAUGACCAGGGUCAUUCGCGUUGCAUGGGCCUAAGAAAAGCCAGUACCUGUUGAACCUACGGUCAGAACCAAGGUAUACAGAUUGCAUAGGGUGAACAUUGUCUCCAGCGAGCUUUGCAAAAUCAGCCCCCACAAUUGAUGAUGAAUCAACUGGAUGAGAAUCAGACGGUUUAGAUAGCUUUUCGAUUCGCUCUCCUCCAUGGACCCAUGAUACGCGUGGAUGAUUAGAGGAUGAUGCUCUCUUGAUUUUUCCACCAGAACCAUGACUAUAGAUACUAGGGGCACAGUCAACCAUAGCUCUGGGUAAAUCCUCCAUUCUAAUAGUGGAACCAGAACUAAGAAGAUCAAUCAAAGCGAUGAAAACAUCUAACUUCUCUUCAAUGCUUAAGUCUGAAUAUUCCCCCUCCAUUAGCCCCAACAACCAUGCUUCUCCAGGAUGGCUUUCAUCAAUCUCACUGCAUACUUCCAACACCUGCUUCCGCCUUUUCCUACACUUGGCUUUUCGAAAUACAAAACUUUCUGAAACACGCCCCAACUCAUCACCAGAUUCAUCAUCAUCAACACUUCCAGACUCGCCCGAAUCAGACUCAUGGUCCUCAGAGAAACAAUUAACACGUGCACGAUAUGUAGAUUCAGAUAUUUUUUCGAAAAGUGUAAUAUCACUUGCCAGCGUUGAACAUAUUGAACGCUCUCGUUCUUCUUCUGAUGCAGUUGCAAGAUUCAGCGCAGCAACCUAUAACAUUAACCAGCAGCCUAUUCUAUUAGAUAUAAUAAUCUUAGGAUUUACUAACAAGAAGCUGAUAAUAAUUUCAGAAAAAACUACCUCUACUGCUGCAUUUGCUAACUCGGAUAUUUUCAAGCCAUUUUUGCCUCCUUGCUCGUUAAGCAUUCUAAAUAAUUCACCCUUUAAUGUUCCAAGACGGAGGCCAUACUUUUUCAUGAGUCUCCUUUCCUACAGGAGGUAACAUCAACCAAUAAUGCGUCAGAAAAUUAAAGAAAAAACCUAUAAACGACAUAGAACAUGCACAGGAGGAUAUAAAAGAAAAUUGAGCAAGAACCUUCAGUAUUCCACACGCAACUAACCCAUCUUCAAGAAUAAACAAAGCAUGCUAGUAUAUGGAACUUUGAUACGAAUGAAAAGGACAAGAGAUGUAGCAUUUGUAGGCAUUUCAUGUGAUGAACUAUAUUUUCGGUGCCAAGCAAAUAGAGUAGACAGAUGGUUGUUUCAACGAAUCAAAAGGGUUGCACGAAAUCAGCACCUUACUUAGUUCCUCUGAUUGACCAGCAGCCCGCUUUACAGAACCAAAACCAGCUGCAACCAAUAUCUGACGCAAUAUCUCCGCCCAUGUAAGAGAAUUUAAUGAAUCCUUCCACAUAUCAAGAAUAAGAAUUUGGCUCUCCACCUAAAAAAAAAAUAUCAUGGAGAAUGUCAAAACCUGUCUCUCAAACGGAAGUAUGCCAAGGAAAAAAAUAGAUAGCUCCACAUACCGACUGCAGCAGGGCUAGAAACUUGCAUGAUAUACUCAAGGUUGAAAAAGAUCCCCUUUGCAGCUCGGUUUCAACAUCAAGCAGAAGCAACUUCAGCAGGGAAAGAUGAAUUUUACCAAGGAGCAAGGAGUCCUGAAAGAGGAAAUGCAAUAUGUUAUUUUAAGAAACAGUUUCCUUCAGCAACAUAAGAGAUUUGACUAUUUGUUAUUAUCAAAUAAGAGAGAGCACCUUAUCAUGAAAUGCCCGUGUGAACUCGUCGAUAGUGAAGGGACAUAUAUCAAGAGUUACUGAAUAAGUAUACAGGAAAUGGACAACCUGUCAACACAUAUGUAGUACUAGGUCAGCUCCAAGAAAUGUAAUUUUAAGAAGAAAUCAAUCACGAAGUGCACACCUUAAAAAGUUUCUUGACAGACUCUGGAGAAGAAUUCCAUGGAUGCAAAGCAAAAGGCAGCCUCAUGCCAACAGAACUUGGGGGAAACUUGGGCAAUAAAUCUGGAAACAAACAACAAAAUAGAUGUAAAAAAAGGUACUUGAGAACGAAAACUCACUCUCCCUAGGAUUGAACCAAGACACAUACCUUUGCAUAGAAAACAAGAUCCACUAGUAGCAGUAUGGCAUGAACAAGUUAACGGAGGAUUCACUAGCCCUUCCUGUCUCUCCAAUUCCUCGUCAUCAACUAGUAUCGACAUUGUUUGACAGGUUUCUUUAAAUACCUCCCCGAGCUCACAUUUCUCACUAAAUCCCACCGUCUCAUCUUUGUUUAAUUCUUCGGUGGUCUGCAGCAAGCAAGCAAGAGUCAAUCAAAUCAUAUUUGUUGGCUUAUUGAAUCUAAGCUACCUCUGUAUUUAUAGAAUUCCUCUUCUUUUCCGUCGGCUUCUUCUUCUUCUUCUGCUUCUGCUUCUGAAGAAAGCAAAACAAUUGCAAUAAACAAUAAGUUCAAAAAGGCAAUAAAAGAGGUAAAAACAAGUAGUACCAGUAUAGAUGCUAAUUGUGUUUUGGUCUUCUUGGGAUUGCUUUGAGCUAAGGUUGCUCUUUCGUGGCUAUUUGGAUUCAUAACACGCCACGCUGUCAUCAAACCCUUGCCAAUACCAUAUUGUUUCUUCUUUACAACAACGCAAUCAUCUUGACUAGUGUGCUUCUCGGAAACCUAAAUAAAAGAAAAAUAAAUAAAGAUCAAAGAGUAACUAACCUUUCUCUUUUGCAAUAAUGAAAGAUGAUUCCACUAACCUUUCUCUUUCUCCCCACUCUCUGUUGAUCAAGAGAUGAUGAUGAAGGAGGAAGAUGGUCAAAUUGAAAACCAAGUGAGGGGCCGUCUUUUCUAAAAACCUUAGCCAAAAUGUACUGUGAGGUCAACAGCUUUUGACAAUUGAUCUUCCGAAGAGCAGAGCGAGGAAUCUUCGCCCUCACCGCCGCCGCCACGGAGGAUUUCUUUCUACUUGUUCUUCUCCUCUCAUCCAUUUUCUCUGCAUUCAUCACAUGUAAGGUAGACACGAACUGCCCCUGUUCAAACACGGGGGAGAUACGACUGCGCCGGUAAGAGGACCGCCGCGAUUUCGGAUCGACUCGCUCUGAUCUUCACCUUCUGUAUCAGAAAAAUCUGAUGCUACUUUUGUUUAGAUAUAUCUUUAGAAAUGAGAUUUUGUGGAGGGUUUUAGGGUUUUGGAGGAGAUAGAAAUGAAUACAAAAUGACUCUUUCACCCUUCUUUAAACCUUUUACAAAAAAAAUAAUAAUAAUAAGUAUAACAAAUUUGACGUUCGUGCCCGGGUAAAGUAAAGAGUGAGAGAUUGGAACAGCCACUGCACUAACUAAAUUCUGGCUAACCAGACUAACUCUUUUUAGUAAUUAACCUUAAACCUAUAAAAAAAAUUUCAAAAACUCCCCACAAUUAAUUCACGUUUAAUCUCCGAUUAACUGGUUCAACGCUUGGUAUCAAAAUAAAAAGCUUCCAGAACUUGAAGUUAAGCUCGCGAUUUCCUCUUCGUAUCCAAUAAAAUUUAAAAAAAAUUGAGAACUCUGAUGUUCGUCAAUCAAAACCAGGCGCAUGACACUCGACGCAUUCGUCAACGUCAAAUCAUCCCCUUAAUAAAUAAAUAAAAAAUCCAAAUAUCUCCCGAAAUAUAUUUACACCAAAAAAGUAUCAAAAUAAAAUAAAAAGAUAAAUGAUAAAUAUGUUUGUUUUAAGGGCAAUUGCAAUAAUAGCACUUUUUGAAGUUUCUGUCUCAAAAAUAGCACUAGAAGGAGAAACUCACAAAAAUAACAUUCAUUAAAGGGUAAAAUAUCUCUAAUACCCUUGAUUUAAAAUUAAAUAAAUACAUAAAAAUAAAUAAAAAUAAAUAAAAUAAAAAUAAAAAAAGAAAAAAAAAUAAAUUAUUUUUAUAGUUUCAGAUUAUAUGUUUUCAGAUUCGAAAUUUUUAUAAAUUUUUUUUUGAAAUUUUUUUUGAAUUUUUUUUUAUUUUUUUUUCAAAUUUUCUUUUUAUAAUUAAAAAAUACUUUUUGAAAUUGUUUUUAAAAUUUUAUUUUUUAUUUUAGUAUUUAUUUUUUAUAAAAUUUUAAACUCUAAUUCCAAAACCCCAUCCCUUAACUCUAAACCCUAAGGUUUGGAUUAAUUAACCCAAGGGGUAUAAGUGUAUAUUUACCUCUUUAAUGAAACCUAUUUUUGUGACUUUGAACCUUGAGUGCUACUUUGGGAACAAAAACUUAGUUUGGUGCUAUUCUAGUCUUUUUCUCAUGUUUUAACUGAUUUAUCUUUUUAAAUAAUUAUAUAUUAAUAAAAUAUUAAAAUUGAAUUUAAAUAUCUAACCAUAUUUUAAUAACUAAAAAAAAUUGAGAAUUUGAAAUGAACAAAAAGAGAAAAAAAAAAUCAAAGAAUCAGACAAUUAGAUACAUACACUUAUAUAGCCGACUCUUACAUAAACGGUGUGAAUAAAAUGUAAAACAUCUCUAAAAAAAUAUCGAAGAAAGAAAGCCCAAAUAGCCGAAACUUUUUUCUUUCUUCCUUUUUAUUUUUAUUUGAUAUCGUUAUAUCGGGUUAGGGUCUCGAUUUUAUUUUCCAAUUUUGAUUUGCCCUUUUGUGUUUUUUUUUUCUGUCGACUUAUUGAUGCAGAGAAAUAUUUAGAUAUAUUCCAAAUAUUUUUAUUAUCUAGUUUAUACUUAUUUUAAUAUUUAUCUUAAUUAGUUAGAAUUAUCUUAAAAAUUUUUAAUAAUUUUAUAGUUAUUUAGUUUUCAUAUAAAUAGGCAUCUUAGACUAAAUAAAAAUCUUUGUAAUUAUAGUAGCUUCUGCUACCUCAGGUAGUAUCAGAGUUGGUAUUUUGGUUUCUUAAUGUUGAAGGGAAACAUUUAUUUUUCGCAAAAGAAAAUUUGUUUUCUGAAAGUGAAAACACCGUUUAUAUCAAUGUUGUUGGCGAUCCAAUAUUCGAUGUCUAUGAUGAUGUUGUUCUGAAAGAGAAAGACGCUCAUGUUAAAAAUUAUAUUUGUGACGAUGAUGAAAACAAUUUCAUCAAAAUUGCAAGGAUCAGCGAUGGGCAUGUGGUGGCUGUCUCGGAAGAUGGAACUACUACCAAGAAUUUCCAUAUCAUAUCGACGAAAUAAGACGUCAUGUAUCAGUGUUUUUAAAUCUGAACCGAACUGGCGAUCAGACCAGGUUAAACCAUGAACCAAAAAUAAUCUAAAAACCCUUAUCGAACCGUCAAAAAUCCAGAAACCGACGGCUCAAUUAACCAGCCAAACCCCGGUUCGUAUAUAAGCCAAAAUUUGUUAUUAAUUUUUCUUUUUUUAAAGUAAAAAUAAGAUUUAUCAAAGAUUAAUAAAGUAUAGUCUCUCGUCUUUUUGUUUUGUCUUCUUUAGAACUCAUAAAUUACAAGAUUCACAAAGUUUAAUAUUCACGUCAAGAUAUUGUUUUGUCUACUUCUCAUUUUUUAAAAAAAAAUUAUUUCAUGAUCACUUAUUUUGAAGACUUUAAAUCAUUGAAACAUUUUCGUUUUUGAAAUUUGUAUUUCAAAAUAUAACUUUUACCUAAUGUGUAUAUAAUUUUUUUUAAAGGUGAUGAAGAUGUAGAGUGAUAAGAUCUACGAAUAAAGUUUAAAUGUGCUUUCCAUAUUGUUUUAUGAUUUUAAUUUUUUUUUUUGUUUUUCUACACAUUAUGACUAUUUAAACAUUUUAUUUGAUAUGAUAUAUUUUUUUAAAAAAAUAUGCAUAUUAUUUAUAAAAUAUCAUUAAAUUUAGUUUAAUCUAAAUAAAUUCGAUCGAACCCGGUUCAGAUCCGGUCGAAUUACAAUGAGCCAUGACCCAAAACAAUUCCGGUUCGCUUGCCGGUCCAGUUUUAAAAACACUGUCACGUAUAUAUUCAACAGCACUAGAAGCCAAUCAGAUGUGUUUCCUUGGGGUUUUGGAGUAAAAAAGGAGGUUUCAUGCAAAUUAUGGAAAUUUUGGCUAAAGGCAAUACAUGUCGUAUAAUUUGUUUGGAGAUGAAUAAAUAAGAAGGUGAAGAGAUACAAAUGGAAGAGAUGCAAAAUAAUAACAUUUCAUGUGAAGAUUUCAAAUCUGGUUUUGGGGUUGAAGAUCACAGUUAAGAUUCAAGGACAAAUCUUCUCUAACCCGGAAAGAAUGAUACAGAGAGAUAUUUGGAUAUAUUCUACAUAUUUUUAUUAUCUAGUUUACAAUUAUUUUAGUAUUUAUAUUAAUUAGUUAGAAUUAUCUUAAGAAUUUUUAAUAGUUUUUUAUUGUUAUUUAAUUUUCAUAUCAAUAGAGGUCUUAGACCAUACGCAACGCGGGUUGUUAGGUAUUUCUUAGCGCUAAUCCUUAGGGAAAUUUGGAAUAAAAACGAUUAUUAAAUUAGGUUAAGCUAAGAAAGAAUCCUUACCUAAGGAUUUUUCGGCUUUGGUCCUAGAUGAGCUGGCAACACCUGAUUCGUGCGGAGAAGCGUUGUGUUUCGUAUAGCGAAAGUCAAACUUUCAUUUACGCGACUCGAUCUGAAUAAAAAACCUCUACAUCUCUCCAGGCGAAGGCAAAGGCGAUUCGUCGAUCCGCGUCGUUGAAGGUAAAGCCGACCGUUUAAACUCAUUAUUUUUUCUUAUGGAGUUGAUGCAUGUUGAUUUCAUCAGUUUUUAGGGAUCCGAUUGGGGGAUUUGAAUAGCUUUCGGCCUUGAAAUCGAAUUGGGGAUUUAAUUCGAAUUAGGGUUUCCAUCUGGGUUUGCUUUUCUCUUCUUUUCGAUAAGCUUCUUUGUUGUUUCGUCGCGAUUACGGGUUCGGGUUUGAGUGUAAAUCGAUUUAGGGUUUUAUAAAUCGAUUUAGGGUUUUCUAAUUUGGGGAUUUUGAUUCGAUUAUAUUUUUUUGUUCUUGUAGGUUCUAAAUGGAGGAAGAAAUGCGAGAUAUGAAAGCACACAAAGCAUACUACAACAUGCUUCAUUUCGUUUCAGAAGCCCAACAUGGAAUUCCCAAGUUGUGCCCCCGUGGAUCUAUCACGAAGGAGUUCGUCGACGAAGAGGAUUCAUAUGACUACCUCCCCGGGAAAAGAUACUUCAUCUGCAAAGACUACCAGGUUCAAAAUGUUCUGUCUCUUUAUACUCCAUAUUGAUUUUCUGUUUGAUUAAUCAUUUAAUGUUUUCGCAGAAUGACGGGAUGCAUUUCAGGCAACCAUGGGUUAUGGGUGUGCAACAAGAGUUUGAGAGGCUCAAACAUCGCAUGAUGGAGCAGGAGAAGCUUCAGCUAGAGUGCGAGGCGCUUAAGGUUAGUUUAUAAGUUAAUGUUCAUUGGUGUUUGUACAAUCUUUCUAACACAUUGUUUGUUUUCUGUGAUGUCUCUUCAGUACCAGGUUAAGAUGCUUCUUCAGCGUGUGUCUGAACUUGAGAAAGUCCGCUGAGGUUAGUGUUUUGAACUGUGUCUCCUUGUAGUUUAAUUUUGAGAACAAAGUAGGAUAGUGCAUGUGUCUCCUUGUAGUUUGAGUUCAAAGUAGGACCGUCUGUGUGUAACUUUGUUGAAACUAGGAUCGUGCGUGUUUCUCCUUGCAGUUUGAAAACAAACUAGGAUUGUACUGGUUAACGUUCUAGUUUGAAACUAAACUUAACUUCGUAGUUUAAAUGCACACCAAACCACCACUAAAUUAUUCCUUAACUGCUUCUUUUAGACUAAAACAUUAAUUUUAUUGUCGUGAGCUGUUUUGAUAUGACAGUUUCCUACUAGGCUUCAAUGCUGUUAAUGUAGAAUCCUUUAUUUAAUCCUCUGUGUUUCUACUAGAGAAACACAGACUUCUUCCUAAAUGGCAAAUAACAAUGGUUAUGUUAACUUAUUAGCGAGCCAAGGGUCAAUUGACUUUGGCUCAUCACAACCUUUUUUCUUUACCGGUCAAAGUAGUGAUGAGUCUAGUGUCAAAGAGAGGAGAAAGUGGACACCGAAGGAGGAUUUAAUCCUCAUAGGUGCGUGGCUCAACACCAGCAAAGACCCAAUAGUGAGCAACGAACAAAAAGCUGGUGCCUUCUGGAAGAGAAUUGUAGAGUACUACAAUUCUAGUCCUCUCCUGGUUGGGACUAUCCCACGAGAACUUGGGCAAUGCAAGCAAAGAUGGGCUCGGAUCGACGAUUUGGUAUGUAAGUUUGCUGGCUGCUACGACAUGGCACUGAGGGAGCAGACAAGCGGGCAAAAUGACAACGAUGUGAUGAAGUCUGCCUUGGAUAUCUUCCACAGUGACCAGAACCAGAAGUUCAACUUGGAACACGCGUGGAGGGAGCUUAGGCAUGAUGUGAAAUGGUGCUCCACCAACCUUGAGAAAGAAAAGCGCAAACCAGUGGAUCCUGUUGCGAACGAAGGGUCAGUGCCAGAGCCAGAAGAGAGACCAAUUGGAGUGAAGGCUGCGAAGGCUGCUAAAAAGAGAAAGAAAACUGGAAAAGAAGAAGAAUUGGCAAAGCUUGAGAAUUUGUUGGAAAUAAAAAAACAAAUCUCAAAGGAAAGUUUGCUAGAGAGUUUGCUUGCAAAGCCCGAGCCUCUCUCUGAGAUGGAAUCAGCUCUCAAAAUAAAACUUAUGUCUGCUUUGUUGUAGGGUUUGUUAGCUCUAACCUUAGUUUGCCUAUGUCUACUUUACAAUGUGUGCAUUAGACUAGUUUACGAUGUUUGCAUUAGACUAGCUUAGAUGUUUGCAUUAGACUACUUUACGAUGAUAACCUCUGCUUACACACGUGAUUUUGCUCUGUUUCAGGUGAAGUACAAGACCAUGUGCUUGUUGAAGACAAAAGCUGGUAUCUCUUCUCUCUUCAGUCACGGGUGGUUUGUCUCUUUCUCCUUGUAUUUCGAUGUGAACCAAGUCACGGGUGUAUUUGUAUCUUUCUCUUUGUAUUUUCAUGUGAACCAAGUCGUGUACCAUGUUGCCUUUAUAAGUCUGUUUAUGUGAACGAAGUCCUUUGUGCUUCUUCUUCCUUGUAUUGUCUCAAACCGGAUGUAAUGAUGUUUUAGUGUAUUCUAUUUCCUUUGCUCUUCUUCUCCUUGUACAACCUACUUACAAACGAAAUACUCAACCUUCAAAAACUUAAGCAAACUUAAGCAAACGAACCAAGUCGUUGUUGCCAAUCUCCACACGCCUUGAUCGCUGAGACGAGACGUUCAUCCUCUCAUCCCACGACAUAAAACCAUCCUCUCAUCACACGCCUUGUUUCUGUAAGCAUUAGUUUUUGAAAUAGUUUUGCGAAGUAGAAGCCUGUUUACGGUUUACGGUUUGGUCUCCAAUUCAAUUUAUGGGCAUUAUGGUUUUCGAAAUAAGCACAAAGAAGGAUAGUGUGGUUAUUUCCCCUGAGAAAUCACUAUACUAUUUAAUUAAACUCACUUCCACAAAAGUUUUAUUUAUUUAUUUGAUAUAUGUAAAAUUCUACUUUUUACAAGUGAGUGUAUUACGUGACUAAUUAACCCUUUCCUAAUACUAUUAUAUAACAAUUAUCAGCUGAUGACUUUAGUAAUAUAAAUUACGAUUAAUGCAAUUCAAAAAAAUAAUACCAAAAGAAAGUUUAUAAUAAAUAAGUUUAAUAUAAUGUUAAGAGUUCUAAAACGUGUGCCUUGAAAAAUCAGUUUUGAAAGAAGGAUAGGCAAAUAUGGCAGAUGAAGUCGACCGAAGACUCGAUGCGGCUGUCAAUGAGGCUUUUGAUGAAUAUUUUGAAGACACAUACAACAGCAUCAUGGAGAAUCGAACAAAUAAAAAGAAGAAACGUGCAUAUGUCGAACAAAACCGCGAAGCGGGCCACAACCGUCUAUGGAAUGACUAUUUUAGUGAAAAUCCGUCAUUUCCAGAAAAUUUAUUCAGACGUCGUUUUCGCAUGAACAAGCAAGUAUUCAUGCGUAUUAUCGACACCCUCUCAGCAAAUGUUCCAUUCUUUCAGCAAAGGAGAGAUGCAGUCGGACGGUUGGGUCUAUCUACACUACAAAAGUGUACGGCGGUUAUUCGUAUGCUUGCUUAUGGCUGUGCGGCUGACGCCGUCGACGAGUAUCUCCGACUCGGUGAAAGCACCGCACUUUCAUGUUUAACCCAUUUCACAGAUGCUGUAAUUCUAUUAUUUGGAGAAGAAUAUCUACGGAGACCCAAUCCUGAGGAUCUUCAACGUUUACUCAAUAUUGGAGAGAUCCGCGGCUUUCCGGGGAUGAUUGGAAGCAUCGACUGUAUGCAUUGGGAGUGGAAAAAUUGCCCAACCGCUUGGAAAGGACAAUACACACGUGGAUCAGGAAAGCCGACACUUGUUUUGGAGGCUGUGGCGUCACAAGAUCUUUGGAUAUGGCACGCUUAUUUCGGUUCUCCAGGUACCUUAAAUGAUAUUAACGUCCUUGAUCGAUCACCUGUAUUUGAUGACAUUUAUCAAGGUCGAGCUCCAAGGGUAACGUACAUAGUCAACGGACACCAGUAUGAUUUGGCGUACUACCUCACGGACGGUAUAUAUCCAAAAUGGUCAACAUUUAUCCAAUCUAUCACACUCCCUCAAGGUCCUAAAGCAGAGUUAUUUGCUAAAGUUCAAGAAGCUACCCGAAAAAAUGUGGAGCGUGCUUUUGGUGUAUUGCAAGCUCGAUUUGCGAUAGUGAAAAACCCGGCGCUGUCAUUGGACAAGGAAAAAAUAGGGAAGAUUAUGAGAGCAUAUAUCAUACUGCAUAAUAUGAUUGUCGAAAAUGAACGGGGUGGAUACACUCUGUACGAUACAUCUGAAUUUGAAGAAGGAGACUCGAGCAGAAGUUCACAUGUUGAGCAUAUUAACAACAUGCCUACCCAUUUCGGUAAUAUGCUUGGUCUACGGAAUCAUGUUCGAGAUAGGCGUACACACAAAGCAUUGAAAAAUGAUUUAAUCGAAAAUAUUUGGAACAAGUUUGGUGAUGAUGAAGAUGUAUAAUUAUCGUAUGUUUGCUUUUAAUCAUUGAAUAAAAAAAAUUUUAAAUUAAUUUUUUUUUAAAUUUAAUAAUUUUAAAUUCUUAAAGACUUCAUUUUGAGUAACACCAUUGGGCAUACAUUUUAGACUCAAAUCCUUAACUAUUCAAAAAACAAAAAAAAAAUACUAUUAUAAUCCUAAGGACUCCAAUGGUGGGUAACACCAUUGGAGUUGCUCUUAUAUGCUUAUGAGACGGGAAACAUAAUGGAUAGAUUCUCGAACUAGAAAUCCUUCUUGCGGAUUCGAAGUAAGGGAAUACACAGACCUAGAAGAUGAUCGUAAGGAUAGAAAGAUCACCUCGAAGAAUUGUGGUUUCUUCGGAAGCGCUUCCACAAUGAACAUGUGUUCCAAGUGUCAAAACCGAAGGAAGGACCAACCCGAUGUGCUACUUGCAAGAAACGGGUUGGUCUGACUGGAUUCAAAUGUCGCAGUGGUGACCUCUUCUGCGGGACACACCGCUAUGCAGACAUACAUAACUGCUCCUUCAAUUACCAUGUCGCUGUGCAAGAACCUAUAGCUAAAGCAAAUCCAGUUGUGAAGGCAGAGAAGCUUGACAAAAUCUGAAAAACUCAAACACCAAAGUUUCCUUCGUCCUGUCUGUCUGGUCCAAGGUCGUUGCUUAUAUACAUGGUCCAAGAACGAAAGCGUGUUUUGCUCUUUAGCUUCUUUCAUUCUCUCUACAAUAUUUGUGGUGUGAAACUUUCUAUUAUCUUUGUUUGCAAGCAGAGAAGUAUGCUCUUAAAGAAUAUGCUUUGAUGUGUUUUUUUUUCUUAUGAUUUAUGAGCACUAUGGUUUGUUUAUGUUUCAUCAUUUAGGUAUGUAUCAUAAUGAGACUGUAUCUGUAGCUAUAUAUUGAAUCUUUUCUUUAAAAGUGUGUGCUUGUCUUACGUUGGAGGUUUUAGGUCAGACUCUCGUUCAUUUUCAUUUAUCUGUUUGGUGAGCUAUGGAAGUGCUGUGAAGUCAUUAACUUUAACAUCUGGCUAACUGCCCCGAUGAAGAUUCAGGAGCUUAGCUUUCCCCGGUUUAUGAUGACCAAUGUGCAUAACCGGAUAGAUCGGUUCACCCUCGCCACAUACUACCAAAACACUGAACCAAAAACUUGUGAAUUUGUCACCCGUGCGCUGUAGUAGAUAUAUUAUUCUUUAUAUCUAUAUACUACAUGAUGACCUGUGUGUAUGCACUGGGUGAAAGUUUAAUACAAUACUGCUGGCAAAUGUAAACAAUAAAUUCACAUAACCUGCCUAUUUUAUGUAUAAAAACAUAUGGAUAAUAUGGAAAUUUUAUUGAUGAAUAGUAUGGACAAAAAAAAGGGGUUGGUUUUGGAUUUGACUUGAAAAAGUGGGUUGGUUUUGAAAAACACCCAAUUAAUAAACGAAGCAACCGUAGACUAAGUUAUGCAUUCAACGUUAAAUCUUUAUUUUCAUGUGAAUAAAAACAUAACAAAAUCCAAAUGUAUUCAAGAUAGAUAGAGAAAACAUGUUGAAAGCUACUCAUUCUAAUAAAAAAGUAGGAAAUCAUGAAGUACAUUAACGUUGACAUCAACUAAAACCAUCUCACUGAGACCACCACCAGCCGAAUAUUGUUUCCACAGGAUAACCUUCACUUUGAUUUUUCACUUUGAUUUUCCACAUUGAUUUGAACGGUUUCAAGUCAAAAACGGCAGUGAAAGAUGCCAAAGUUCAGCACACUAAGGCUUGAGAAUUUAGCUUGUUUUGGUUUCUUGUUUCUUUUCCGUUACCCGUAAGGCCAUAACUAACCCCAAAAAAAAGGUAAAGUUAACAAACGUGCCAUGAGAGCAGUGCUGGCCCUGGGCCCAAGUUGAUGAAGUAUGAGCUUCCGGCCACCAAUUUAUAUGUACUAAACCAGUCACAAAAUUAAUAAAAACUUGUGUAGUCGAGAGGUUGAAACAGCAUUUAUCUUGCCAAGGGGACAAGGGUUUGAAUCUUUCCUGGUCUAAAUCACAGUUUUUGGCCACUUUUUUUAUUUUUAGCUAGUAGCCUCAAAUACACUAGGACCAGCUCUGCAUGAGAGUGUGUCUGCCUCUGCGAGUGCCCUAAAGCCACGUGCAUGAAUUGUCCUAUGCUCUUUUCAUUCUUAGUUUUUUUUUUGUGUAAAUGUUAAGAUUUAUAUCAGUUUUUUUCAGUUUUUAAGUUGUGAAAAACCACUUAUUACAAGAAAGACAAAAUACAAGAAAACAAAGAGAGCAAAGAGAGAAUUUCAAAGGGAAGAACAUUAAGGCGGCCGGCCGGAAUGGUUCAUUCUUAGUUUCGACUGAUUUUGGCUAUAUUAGACAACCACUCACUCAGGGCCGGGCCUAGUUACAAGCCCAUCAAGCAUUUGCUUGAGGGCUGAUCACUAUAAAAAUAUUUUUGGGGCCAACUUUUCUAAUAAUUAGGUAGCAGAGAUGGUGCAAGAAGCUAUAAUAUGAGACCCCUCUAUGGGUGCCCUGGGUUCGAAUGCUGAGUAGUGCGAUUCUGGGCCAAUUUUUUUUCUCGCUUCUAGUUUGCCAAAUGUCAGGCACGGCCCUGCACUCACUACACUGUCACGGGAAAGAUCUACUAGGUUUUCUUAUAACAAUUCUAUUCUUCUUCUUUUUGUCAACUUGUGAUAACAAUUCUAUUAUAUAUUACACGUUUUCUUAAUACAAAAUUUGAAUCUCGAGAUAUAUUAUAACUUUCAAUAGGUUUAAUUAUAUAUGAAAACAGAGAAAUAACUCUAGAAUAGUUCAUCAUAUAUAUAUACUAGUAGUAUUCCGGCGCUACGCGCCGGUUUUGUAUGUUUUAUUCUUACGUAAAUUUACAAUUCAUUUUAUGGCCUUAUUAAAGAAAAUAUGUUCAAAAAUAUGAAAAUAAAACUAUAUUAAAAGAAAAUGAUAUUUUUCGGAUUCAUUUGAUAGUGGUUAGCGAUAGUGUAUUACUUUGUUUUGAAGUUACUUAUUUCAAAGUGGAAUAGCAUAAGUAGUUGUGACUAAUCAAUUCAAUAAAAAUAAAAUAAAUAGCUGGUAAUCGUAACAAAGUUUAUUUAGUUGAAAUUUAAACAUAAAGUAAAGUUGAUGUUUUAUUUAGAAAACAUAUUUAUACUGCUAAGUACCAUAUGGACAUUAUAUAGAAAAAACGGCAUUUGAAAUUUUAUUUUAAAGACUAAUAUGAAUUUAAACGUGUGUAAUGAAGUUUUAUUCAUAUAUUCUUCUUAUUUUUAUAUAUAAGGAUUAAGGAUUGUUGUUUAUUUUUAGAAUUAAUCGUUUGAGUAUUUUUUUUAUUUUAAAGUAGUUUUGUUUCAAUUUUCUGUCAAAUAUUUGUUCUUACAUUGUCCAUUAUAAUUAUUGUAAUAUUUUGACGUAUGUUUAUUUGAUUUAUGGGAACUUAACCUCAUCAUCUUAUGCGGUUAGUAAUUUUUCUCAACAAUAAAGUUGAAGUGGGACAACCAAAGGUAAGCAGCUUAUUGAUUUGGGCUACCAAAAUAAUGUCAUAAAAUCUCAUUAUCGACUCUUGAUAUUCCAAUAACUUGUACAUCAUACUCUGCGACUCUUCAACCCAAAUAAAGAGACAUAUAUUGCAACUUUGUAGCAUAGACAAAAGAAAAACUCUUAAAAGUGACAGAUAAAUCGUGAGCUACCUUCAUGCUUCUAACACAGCUCGAGAUGUCAGAACACUUCUUUGUCACAUCUAGUGAACAACUUUCUUUGUUGUUCAAAAAAAAAAAAGUGAACAACUUUCUUUUGAAAGUUUGCAAACCAGGCCUGAAACGAUAGAUAAUACCAACAAUUUCAUCUAUAUUUGUAAUUUGUUUCCAAUAUGAGGCUUUUAUUGAUGAUAUUAUAAGCAAAAGCAUUCGUCGUGCUAUAGGUAGUGACUCGUACCGAAAGAUCUCAUGUGAUUCGCUUGGCUUUUGAUUUGAGUACGGUCAGCUCAUAAUCUUACGACCCGUUAAAGGUUUGCAAUCCAGGCAAGCAAUGAAAAAUAAAACAUCAAAAACCCAUAAAGGGUUAGGUUUUUAUCUAAAUUGACAGACAACAGAACUCAAGAAACUGAUGAAAUAGAAAGUAGGAAGGAUCGGAAGCGGCAUAGUAUACAGAGGAGAAAAAUAAGUUUGAGUUUCGAAAUCAGAAAGUGGAUUUUGAUGCGUGCACCUUGUCACCGUGGGUGAGCAGCGAAUAUAUAGUGAGUAAGUGACAGAGGAGAAUCUGAAGCGAAGGUCGGCAUGGAGCUGUUACUGUGUUUGAAUGAUGAAUAAUUGAAAGAAGAGUGGGGAAUAAGGACAUUCGAACUUGAACUUUUGCUUGCAGUAAUUUUUUUCUUUUUCUAAUUUGUUUUUGUUUUCCUUACAAACCAUUCCAAUCAUGAACCCGGACAUAACCGAAAUCAAUGGUAAUCUUAACUGAAAUAGAAACAAAACCUAACUAAAAUUAAACGGGAGCUAACCGGAGACCAGGAACCCUAAAGAGCAAACGACGAAGCCGUCGUGUAAGGAUAGUCGCCAAAAGAAACCUUCAGCGGCAUAGGACCACCACCAAGAGGCGAGGCGAGGCGAGGCGAGACUCGAGCAUCCACCUUCAAAGAUAGACCGGAGCAGACCAGAAAAGCUUCUACCACAAACAUAGAGAAGCACGACAUAACCACCGAAACAUCUGACAGAGAGAGAGAGAGAGAGCCGAGAAAAACUACAUCGGCGAGAAGGAGGCAGAAAAGGGAGAGAAAAAAGCUUGAUUUGGUAAACUAUCUUACAACUGGGCCAGUAUGUUUCCUAGAAGCCCAAACCCAAAAUCUUCAACAAAUGAAAGCGUGACAGGUGUCAUCAAAAAGCCCCAAGGAAAGAAAAAAGUCUACUUUAUAGUAUAAGAUAUAUAUAUUAAAAGCAGCUGUAUGCGUUCAAAAAAAGUAAAAAAGAAUCUAAAUCAGUUGUAACUUUUAUCUUGAAUAGUUGUAAUUAGUAAUUAUCAAAAUGUAGAUACAAGGUCAUGUCUAAUGAAACAAAACCCAAACCAUUAGAGUUAUUAUGGAGCCAGAAGAUGAUAGAUACCCUUAUUCUUGGAUUAUCUUAUAUAUUUGGAAGGCGAGUAAUGACAAGUUAUUCAGAGGUAUAGAAAGGGACCCAUUGGAGUUAGUCAAAUAUGCAGAGAGUGAAUGUCAAGCAUAGUACAAUACAAAGGAUAUUAUAAAUGUUCUUCCACGGGCGCAAAUUGUUGAAGAAACACAAGCUUUAAGCUUGGGUAAUAUUUGUACGGUGGAUGGUUCAUGGACCUCCACAGAUCAAUUCAGUGGAAUUGGAUGAGUUUGGAAGGAUAGCAUAGAAAGAUCCAACUUAUGCAGACACGAAACUUAAUUGGUAUAAACGUGAAAUAGAUUUAUAAAUCUAUUUCACGUUUGGAAUCUAUUUCAAUGGAAUUGGAUGGGUUUGGAUUUAUAAAUCUAUUUUACGUUUGGAAUCCUAAAAAUAAGUAUUGUUAGUGUCAUUUUCUUGAGUUUGUAAAUAUAUUUUACGUUUAUAACUCACAUAUUAAGAAAAAAGAAUUAACCAUCUUUUAAUAUAUUUUUUACAAAAUGCAAAAUGAAUUUUAUUUACUAAGUAUAUUUGCCGGGAAAUGCUCUCGUCUAAACCGCAGGACUCAAAACGCAAUGGUUUAAAUGUGUUUGUGUAACAUUUAUAGAAGAGACGUAAUGACAAUAUGAGCUGAUAUUUAUAACUGAAAAUUUCUAAAAUGGGUUCGCUAACCUAACCGAUGGAAUUAGAUAUACGUGAAUCUGUAACAUCCUGAGUUGUGAUAUAUGGAAAGGCUUAAGAGGAUUGAUUUGACUACCUAUGUCACCAAAGUUGACUUACAUUUUAUGUCACAUAUCCGUUUAGAACUCCAGACUUAAUCACGUUUGGGCUGGAGUAGUGAAAGGAUGAGUGACCUAUCGGGAAGUGAUUUGCGAUACCGUGCGAGUGAGGUCAAAACACGAGGAAAGAUCGGGUGGUGAUUACAUGGCCAGUAAACAAUGAUUUCGAGUUUUCAGAAAAAUUAAUGCACCGAUUGUUGGAAUGGGAUGGGAUCCACGGGCCGAGUGAGCAGACGUGGAUGGCCCAUUAGCCGUGGGUGGUCGGAGCGUUAUAAGUGGUAUCAAAGCCAGGUUAGCCAUCUCGGUUCUGGUCCGAAAGCUGUCUUGAGACAUGUCGUGGGGUGCAACGAGAACGUUGCGUUCUUUGAAAGGGGGUGAAUUGUGACAUCAUGAGUUGUGAUAUAUGGAAAGGCUUAAGAUGAUUGAUUUGGCUACCUAUGUCACUAAAGUUGACUUACCUUUUCCAUCACACAUCCGUUUAUAACUCCAAAGUUAAGCGUGCUUAGACUGGAGUAGUGAGAGGAUGGGUAACCUAUGGGAUCGUGAUACCGUGCGAGUGAGGUCAAAAGUGGAAACAUCGGGUGGUGAUUGUAGGGUCAGUAAACAAUGAUUUCGAACUUUCAGAAAAAUUAAUGCACCGACUGUUGGAACAGGAUGAAGCCUACGGAUCGAGUGAACGGAUGUGGAUGGCCCAUUACCCGUGGACGGUCGGAGCGUUAUAGAAUCAUUGUUGAUGAAAGAUUCCGAAAUUUUUAUGUCGACUAUAUUUUUGGUUUUGCAUUUUUAUAUGGAACAAAGGUGAUAGUGAAGUAGCCAAAAAGUAACUUAUACGUUGCUGGUAUAUCUCAAUAAAUACCAACAAAAAUGGUUAGUUACAUAAAGAGAUUUAUAAUUUGUCUUAGAGCAUCAACAACCAUUGGGACCUCAUUAAGUAAACAAAUUAUUAAUAUUUUAUUUUAAUUAAAUGAAGUAAUUAAUUUUUAUUUAUCUUUUUGAAUUUAAAAUAAUAUAAAAGUGACACAUGAGUCUGUAGGUUAUAAAGUCGUUGAAAUAUAUAAGUUUAGAACUUUUUCUGACACUUUUCCUAAUUUUUUCUUAUUAAUUGAUUAUUUUUAAUUUUAGAAACUUAUGUCAAAAACCUCCGUUGAAAGUGUUCGAAUAGGGUAGAAAAUAAAUAAAUUGGACUGAAAACAAUUAAAUUAAAAGGGGCCAAAAGAAGAUUUGGAAAGGCAAAUCUAAUGUCAUUACAUGAACCCGUACUUGGUGGCCAAAGAAGAAGAAGAAGAAGCAAAGUUAACCUAACCGGUAUCACAGCAUGAUUACUUCUAGCGGGUCUGCAUGUGCGCGUGUUCUAAAGCCACGUCCUAGGUUGCAGUUGUCCUUUGCUUUUUUCUUUCUUAGGCAGAAACUCAGUUGAGUUUCUUCAUUAAUGCUUUAUCAUUUUUUUUAAAAAAAAUGAUUAAAAAUAAAAUAAACAUACCAAUAAUUUGUCAAUAGCCAUUAAAAUCUGAGUUCUUCAUUAAUGCUUUAUCAUUUUUUUUAAAAAAAAUUGAUUAAAAAUAAAAUAACAUACCAAUAAUUUGUCAAUAGCCAUUAAAAUAUUGUCAUUUGCAGGGUCGGUCCUGAAUCAUGUUAGGUGAAACAUUUGCAAUAGGUUCUCAAUUUUUUUAAAAAAAAUUACAUAUAAAUAAGCUUUCAAAAAAAAUUUUAAACCUCUAAAUUUGUAAAAAAAAAGAAAAAUUACAUAGAAACAGUCACAUGUUCCAAAAUCUCAGGACCGGCCUUGAUCAUUUGUCUUUAGAAUUUCUCAAAAACUUUUUAAAAAUCUUUCCCAAUAAAGAUGAAUCUUCAUUUCUCUCCGUUUUAUUCUCUUUUGUUUUUUUCUUGUUUCUUUUAUUCACCAGAUACCCUAGGGAUACUGUCUUUUUUUUUCUUUGAACUUACCCUAGGGAUACUGUCACUGCGCUUGUCCUUAAUUUCGUCUGAUUUCAGCUCAAUAACACAACCACUCACUGUCACGGGGAGAUAUUUGCGCGUUUUCUUACUACCAAAUGUGAAUCUCGAGAUUUUUUUCCCAAAACUUUCUAAAAGUUAGCAACUUAUCUAGAAAUUAGAUAUAUUAAAAACAGCUAUAUACGUUCAAAAAGGUAGAAAUAAUCUAAAUUAGUCGUAAGUUUUAUCUAGAAUAAUUUUUAUUAGUAAAUAUUAUCACAAUUUUUUUCUCAAAAAAAAAAAUAUUAUCACAAUGUAGAUACAGGGCCAUGUCUAACGAAACAAAACCCAAACAAAAAACAUGUCUAAAACCUCUUGAUAAUGUAAACUUUUAGGGGUCCAUUUUCUAACUUUUAUACAGUACAGUAUAUCCUAUAAAUAAAUAUUGUUAACCACCUUUAAUACAUUUUACAAAAUACAUAUUUUUUUUUCUGAACGAAACAUAUAAUUUUUAUUACUAUACAUAUUUUUACCACAAAAAGUAUUAUGUUUUUUUUUCUGCAAUCAUCUUAGGCUUCCAAAACCCUAGGAACAGACAUAUAAAAUGCCAAUGAACGUACCAAUCACAACAAACUCAACCUUGUAAAUGGCCGGAGAAAUGCUCUCGCCUACACCUCAGGAGUCAAAACGCAACCGUUUAAAACCGCAUAUCAUGGUGUUUCCAUAUCCAGCACAAGGCCACUUGCUUCCUCUUCUGGACUUAACCCAUCAACUCUGUCUUCUUGGCAACGUCACUGUCUCAAUCAUCGUCACACCUAAAAACCUUCCUCACCUCUCCCCUCUUCUCUCCGCUCAUCCAUCCGCCGUCUCCGCCGUCACUCUACCUCUCCCUCACAGUCCUUCCGGCGUUGAGAACGUCAAAGACCUUGGCUGUACUCCUCAUAUCAUGGCUUCUCUUCGUCAGCUUCGAGAGCCUAUCAUCAAGUGGUUACGUUCUCAUCCAAAUCCUCCCGUUGCUCUCAUCUCUGACUUCUUCCUCGGAUGGACCAACGAUCUCGGUGUUCCUCGCUUUGCUUUCUUCAGUUCUGGAGCGUUCUUUGCUUCGCUUGUACAUUAUGUCUCCGACAAGCGUCAUCUCUAUGACCAAACUGAGCCUGUCUGUAUCUCGGAUCUUCCUCGCUCCCCUGUUCUUAAGACAGAGCAUCUACCGUUAACCCCGCAAUCUCCCUUGUCGCGAGAUGUUAAUAUCGUUAGAGACAUGACCAUGAACUUCUCUAGCCAUGGUUGUAUUUUCAAUUCUUGCAACUGUCUGGAAGAGGAGUACAUGGAGUAUUUGAAGCUGAAAGUGGGUCAUAACCGGGUUUUUGGUGUUGGUCCGGUUUCUUCUGUCGGUUUAGGCAAGGGAAAAUCAGAACUCAAUGUAGACGUGAAGACCUUGUUUAGUUGGCUUGACGGAUGUCCGGAUGGAUCUGUGCUUUACAUAUGUUUUGGAAGUCAAAAAGUGUUGAGUAAAGAGCAAUGUGAUGCUUUGGCGCUUGGUCUUGAAAAGAGCAUGACCCGGUUCGUUUGGGUGGCUAAGACAGACCCGAUACCCGAUGGGUUUGAGGAUCGGGUCGCCGGUAGAGGAAUGAUUAUUAUCGGGUGGGCUCCUCAGGUGGCUGUGUUGAGUCACGUGGCCGUUGGUGGGUUUUUAAGCCAUUGUGGAUGGAACUCGGUGCUGGAAGCGGUAGCCAGCGGAACAACGAUCUUGGCUUGGCCUAUGGAAGCAGAUCAGUUUGUGGAUGCCAAGUUGCUGGUGGAGUAUACAGGUGUAGCUGUUAGUGUCUGUGAAGGGGGUAAGACUGUGCCGAACCCACAUGAGUUAGGUCGGGUCAUAGCUGAAACAAUGGGUGAGCAAGGACGUGAGGUACGUGCUCGGGCCAAGGAGAUGGGAAAGAAGGCACGUGCUGCGACAGAAGUAAGAGGAAGCUCUACUAUUGAUUUGGAAAGACUUGUCAAAGAACUGGACUCUCUAUAAAGAUAUGAUUGCAAUGAUUAAAACGGUUUAUGGAAAUAAAAAAAGUGUUUUAUUGUUAAAGCAUCAUAUCUUCUUAGUUAAGACUAAGAGCAUCUCCAAUGGUGUUAUAAUCAUUGGAGUCCUUAUGAUUAUUAAACUAAUUUUUUUUUAGAAUAGUUAAGGACUCUAAUCAAAAUAGUAUGUCUAAUGGUGUUUUCCAAUUUGAAGCUCUUAGCAAUAAAAAAUAUUAAAUUUAAUAACAUGCAAAAUUUAAAAUUUUAUUUAUUACAUGAUUAAAUAUUAAGAUACAAUAAUUAUUAAUCUUUAUCACCAAAUUUGUUCCAAAUGUUUUCAAUUAAAUCAUUUUUCAAUUGUUCAUAUAUACGCCUAUCGCGAACAUGAAUCUGAACGCCAAGCAUAUUACCGAGAUUUGAAGGCAUGUCGGUACUAUAAGACAUAUCCACCCGUGAACUUCUGGUGACGUCUCCUUCUUCAAAUUCAGAUGUAUCGUACCGAGUGUAUCCAUCACGUUCAUUUUCGACUAUCAUAUUGUGUAGUAUGAUAUAUGCUCUCAUAAUCUUCUCUAUCUUUUCCUUGUCCCAUGAAAGAGCCGGGUGUUUUCACAAUCGCAAAUCGACCUUGCAAUACUCCAAAAGUCCACUCCACAUCUUUUCGGGUUGCUUCUUGAACUUUAGCAAAUAACUCAGCUUUAGGACCUUGAGGAAGUGAGAUUGAUUGGAUAAAUGUUGACCAUUUUGGAUAUAUACUGUCUGUGAGGUAGUACGCCAAAUUAUACAUGUGACUAUACAUGAGGUUAACAAAACCAGUAUUGCUAUCCAUGGUUAGAGAAUGGUCUGUGUUACUUUACUAGGAACACAGAGCCUUAAGCAAGCGAUUUUUAACUAAGAAAUAUUUAAAUCCAAUAAAAGCUGAGCAGUUAGGAAGGUAGAAAGCAAUUCAUUAGCAUUUAACACCAAUCUAAUCUGACUAAGUAGAAUGGUCUGAGAACUCUACUAGCAACACAGAGCCUUCGGGAACCGAUUUAUAACUAAGUAACAAUUAAAAAAAUCAAAUCUGAGGAGUUAGGAAGGUAGAAAGUAAUUUAGUAGCAUUUAACACUAAUCAAAUUUGACCAGUUGGAAAGUUUUACAGUAAAUGAGUUUUAGCAUUUAUAACAUUUUCACUUUCAUUUUCAGUUAUUCCCGACUUUAAACAUUUUGAAUCAUAAUAUAGUUAUUCACAUACAACUACUAUAUGUUCAAUAUAGUUAUACAUACAACUACUAUAUGUUUUUUUUAUUAUUCAAAGAAAUGAGACUAGGAAGUAGUUUCUACAUACCUUACAGACACUCGCGAGGUCAGAGACAUGCCGUUUUAAGUCUUUGAAGCUCCUCCUGAACAGAUAGGAGAUUAAAAAGUCAAGUUUUUUUAAAAAUGAAGAAACAUCGAUCAAAAGCAGAAGGAGAGAAACUAACCAGGCAGAAACAUGACGACCAAACCUAUUAAAACUAAUACACAAACCAUUAGACAAACAACCAAUUCAAAUCCAUUUGUAGCCCCUGAUUUCUUCUUAGAUAACUCACAGACUGUAUUCUCUAGCUUAACCAGCUUCUGCUUGCUCUCAUUACCUUGAUCCUUAAGCUGCCUAAGUUGUGUCUGAAAGUCACUCAUCUCCUCCAUAACCGCCACAUCCCACCAUUUCCAAACAUGGCAGUCUCCAUCAGCAACAUUCUCACAUGUGAAGUACCUUUUGCCUGGAUCUUUUCUAGUGUAAGAUGUUGCAACAACAGGCUCACCACCACAGUAGCAUGUCUUCGGGAUUCCAUCAUCAGCCUCAGGUUGAGGUGGGUACUGAACCGGAACCUGAAUAUUGUAGCUACUCUCAGCUUCAUCCGCGUACAUAUCAGCUUCUGCUUGAAGGAGGCAGGUUAAACCUAUGUCAUACUCGUCUGAUGAAGAAGGCUGGCUGUAGCUAUAAUCUUGUCCCAUGUUUCGUUAACCUGAAAGAAAUUGACAAGGUUAAUAUUAGACAUGAAAAUUUAAGAACUUGUUCUCCUAUACGAUCUCAAACCCAGAUGAUUCAGUCAUGCCGUUAAACCACAAUAAUCACAGAGCCAAAGCACAUAAUCACAACUUUAAGAAAGAAUCGGAAACCCUAAGCUCAACAGAGUCAUAGAUCCCCAAAUCGAUUGAAACCAAAAUCGUUUGAAACCAAAAUCGUUUUGAAACCCUAACUACAAACGAAAAGAUCCCCAAAUCUAUUGAAACCCAUUUCGUUUUCAAACCCUAAUUUCACACGAAAAGAUCCCCAAAUCGAUUGAAAACCCAAAACCGAACCCUAAUUUGCGAGGAAAACAACAUGCAACCUAAUCUAAAUCCAUAAAUCAACAAGAGAAGGCUUCGAUUUACCAUGAUUAUCCGAGAACAAUUGUUUUUUCUCGCCUUUGUCGGAUUUGUCGCCAAGAGAAAUCAACAAGAGCACAAUCGCCUUUCUCGCCGAGAGGAAAGCUUUUUUUCUCGCCUUCGUCUCCUUUCUCCCCAAGAGAAAUCAAGAACUGCACAAUCGCCUCUUUGUCGCCGAGAGCAAAUUUUUUUUCUCUUGUUGAGUCGAGAAUGAAAUGUUUUUCUCUCCAAACGAAACACAACACUCUCCCCACCCAAUGCCAAGCCGCCACGUCUAUAAGGAUUUGGUCCUUAAAAUCCUUAUUUACGGACCAAUCCUUAGUUAACUAAGUUUUUAUAUUGUUAUUAUAUUGCUAAUAACCUAGUAUUAAGAGUUAAGGAUUCCUCUUCAUUCCCCGUUGCGGGUGCUCUAAGAGCAUGUCAAACAAUAGGCUUUAAGUGAGUAUCUUAGAAAUAAAAUAAUUACAAAAAAAGGAAAGUAGAUGAAAGAUGAAAAGAAAAGUUCUCAAAACAUAACUUAGACCAUCUCCAAUGGAAGUUCUUUCCAUUGGGAUUCUUAAUAUAUGUAUUAUGUAUAUAUAUAUGUAUGUAUAUAUUAUAUAUGUGUAAAUAAUUGUGGGGUCCACAAUUAUUGUGGAACUCCAUAAAUAAAGGUUAUUAAGACCAUUUUUAAUCGAAGUAUUUAAAGGGGUCCUUAGGGGGAUUUAAAGGACUUGGACCCCACAAAAGCAUAAGAGUCGGUUACAAAAGUAAUGAAUUAAGGAUGGAUAUUGGUUAGUUUCUUGUACUGUUUGCGAGCCCCACUGCCACGUGGUGGUCCGCGAUUAGUUUUCUUUUUAAUUUUUUUUAAUCAGAUAAAACAAAAAAAAGAAUUUUUUUUUUAAGAAACCUCCUAACAAUUUCAGCUAUAAUCAUGCCCUAAGGAUUCUUAAAACUCUCUUUUAAGAACCCUUAUCUAUUUGGUUCCACAAAAAUUAUAGACCCUACAGUUAGUUAUACAUAUAUAAUAUAUACAUAACACAUAUAUUAAGAACUCCAAUGGAAAGAACCCUCAUUGGAGAUGCUCUUAUAACACCCAUUUUAGAUACUUUGAGAGACAUGUGUUUUUUUUUAUAUACAUUAAGCAUUUUAAAAUAUAACAAGUUGUAAUUAAUAAACAAAUUACAAUAAAAUAUUAAUAUUCAUUUGAUGAAAACUCCUUUUGAGAAACUGCACGGAUAAGGAUGCUCUAAGAGUCUAUCUAAAAUGUACAUUACUUGAUUUGUAGAAAUAAACAAGACACUUUCUAGAUUCAAGAUAAGCCCUCAAACUGUGAAACACCUGUGUCAUCUAAGAAGCCGAUACAGAAUGUACUGCCACAACUUCAAAGAACCAUAUAUUUUAGUCUCCAUUUUGCUCAUUUCUUUGUUUGGCUUAUUGACUAAAAUGUCUUAUGCAAUGCAGCCAAUGCUUCUAUUUAUGGUCGAGUUGAGUACUGUAAACAGAGGAAGAAAGUAUUGAGAAUGUUCUGAGUCUUAUUCAACAACGUGAGUCUUACAUAUAUACGAGACCAGAGAAUCUUAACAUCCAAGAUUUCAUCUCAUCUGAUAUCUACUCGUGCUUAUCUACCAGAUUACAACAAUGACUUAUCCCACAAGUAUCGUUAACUACUUGGUACACUUAACCAACACUUAACCAUCUCACUUAACCAUCUCUAACACUCCCCCUCAAGUUGGUGCAUGGAGAUUUCGAACACCCAACUUGGUCAUAAGAUACUGGAAUGCAGGAGCUCCCAAAGCCUUAGUCAUUAUGUCUGCAAGCUGCUCAGUAGUACGGACAUGACGCGUCACAAUUGUUCCAUCUUGCACUGCAUCUCUAACACUGUGACAGUCAGCCUCGAUAUGUUUUGUUCUCUCAUGGAACACAGGAUUUGCUGCAAUGUAUAUUGCCGCCUUGCUAUCGCAGAACAGCUCCAUCGCUUCCUGGUGUGUGAUUCCCAAGUCUUUCAACAAUCUCUUUAGCCACUUCAGCUCUCGUAGUGUUACUGCCAUCGACCUGUACUCUGCUUCAGCCGAUGAGUGUGAGACCGUGUUUUGUUUCUUGGUCUUCCAAGAGAUGGGUGAAUCACCCAACAGAACGAUGAAUGAAGAUAGAGACCGUCGAGUAGUCGGGCAGGCAGCCCAGUCCGAGUCACAGAACGCUCGCAGGCGCAGAUUACUUGAUGCUUUCAGCAUGAUGCCUUGACCAGGACAUCCUUUAAGGUAUCUCAACACUCGAACGACCGCAUCCCAAUGAGCUUCACGCGGCUUGUGCAUGACCUGGGAGAGCACAUGGAUCGAAUAGCUAAGCUCCGGUCUGGUUAUGGCCAAAUAAACCAAUUUACCAACAAAACGUCGAAACCUCUCCGGGUUCUUGUAUGCUGGACCUUUGUCAGACAGGAGCUUGUGGUUCUGUUCCAUAGGCGUAGAAACCGGUUUACAUCCAAGCAGUCCAGCCUCUGCCACAAUGUCCAAUGCAUACUUUCUUUGUGUCAGAAACAUGCCUUGCAGACCCCUUGCUAUCUCGAUUCCAAGGAAAUACUUUGCUUUCCCCAGGUCUUUCAUCUUGAAACACUUGCUUAAAUACGCUUUGAACUUAACCAUCAUACUCAAGCUGUUUCCUGCAAUGAUCAAGUCAUCUACAUAUACUAACACCCGUAGUGAACUAUCUCCUUUGAUGAAUGUGAAGAGAGAGUAGUCUGAGUACGACUGCUUGAAACCAAACCGCUUCAAUGCUGCAGUGAGCUUCGCAAACCAGCACCUCGGGGACUGCUUAAGGCCAUAUAGUGAUUUGCGUAAGCGACAAACCUUACCCGGCUCGUCUGUGUUGAACCCUGGAGGCAUCUGCAUAUAGACUUCUUCUUUCAAGUCUCCAUGGAGGAAUGCGUUAUGGACGUCCAUCUGAUGCACCUCCCAGUUCUUAGACGCUGCAACCUCAAGCAAUGUACGCACCGUAGUCAGCUUUGCCACGGGUGCGAAUGUCUCGUAGUAAUCCUCGCCUUCUCUCUGUCUGUUUCCACACACGACAAGUCUAGCCUUGGGUCUCUCUACCGUACCGUCAGCGUUGAACUUGUAUUUGUAUAGCCACAUACAGGCAAGAGCUUUCUUUCCCUUAGGAAGGUCAGUUACGUCCCAUGUUCUUUGACCCUCAAGAGCCACAACUUCAGUAGACAUGGCGUUAUUCCAACGAGGGUCCUGCACGGCCUCUUUGAAACUCUUUGGUUCUCUCUCCGCUGAUAUAGCUGCGAGAAAAACUUGAUGUUUCGAUGAAAACACUGCGUCAGAGACAUAUGCCGAUAUGGGAUAUGAGGACGUACCUUUGACCGAUUUGGAAGACCGAGAUGGAGUUGCAAUUGGAACGGGAGUAUGUUUAUCGAGGAGACAUUGCGAGUUGUAAGCGACGUAGUCUCGAAGUCUCACGUUUGGUUGAGGGACACGAUGUCCUCUACCAAGAGCUGAUUCUACUUGAACCUUUUCUUGGUUUGGUUCUGAUGUUGCGACUGUGACAUCUGUAGGUGACACAUCAGAUGUUGCAGCCUUACUGGCAGCUCUGUCUACUGUUACGCCUUCAGUUGUGACUGAGACCGCGACUCCAUCAGCGACUGCUUCUUCACUUCUCACCUCACCUGCGGCGCUUGCCGUAGGAUCAUCACUCCCCCUGGGUUCCACGACUGGUAGAUCACAGUCAUCAUCACCUAAGUCAUUAACAAUUGGAGAGAUGGCGGCAGCAGGGGACUCUCCUGUCUCUUCCUCAUAUGGGAAUGUGUUCUCAGAGAACACUACGUCUCUAGAGACAAAGAAUUCAUGGCUUUCCAGAUCAUAUAGCUUCCAACCUCGUUUUCCAAAUGGAUAUCCCACAAACAGACAUCUCCUGCUCCUUUCCUUGAACUUAUCUUUGUCUCUCGAUGCUUUGUGCGCAAAGCACAGACACCCGAACACCUUUAUGUCUUCAUACACUGGCGGUUUGCCAUACAAGCACUCAUAUGGUGACUUUCCAUCGAGUAAACUAGAAGGCGUACGGUUGAUGACAUGGGCUGCUGCGAGUACACUUUCGCCCCAGAACUCUGUGGGAAGGUUUGCCUGAAACAGCAGAGAUCUAGCCACGUUGAGAAUGUGUCGAUGCUUCCGUUCGACUCUCCCAUUCUGCUGAGGAGUGGCUACGCAUGAUGUCUGAUGUAUAAUCCCAUUAGCGGUGAAAUAUUGUGACAAGCACAUGAACUCUGUGCCAUUGUCGCUUCUCACCUUCUGUACUGACCGUCCGAACUGCUUGUGAACCAACGUACAGAAAUUAGGCAAGACUGUUUUGACUUCUGUUUUCUCAAGGAGCAAAUGUAUCCAGACUGCUCGCGAGUAGUCGUCUACAAUGGUGAGGAAGUACACUGCUCCGCAAGAGGAUUGUUUACGAUAGGGACCCCACAAGUCAGUGUGUAUUAAUUCGAAUGCAACAGAAGCUUUAUUAGAUGACUCGGAAAACACCCCACGAGUCUGUUUAGAUUUGAAACAAAUAUCACAACCACCAAAUUUCUCUUUAUUGUCUAAAACACCAGAAAUAAAAGGUAAAUUUCCUAGAACACCGAAAGCUGGAUGUCCCAAUCUCCGAUGCCACAAAGUCUUGUCUUCAGCAGCUUUGACUCUGUAUCCUCGGACCAUGGUGACAUCUCGAUAAACAUAUAUUCCAUCCCGUUCUUCACCGGCUCCAAUCAGGGUCCUCGUAAAACGGUCCUGCAAUAUACAAAGAGUGUCAGUGAAAACAGCAAGACAACCCGUUUGUUUUAACAGUUUGGCGACAGAGAGUAGCGUGCAAUUCAAGUUAGACACAUAUAGAACGUUUCGCAGAAUGAGCUUAUCAGAAAGCUUAAGCGAACCACUCUUCGAAGCUUUCACUUGACUCCCAUCGGCGAAGUUAACCGGACAUGACACUAUGUCUACUACAUCAGUCAACAAUCUUAUCUCACCGGUCAUAUGGUGAGAUGCUCCAGUGUCUAGAAUCACCUCACCAGUUUGACGCUUACCAUUCAGUUUGUCUGGUAUUGGCGUCGACUUCUUCAGUUCAAGUAGCGCGGUCAGAGAGGCCCACUGCUCGUGAGUGAGUGAUGGUACUCCUGAUCCAGAUGCCGCUAGAGCUACGUUGGAACGAGGCUGUUGUUGCUGACUCCUUCCACCUCGUCCUCUUCCUUUGCCACGACCUCCUCGAUCACCACCUUGGUUUCUUUCUGUCCACCAAUCCGGGAAGCCGACGAGUUGCCAGCAAUCCUUCUUGUCGUGACCAGAUCUCCCACAGUGUGUGCAUACAACAGGACCUCCACGACUGCGAGCAACCGCCGCAAUCAGUCCAUUCAUACUUGAGCUAUCGCUCGCGCUUCCUUCCGUUGUAGAUAGGAAACCCACUGCAUCUUGUUUACUCUCAACACGAGAUGUCAAGAGGCGUCUCUCCUCUCUCACAACUCUCUGAUACACUGAGUUGAGAUCAGGCAAAGGCUCCAUACUAAUGAUGUUGGUACAGACGUUACCGAACCUAGCAUCGUCCAACCCCAUCAAGAACAUAUGAACUUUCUCUUCUUCAUACUCUGAAACAAACUUCUCAGAGGCUCCACACGUACAGUUGGGAAUGGGCUUGUAACUGAGAAGCUCCUCCCACUUCAAUACAAGGCGACCAAAGUAGUCCAUGACGCUGGCACCACCUUGCUUGCACGCCGCCAACUCCGCUCGUAACUGAUGCACACGCACCGCAUUACCAACAGAAAAUCUUUUCUUCAAAUCUCCCCACAUCUUGUAUGCAGAAGGCGUGAAGGUGACCGUUGAUCUGAUUUCAGGUGAGAUAGACGCCCUUAUCCAACCCACAAUCAUGGAAUUCACAGUCUUCCACGACUCUGCUUCGGUAGGCUUCUCGACCUCACUCGGCAUAGUCAAGGUGCCGUCAAUGAAACCGAUCUUACGUUUGGCACGUAAAGCGUUCUCCAACUCCGACGACCAUUCGGCAUAAUUCUCUCCUGUCAACGAGACCGGAGAGAUGGAUACUCCAGGAUUAUCCGCUGGUGCGAGAAAGUAUGGAGACAACAUGGCUCUCUCAGUACUGCUACUCCCUUCGUACUUUGCUACAUCUUUUGACAUGAUGUCGCUCUUUCUCAAUAAAAUUCUUCCGAAGGAUCUUUAGUUUAGUUAAGCUCUGAUACCAUGUAAACAGAGGAAGAAAUUAUUGAGAAUGUUCUGAGUCUUAUUCAACAACGUGAGUCUUACAUAUAUACGAGACCGAGAAUCUUAACAUCCAAGAUUUCAUCUCAUCUGAUAUCUACUCGUGCUUAUCUACCAGAUUACAACAAUGACUUAUUCCACAAGUAUCGUUAACUACUUGGUACACUUAACCAACACUUAACCAUCUCACUUAACCAUCUCUAACAAGUACCUAUAUAAUUGCAGGAUAGCUACAUAAUUGCAUGAAUUAUGAAAACAAGAAGUAAUAACUACAUUAAUUUAACAAAAAGACCAUUUUAAUAAUGUGGAUAAAUUUGCUGUUUUUUUUCUUGAAUAACGAAAAGCUGACUCAUCCCACUAAUAUAAUAAAAUUAAAUCAAGAUUUUGUCGAGAUUCAAAAAAUUCAUUUCGUCUCUUUCUAGAUCUUGUUUAUAUUCUCCGCUAACUCUGAAUCAAAAUAAUCUCUACAGCUAUAAGUGCUUACAUAGUUUUUAUUCAACAAUAUUUAUUGUAGCAUCCUGUAACAUGCAUAAUUCAUUGUCACUUCAAACUCGUUGAAAGACAAGAACUCGGUAAGAACAUGGUAAUUAUAAAAACCCUAAUUAAUCUUGUGCUGAUUUUAAGAUUGUGAAUAUCCUUGCUUUGAGUUAGUUAUUCUCUAUUUAUAACCGACACUUUUCUUUUUCCCAUCAAGUUGACGUAUUUCCUUGACCGUCUCUCUCUCAGAUGAGUCGAGUUCAGUUUAAUACACAAGUCUUGCCUAGAGAUAUAAUCAAUCCAUCUUCAACACUAUAAAAUAUGCCGAAGUCAAAAAAUAUCUAUGAUUUUCUUUCCUUUUUCUAAGAUUUUAUUUAUAUUUUGCAUGUUAAACUCUUAAGUUGUGGAAGCCCCCUUAAUCUAGUAGUUUGACUAAUGGUUCAUUAAUACUUCUACACCAUGAGGUUUGAGAUUCAAACCCCAGAAACGCAAAUUAUGCACAGAUUAUGAAGAAAAAAAUUUACAAGAGAUCUUUAACAUGGUGCAAGGCGUAUUAUCGAACAUGGAUCUCAUAGGGCGGUUCGGAGUGAUGCAGUCAGACGUGCAUUCUCAUAUGAUGGUAGAAUUGUUGGCUGUAGAAUUAUCUAUGUAAUAUUUCUCAUCGUUGUAAUAGCAUAACUAAUCAGACAAAAAAACUUUGGGUUUAUUUUCAGAAAACUGAAACAAAUAAAAUUUUUUAACUCCAGAGGUUAAAUAUAUAUAACAUUGUGAACAACAGAACAAACCAAACCCAAAAUAAUAAUAAGAAAACAAUCAACAGAACUAGAAAUCCAACGGAUAGUGUAAGGGGUGGACCACACCUUCAAUCAAGCAUGUUUUUCGUAGCUUCUGAAAUUCGCAUGCACUUCUUCGUAACGCUGGGUGAGAUAUGUCGAACAUUUGAUCGCUGGAUAUCUAUUCAUUAAAUACAGCCAUAAAGAUAAUUAAGACACUAUGAGUGGUAGAAGGUCUGAAUAUAACAAGGAUAAAAUGUUAAAGCCUUAAUUACUUGGGAAGGUUGCUUUCGGACUGGCACGUAGGAAGACACUCUAUUAUGCAGUCGUGAUUCGGUUCCAGGAAAAAUGGAAUCUGUGAAGGUAAAGAUUAGAUGCAAUAUUAUUGUUAAUUUUAAUUAUUUGCUUAACCCAAAUCUAAAGAAGUUCAACACAAAAUGUUUUGAGAAAAUGAUAAUAAUUAAACACUGAUAAAACAUUAAUGUAAACUGGAUAUUAGUAAAAGACUUACGGAAUAUCGAUUCUGAUCAUUUAAAAUAACCCUAUGCAUCGUGGAUCUUUAACGUUUAGAAAAGAAGCUUGUUAGACAAAUGUCAGCUAGAAAAAUUUACUUGGAGUUUACAAAGAAUAUAUAUGACAUAUUGAGAAUAUAUAACCUAUGCCCAAAGAGGAAAAUAUUACCUGAAAAGACCAUUGCUCCAACACUGCAUCAUAUCACCAAGAUUCACAACAAGUGCUCUGUAGACAAAAAAGCAAACUAUAUCAGUCCCCCCAAAACUGUAAAUAAGGAACAAUACAAGUUCAUCACUGAAGAAAUAUAUGUUUAACAAGGGUAUAGAGGAAAUUAAGCAUUAUCAUGUUGUACCCUUCAAUCGACGGUACAUAUUCCCACUUCUGAGGCUUAGCGUUUCUAUCCUUGCAUAUCUGCCACAAAUUAUACAAUUGCUUCAAAAGUACAUGUGUAGAAAAUAGAAUGUGAUUUCGAUUUUUUUUUCUCAGAGCAAUGUAAAGAAGAUAUCUCAAUUGAUACUUUGUAUAUUGGUGAUUCUCUGUAAUUAUAGCUUUCCAUUCUAGGAUCAUCUAUGCUUGUAUAUAAGUGUAGUGUACAUCUCAAUAAUAAUCAUCCUUCACAUCUUAUAAGCAAUACCUGGAGUCCCAAUACACCAUCGGUUGCUAUGAGCGUCAUCAUUCCGUAAUCCGAAUGUGCUCCAGUUCCAUAUAUUCCCUUUGAGGGAUCCGAUUUUCCUAAGAAGUAUUAAUAUCAUUGAGAGGUUGGCAUAUAUACAAUGCUUAGGCAACUUCUUAAGGCUUUCUUUGAAAUAUAUAUCACCUUCAUAGUGAAGCAAGCGCAAAGUUGAUACAUAUGUGACAACUUAUUUGAACAAGAGGUGAACGCUGUGACUCGGCCAAUUCAAUCUCUGGCUUAGACAGAUGUUUCUCUUCUCCUACGCAGAAAUAAGCUGCUCUUUGUAAAGGUCUCUUGGCAAGAGGUGAACGCUGUGACUCAGACAAUUGAGGUUUCGAAUGGUGACCAUCGUCCCGCCCGCUCCGUAGUUAAUAGUAAUAAAAAUCUUUAUAUAUACUAUAUAUAUACAUUUUUAUAAUUGUUAAAACCGCAUCGCAGUUGAACCGUUUGUCUCGCACCGCUCAAACCGCAGUCACCAUUUAGAGCCUGAAUAAGUACUUGUAUUGUUAUAGUUGCAAUCAUCAAGAUGACCAACAAAAUGAUCUCCCAUGAGGCCACCAUAUAUAAGAAGACAAAACAAAACUAUCAAAUGUUACAAAGUGUUUUUCCUAAAUAAUAUUAAUCUUAUCCUCUAGCAACAUCUGCUUCUCUAGUUUUCAACUCUUCGAGUAGCUUCUUCAGACUACUACACCAUUUCCUCUGUCUCACGCGUUGAGAAGCUUUUCUUCUCUACUUGUCUCUCCUGGUUCAGCCUCAACAGAUGUAGUAACUGGCAUCGUCAUGAUUUUAACAGGUUUCCCGAGUUUGGUUUUGUCUUCCACAGCUGCAAGCUGAAGAGCUUUUUCACAGACAGGGAAACAUUGAUCGUCCCAUGACUCCAGUAUAACACCAGAACCGAUACAAGCAGUUCCUUCAUAGAAGGCAGCAAACUGUCCAGCAGCUAGGCCUUGGUCAUCUUCAUCAAGAUGUACAACCGCAACAUCUCCUUCCGCUUCCAUUUCAAAGCUGCAGCUGUAGAAGCCAGGCCCAUGCCUCACCUAUAAACUCAACUUAUCAGUGCCAAGUAGCCAUUGUUUGUAAAAAAGUAACCGAUCAUAUCCUUUUCUUUACCUUGCAACGAAGCUGGCUAACAUUGCCUGAAGGUUUCCCACUAAGCCACCUUAAGGAUCCAACACGGAAAACCCUCCUUCUCUUGUCGAUUGAGUAGUAAUCUCUCGAGACAAACACUACAUUGUUCUUGGUGUCCUUUUCAACAACAUACCAUGGUCCACCGGGUAAACGCAGGCCUUGACGCUGUCCAAUAGUGUAAAACCAAAAUCCCCGAUGCUUACCGAGAAAGUCACCAGUUUCAGCUUCUAAUAUAAUCCCUUCCUUCUCUCCUAUGUGUCUUCCAACAAAGUCGCUGAACUUUAUCUAUUACAGAACACCAUAUUUCACAUGUUUCAAGCUUGCACUAAGGAUAAAGCUGUUGUGAACCAGAAGAAGAACAAUUACCUUCCCAAGGAAACAUAUUCCUUGUGAAUCUUUUCUGUCUUUGUUUGGCAAAUCAAAUUGUGUGGCUAGUUUCCGAACUUCGUCCUAUGCAUCAGAUAACAAAGGCAGGCAAGCAUGAAGAUAACCACUAAUAAAACAAAUUGUUUUUUUCAUACGUUUCAAAAUGGCUGAGAGGUUUGAAUACCUUCUUUACGCAACCAAGUGGGAACAGGAGUCGCUUAAGCUGGGUUUGAGAGAGAUGUGAGAGGAAGUAGGUCUGAUCUUUCACCUAUAAACAAAAGCAAUGUACCUAAGAAGCAUUAGUAGCAUGCAAAUGCAACAUAAGUAACAUUCUCUCUAAAACAUGCUGAUCAGAAAACUAAAGGCAGAUUAAGUGAUGAGUGUUUGUGGAAGUACCAUGUCUUGUGAUAGUUGCAAAACAGAUGGACCAGCAGGAGGAUGGGCAACUUUAGCAUAAUGACCUGAAGCUACGUAAUCAUACUCCAUAUCACUGAUUGCAUCCAUGAAUGCCCCUAUUAAGAUAAAGCUGAUUAGUCAAAGUAGCACACACACUUCAACUAAAAGCACAAGUCUUUUCAUGAGCUUACCAAACUUGAUUCUAGUAUUACACAGAACAUCCGGGUUAGGUGUACGCCCACAUUUGUACUCCUCAAUAAUGUAAGAAACCUGACAUGUCAUCAGAAAACCUAAACCAUUAGGCUACUCUAAAUAAAAAAGAAGAAGCAAUGAAACAAAAAAGAACUUACAACUCUUUCCCAGUAUUCAUCUGUUAAAUGCACAACCUCUAAAGGUACACCAACCUGUAAAAAUGACACCACAAGAAGCAUUAAACAUCCUCUUUUCAUUGCUCUAAGUAUAUAAAGUAUGAACCUUUUCUAAUAAAACAUAAUAUAAAAAUCAAGAACAUAGUCACAGUCAGGAACAAGUACCUGCUCACAGACAUGCUUUGCGUAUUUCAAGUCGUCUUCCCAGGGGCACUGGUUCCAGAAAUUCUCAAAGCCUUCCUACAGAACAUUAGAAACAUCACAAACCCCCAUGUUUCUAGACAGAGACAUGAGAUGAAGAAGCAGACACAGACCUGGAACCAGAUUUUGAGGUAGAAAGCGGUACAGGAGUGUCCAGCGGCGUGGAGGAGGCGGAGGGCGACGCUGCUAUCGACGCCGCCGCUGAGGAGGACGGCUACACGAAGGGGCUUCUCAGGGACGGAACAUGAGAGGUAGUGGUCGGAGAGAGACGCGUGGUUGCGGCGGGAGGAACGGAGAGGCGUAAUCGGAUGAGGAGAAUGAAAGGGAGAGGAGGAGGAGGAGAAGGGAAAGACGUGAAAGAGGACUGAGAGAGAAGAAGAAAGGGGAGGAAGGCGAAACAGCGACGGUGACGGAGACAGUAAAGGCUUCAUAACCGUCGAGAACAUCGGGAAUCGAUGAGUUCUAGCCGGACGGUUGGUUGUCUCAGCCGCUCUAUUUUGCAAAAUUAUAUCCCCUACCUAUAUUCGAAAUGAUUUUGCCAAAUGUUUUUUCUACAAUUAAUUUCACUAAACAAAUGUGACAACAUUAAUAAAAUUAAUGACAUAUCUUAUAUCUUAAUAUGACAUGAACAAUUAUAUUUAACAUUAAUUUUAUAUUUUUUAGUAAACUUUUUAAAACAUAAAAAAAUAACUCAUAUAUUAUAUUUAAUGUCAAUUUAUAUUUUUAGAAUAUGAGAAUAAUUCAUAAAUCAUCAUUAAAAUAGAUAUAUUCAAAUAUGGCAGUAUAAAUUUUGAAAUAUAAUUUUAUUAUAUAUUUUUAAAUUAUACAAUUUUAUUACUAAAAAUUUCAAAAAUGUAUACAAAUUUUUUAGAAAAUAAUAAAAAUUUAAUCGUAAAAUCAUUAUUUUCUUAUAUAUUUACAAAUUUUAUAAAUAUUAUUUAAUUUUAAUUUUUGGUAAUUAUGCAACUUUUACAAAUUUAUUUAAUAUAUUUCAUUAAAAUAAAUAGAUAGAAAAUCUAUCUAAGAUUAUAAUUUCAAAUAUAUACAUGCAUAUUCUUAAAUAUAAUUUUUAUGUUUAAUUAAAUCAAAUUUAUAUUAAAAUAUUGAUAAGAAAAAUAAAAUUUACAAUAUUAAUAAAAUUUAUUUUAAAAUAUAAUUUAUAUUAAUCUGUUAAAAAGUCUUUUAAAAUUUUUUACUGCACAUGGUGCAGCAAGACACCUAGUAAGUUAUAAACACAACAAUGUCAUUACAUUACUAUUUUUGACUCUAUGCUAAAUUUAUUCAAUAUUUACAAAUUGUUAUAAUUUGUCUAAUUUGCCCAAAAAUACAUUUUUAUUAAGAGGAGUUAGUGGUGUUAGAUAUAUAAUAUGAUUGCUAGAAUUUUUAGAAAGGAGAAUCGGAAAAAAGAAACAUUUUCAAUUUUUAUUUGUCACAAUAAAAUUUUGAUGCUUUUGGUUAUUUUGGACAGGUUUUACUCUUUUCUAAUGAAAAAAUAGUAAACUAAAUUUUAAAAAUAUAAAAAAAAAAUGAAAAACAUUGGAAACUUAAGUAUGACUAUGUAUAUGUUAAUUUUUUUUUAAAUACUGGAAUCAUAUUUUAUUUUAUGUUCUAGCUACUCAUAGAAUAUUCAUUAUAAUCAUCUACUUGUUUAGAAAUCGGAUACUAAAUAUUAUACAUAGAUUUAUCCUGGAUAUAUAACGCAAACAAAACUUUCUUGUAUAUUCUAUUUUAGUUAGAAUUUGUUAGCUUAUAUUCUAUCAAAAUGUUGUUAGUCUACCUAUAGCUUUAUUACAACUUAUAGCCACGAUCCUAUAAUUUGUCUUUUCUUGUCUAUGUGUCAUAACAUGUUUUGGUUUUUACUUUAUGUACACCUUCGGAAGAAUAAACUUUACACCUUCUCUACAUUGUUCUGCACAACAUAGGAUACAUAUUAUAACCAAAUCACGAAAAUAUAAAAACUUCUAUAUUUCGGUUAAUAUCUUUCUUAAAUAUACACAAAAUCCAGACAAAAUCUACCUUAAAUUUCGUACUGUAUCUUUUCUUCCAGGUCAAAAAAUCAUUAAAACUGCUCUUUCUUUCAUUCAAACCCGAGUCAUUCAAGAAAAAACUACACACUUACCACUAGACCACACAUGAUUCACGUUGCUUUGAUAUGUAUAUUAGGGUUUAUAUACUAUCAAGUAUAAUAAAAAUCUUAAAAUUAAUCAUUGAUUAAUCCACGAUUAAUUUAUGAGUUAUUGUAUAUAUUGAAUUUUCAUAUAACACAGUCAAAAGUGCACAUUUGGAAGUUUGAGACGAAAUCAUAAGGAUAUUUCUAUAAAUUUGGAAGAUUGGGGAAAACAUUAAAACAACAGAAAAUUCAGAGACCAAUGCUGAAAAAUAAGAAUACUGGCUAGUCUAGAUUCAUAAUUGAAAGUUUUGGAAUUAAUUCUAGGAGGUUGACAAAAAAAAGGAAUUAAUUCUAGGAGCAAUAUGUACAAACAUAAAAUUAUGGGACAAACUCGUGAUUAGUCAAAAAUUUGAGGAUCUCUUGCAAAAUUACCCAAACCGGCCAUUGUUGCUCUUUGACAAGCUUUCCUUCGAUCGGCGACGGUAACUGAUGAUUCCCACGUAACGGAGAUAGUGGAGUGAGGUAGAGAGCACGACGAGAUUGGAGCCUUCGGAUACGAAACGGAGGAGUGACGUCACGAGUUGAUGUCGUGGCGUGGAGGAAGCUUGGUUGCAGCGAUUGAACAGAGCAUGACCACGAAUUCGACGAGACGAAGUCGACACAGAGCAGAGCACAGUGGUGAGGAGCUAAAGAAAACGAUUAGAGGUCGGGAUGAGCCAUACCUCUUUCGUGGAUUUCUUUUUUUUUCUUCUGUUUUUACUUUUUUUUUCCUUUUUAAUAAAAUAUAAAUCAAUUACUAAAUAUUAAUAUUAAUUAGGUUUAUUGAAAGGUAUAAUGGUAUUAAAAAAAUAAAAAUCUCCAUUAUCUAAAUAAUCUUCUAUGAAUCAUAUUGGGACAUAUUUAAGUUGAGAAUGUCUCUUUUUCCCAAUUUUUCCAAUUUUAAAAUCUAGUGCUAUUGAUUUAUAAAUUUUUAAAAUUUUUACUAAAAUCUAAUGUUAUUGGUUUGAUAAUUUUAUAAUUCCAUACAAAAUUUUUUGUUAUUCAGAACGUUUGAAUUUUAGCGAUUCUAUAAAUCUAUUAAAAUUAGUUAUUAAAGUUAGUGUUAUCGAGAUAAUAUUCUUAACUAUUUAACUCAUCAAGCAAAAUUUUGAGAAUAAACAUAUAUCCAUGAGAUUCUUAAAAUUAUUAUAGCAAUUUAUUUCUUAAAUUUUCACAAUAUACAAAAUUCUCUACAACUCUUUCCAAAUUUAAUAAAUCUCACAAUUUUUAAAAUCAACAAAUUCUACAUAAAUCUAAUAUGGAUCAAACACCCCCUAAACAUCGAGGACUAUACUCAAUUUUCAAUUUUCAUGCAAGACUAGUAAUUUUUCUCACAAAAUACUAUAUCUGCAAAAACUUGUAAAAACAAGAAAAAUAUAAUAAAAUGAUGAAGUUAUGUAAAGAAAUCACAAACCAUUUGAAAGUUAUAAUAAGCUUUACGAUUUUUAAUUGAUAUUUUCCUAAAUGCAAAAUUUGUCCCCAUUACAAGAAAAACAAAAUUAUUCUCGACUGUUAGUUAAAACUUAAAACACGUUCCACCUUCCAUCUAGACGCCUCGGCUUCCCAGUCUCUCCCUCUCUUUCAACCAUUUAUUUUUCAGAACCAAUUUUCCUACUCCUUGAUCAUUAGCAUUUCAUCACCUGAUUCUUUUUCACUGUAAUUUAUUUGAAAAACAGUGUGUUUACAUCCUCCAGACUCCUAGAAAUAAACAAAACAAAAAAUGAGUUUUUAAUUUGCCGGGACUUUUUUUUUUUUGGUUGUCUUGGUUUAUAAUUUGCUGGGAAAUUAUUUUCGUAAAAAUAGAAAAAGUGAAGACACAUUAUUGACCUCUCUUGGUUCAGACAAAAAGGUGUGUUCUUCUCUUCUUACGUUACAUUUGUCUUUCCUCGUCCAUAAUCACAUGUUUAGUUCUUACGCAUUUUGGAUUCGAGUUAAUUUCCCAAAUACUUUUCUUUUUAUCCGAAAAAUCAUAGAAAUUUCGUAAGAUUGUUGGGUAGUUUUAUGUCACUUGUCGAAUUUUAUUCUUUGGUAAUUGACGUUAACCAAACUUUCAUUGAUAGAAGAUUUGUUGUAACAAAAUUUCUCUUCAUUAAUUUUUUUCUUCUUCUUGUUCAUAUUCUCUUUCAUUUAUUUUCUCUAUUUAAAGAUGUGGAAAAAGUCUGUCUUUGAUUAAAGAUAGCUUGUUCUUGGAACCCUCUAGGUUUGUGGACACAAGACAAGAAUCAAUACUACAUUGGAGUUUGAAGUCUAAAGGUAUAUGCAAUGUGUGGUUAGCCUUGAAAAUUGAACUCCCUCUAUUAUUAUGAGGGGCAUCUAAUGAAAUGUCACCUAUUUAACCGAGAAUCAUUUACUUUUGCUAGAUUCUGUGUCCACACACACAUUUUAUGUACUUGUGAAACUCAGAACACACAAAUAAAGUUCAGUAACAUCUCUUAACGAUGUCUGAAGAUGUUGGCUUCAACAAAGAAACUCCUUGUGAUUAUCCAAGAAACCCUCUUUGCAUCUUCCUAAGUGAUUUCAGGUAAUAAAUAGUUUUUUUACUUUGUAAAAUUUUGUUUUCUUUGCGUGAUCAAGAAUAAACUUGAAACUGGGAUGUUCUUUGAUGUAUCAGAUCAGUUUUGAAAUUUGAUGAGCUCGGUUUGGAGAUAGCAAGAAUAGCUUUACCUGCAGCACUUGCCUUAACAGCUGAUCCUAUAGCAUCUCUUGUGGAUACAGCCUUCAUAGGCCAAAUAGGUAUUAACAACAACCACAAAAAAAAGUCUUUAUCAUUUGAUAGUUUUGUUUAAUCUUUGGUUUCUUGUUUUGGUGAUGAUUUACAGGUCCUGUAGAGCUUGCUGCAGUUGGAGUUUCAAUUGCUUUGUUCAACCAAGUUUCAAGGAUCGCUAUCUUCCCACUAGUUAGCAUCACAACUUCUUUUGUAGCAGAGGAAGAUGCUUGUAGUUCUCAGGAAAACACAGUCCAAGAUCAUAAAGAAUGUAUUGAAACUGGUAUUAACAACACAAAGGAGGAAACUCAAGAACUUAUUCCUGAAAUUAAUAAAGGUAUAUAUAAAAAUAUUCUCUGCAACAUCGUCACUCCUUCUAUUAUUUGAUUUCUUGAAAGUUCUAAUCACUAGUUUGUUUUAUCUUUCUUUCAGAUUCCUUGCCAGAUGAAUCUAAAAUCAGUAGCAGUAUCUUUAGUGUUAGUAAAUCCCCAGUCAAGAAAAGAAACAUACCAUCAGCUUCAUCUGCUUUAAUCAUUGGAGCCAUUCUUGGCCUUCUUCAAGCUGCGUUUCUUAUAUCCACAGCCAGACCUCUCUUGAGUUUCAUGGGAGUUAAACACGUACAGAAUCGAUCGUUCAGGCUUAAUAUAAUUAUAUAUGAAUGUUAUGAGACAAAUCUUUAGAACUUGUUUUUUAAUAUUUACAGGAUUCUCCAAUGUUGGGACCUGCUCAAAGAUAUUUAUCUCUAAGAUCGCUUGGUGCACCUGCUGUUCUUCUCUCACUUGCGACACAAGGUGUAUUCCGAGGAUUUAAAGACACAACAACUCCAUUAUACGCAACUGGUAAGUGGUAACAUGACUUAUCUUUAUUAUGAUCAAAAUUUCUUGUCACAUAACAAACCUGAUGAUGAUGAUCAACUUUUAUUUUGUAUUAAUCUCUUCCACAGUGAUUGGAGAUGCCACAAAUAUAAUACUAGACCCGAUCUUCAUAUUCGUUUUUCGUCUAGGCGUUACAGGAGCAGCCACUGCUCAUGUCCUAUCCCAGUGAGUUUAGUUUCACAUUUUUGAGGCUAUUUUUCUUUUUAAAUAUACUUUUUCUGUAAGGCUUGUUUAUAUGUUCAUUUUCAGAUACCUUAUGUGUGGAAUACUCUUGUGGAAAUUGAUGGGUCAAGUUGAUAUCUUUAACUUGAGUACCAAACAUCUUCAGUUCUCUAGGUUCAUGAAAAAUGGUAUUGUAAAUACUUGUUGAUCGUAUUGCAUAUAAUUGAACUUUGUAAUAAGCAUGCCUAUUUUAAUGUAAUAAACAUGUUUAGCUUUGUUUGAACUAAAAUUAUCAGGUUUUAAAAAUAAAAUAUGUUCAUUUUGUUUGAUUCCUAUCGUGUUAUACUACUCACUUUGAUAAUAUAGUGAAACCUCUGAUGAAAAACAUGUUUUCUUUGUGUUUUUUUUUCUCUCUCAGGCUUUCUUUUACUUAUGAGAGUAAUAGCGGUGACAUUCUGUGUAACCCUUUCUGCAUCACUAGCUGCGCGAGAAGGAUCCAUUUCUAUGGCAGCUUUCCAGGUUUGCUUGCAGGUUUGGUUAGCAACUUCACUUCUUGCAGAUGGGUUUGCUGUAGCUGGCCAGGUUUAGCCCUUGAGAUCUCUCUCUCUAUCUCCUCAUUCAAUAUUUUUUGUUCUAUGUUUUAACAAAUGUGUCUUUAUAUAAGGCAAUACUAGCGAGUGCGUUUGCCAAAAAGGACUACAAAAGAGCUGCAGCUACCGCCUCCCGUGUACUGCAGGUACAUUCUUAGGAUCUAAGAAAUACAAAAGUAAACCAAAAACUAAAGGAAUGAAUCUUGUGACAGUUGGGACUGGUUCUUGGGUUUCUACUAGCGGUUAUACUUGGAGCAGGCUUGCAUUUUGGAGCAAGACUAUUCACCAAAGAUGAUAAAGUCUUGCACCUCAUUAGCAUAGGACUUCCGGUGAUUACUUUUAACUUCUCCUUAAAGCCCUUAAACCAAGAUUAUGUUAAACACAUUUGUGGCUAAACCUGGUUAUUGUUUACUAAAGUUUGUGGCAGGGACACAACCAAUCAAUGCCUUAGCGUUUGUAUUCGAUGGAGUUAACUUUGGAGCAUCUGAUUUUGGUUAUGCCGCAGCUUCAUUAGUUAUGGUGGCUAUAGUUAGCAUUUUGUGUUUGGUCCUACUCUCGUCGACUCAUGGGUUUAUUGGACUUUGGUUUGGUCUCACCAUUUACAUGAGUCUUAGAGCAGCCGUUGGAUUUUGGCGGUAAAAGUCUAUGAAUAUCUCUGUUUCUCGUAGUGGAAAUGGUAAAAAAAAAAAAUUAAUAACAGAAUGUGAUUUGGAACUGUAACAGGAUUGGGACAGCAACAGGACCUUGGUCUUUUCUCAGGAGGUAAAGAAGGAUAAUUAAAGGGGAGGGCAUGUUUUAAUUGUUCUUUAAGCCUUUUCUAAUGAGCUUGUAAUUAAAUAAAAUACGAAGAAUAUGAAUUUGGUGAUGCAAAUGAUUAUACGUGAAUUAGUAAUAUUCUUGAAAAUAUUAAGGGAUGUGGUGUACUAAAUUUGGGAUUUAGAUUGAUGAAAUUUUUAUGUUAUUCAGACAUGAAUUUUUAAAAAGAUAGUGUUGUUAAACUUGAGAUUUUAAUAAUUUUAUAGAAACUAGAUUUUUUAACCGCACUACGCGCGGAUAAGAUAUUAUAUGUAUUUCUAAAUUCUAAAAAAAUAAUGUAUAAUAUUGUAUUACAUUAUUUAAAAAAUAUAAAAUAAGACUACAUAACAUAAAUAUAUUUUUUAAAUUUUCUUUGUGAAAAUCAUUAUGUUGUUUGAUUGUUGUACUUGAUUCACAUAUUUGCAUAGUUAUUUGUGAUAGAUGAAUAACUAUAUUUUAAUUAUCAGUAAAUAAUAUAUAUUUAUUAUAUAAUAUAAGAAAAAUAAAAUUAUUUACUUUUAAAACAAACUUGUCUCAUGUUGGGGACUCGGUUAUAAACAUAACAUAUUCGAAUGAGACAUUUUUACAGUUAUCAAUCUUCUUAAUAGUCAAGAAACAAAUUUGAAUAUCAAAACAAUAUCUCAUACGAUCUCUUUGUAGAAUAACUGCUCUGAAGAAAUUGAAUUUAGGCAUCAAAAAGGACUGGAAAUGGAUGUGCAGAUGUGUUAUCUAAGUCAACUUUACAAAAUACUAUUCAUAGUUCAUAUAUCAUUUAUGUCCAUCCUAUUUUUUGUCCAAUCUUUCUUAAACAUCUUGAAAUAACUGAUGCUAAUUAAUAAUAAACUUUUGGCUGGAAAAAAAAUUUAAAUUUGUCUAAUUAUCGCUUAAUUUGUUUAACUGAUAUAUAUGUAUUUCUCAGUUCUAACAAUAUAAUGUAUAAUAUUGUAUUACAUUAUUUAAAAAAUAUAAAAUAAGACUACCUAACAUAAAUAUAAUUUUUAAAUUUUCUUUGUGGAAAUCAUUAUAUUGUUUUAUUGUUGUACUUGAUUCACAUAUUUGCAUAGAUAUUUGUGAUAGAUGAAUAACUAUAUUUUAUUAUCAGUAAAUAAUAUAUAUUUAUUAUAUAAUAUAAGAAAAAUGAAAUUAUUUACUUUUUAAACAAAGUUGUCUCAUGUUGGAGAUUCGGUUAUAGACAUAUAAUAUUCGAAUGAGAUAUUUUUACAGUUAUCAAUCUUCUUAACAAUCAAGAAACAAAUCUGAAUAUCAAAAUAAUAUCUCAUAUGAUCUCUUUGUGGAAUAACUGCUCUGAAGAAAUUGAAAUUAGGCAUCAAAAAGGACUGGAAAUGAUGUGCAUAUGUGUUAUCUACGUCAGCUUUACAAAGUACUAUUAUUCAUAGUUCAUAUAUCAUUUAUGUCCAUCCUUUCUUAAACAUCUUGAAAUAGCUGAAGCUAAUUAAUAAUAAACUUUAAUGGCAAAAAUAAUCAAAUUUUUUUAAUUAUCGCUUAAAUAUUUUAUUAAUAUUGUCUAAUAAACUUUCAAUUGAUAUCAUAGUUUAAUUUUUAUUAGUUUUUUUUAUUAAUUUUAGAGUUUUUUUGUAUUUAAGAUCUUUAACCAUAUUAAGCUUAUAUUUCUUUCACAUAAUAUAUAUAUGUCACAAAAAUUACCAUCAAAUCAGUUUUACUUAUUUAUUCUUUUGUUUUUAAUAAAAAUACACUUUUUAAAUAAUUUAAUUUAAAAUAAAAUUAUAUAUUAAUUUGUUGUAUUCUAACAAUUUGAUUGAUUUAAUUAAUUUGCUUUGGUGGAUUACUUAAAAAGUUUUCAUAUGAAUCAGGGAAAGCAAGCUUAUGUUGUUAUAUUAUAUUUAUUUGUGGAUAUGAAAUCUAUAUAUAAUGCUAGUGUAAUAAAGAAAGAACAUUAUUUUUUUUGUAACUUCAAAAAGAAACAUUAUUACAAUUUGAAAUUAUUCAAAAUUGAAUAAAAUGGUAAUUAAAUAAAUCUAAUUGUUUUUUUAUCUUGUUUAGUUGGAUUCUCAUGAAAAGAAAUCGAAAGGUUAAACAAAUGUUUCAAAAUUUAUUGUGUUAUUGUUUUGUCUAUAAAUUACAAAAUUUAUUGAAUUGAUAUAUUUAAUUAUUGCACCCUUAAAUAAUAUUUUAUUAAGACAUUAGGGAACUAUAUUUUGAGUUGUUUUGUCAAAAUUAUACAAAAAUCUAUGCUUUUUUAUAUUUGUCACGAAAAUUUAUAUGUUAAACUUAUUUUUACAAAAUUCUUAACUUUGUCACGAAAACAAAAAUUUAUGCUUUUUCAUAUUUAACAAUGUUCUCACACUUUCAAACAAUAUAUUAGCUAAGUCACUUACUUAUUUUUUUUUUUACAAAACCAAGUAUCGGAGUUUGGAAAGUUGAAUCCAUAUUAUUGUAAAUGUACAUAAGAGUUUGUGAUUACAUAUUUAGUGAUUAUUGUAUAUGUGUCCAAGAAAAUUUCAAUGGCUUAGUGGUAUCUGUCCUAUAUUUAUGUCAUACUAACCCGGAUUCGAUCAUUUCCUUUGCAUUGUUUUUUCAUUUUUUUACGAAAAAAUAAAUGAGAUGACGUGGCAACUUCGAACUCUCUGAUUGGACGAUUUUUUUGUGCCUACGUGGACACUCUAAGAAGAGCUUAUAUCCCCCUUUUAGUAUAGUUUAGAUGUUGUUACUAGAGUAUUUAAAAUUGUGAUUUUUGGUAGAUUUUUGUAAUUUUGUGUUGUUCUUCUGAAACCGUUAGUUAAAAUAUAAAAUUCCAUAAUUUGAAAUAGUUUUUAAAUUAUUUUAUCCUAAAUAUCUAAAUUUUAUUAAAGAUAAUUUAUUUAAAAUACUUCCAAAUAUUAAAUUGAAUACAUAAUGUUAUGUUUAUUACCUUAAAAAGUAGAGAACGUUUGUAUAAUAAUAUGUUCCCGUUCUAUUUAUGUUUUUAGUUUCUUUACAAAUUUUAGGCUAAAUAUUAAAUUAUAAAAUUUGAUGAAUUACAAAGAAAAUACGGUUGGUUUCAAAUCAUGUAUCUAGGACCAACAUCAGUUCAACCUAAUUAAUUGGUCUUCUAUAUCAAAAGUCAGAUCAAGAAAAUAACUACAUACAAAACAAAAAUGGUAGAGGAAUUAUCUCUAAUUAAUCAUUUAAAAAGAAGAGAAGUUUAUCCUCAAUAAUGAAUGAAACUAAUAUAGGGACCUAUGUUUUCUUCAACAUGAUUUGGCUAAUAGCCUUUUUUUUUUUAUCAAAUUGCUAUUCUGAAUGAAAGAGAAAAUGAAUAGGAUAGCAUUAAAAAAGUUUUUGUCACAAAUAUAGCCUAUAAGAAUAAAAAUAACCAAAAUAACACUUAAUGUUUUAUCAAAAGAGAUAAAUAUACACUUAUACCCCAAUGAUAAAUUAAUUUAGACAUUAAGAUUUAGAGUUAAGGGUGGAGUUUAGGAUUUAAGGUUUAGAGUUUGGUUUAGAGUUUAGGGUUUAGGGUUUAGAGUUUAGGUUUUAGGGUUUAGAGUUGGGAAGUGGGGUUUUGGGGAUAAGAUUUCAAAUUUUGAAAAAUUAAAAAAUUAAAUUUUUCAAAAGAUAAAAUGCUAUUUUGGUCAUUUUAGUUUUUGAGAGCUAUUUUUGUGACAUAAACUUACAAAUGUGCUAUUUUGGAGAUUUGCUCAUUCUGAAAUGUUAGUUCAAAAAAAGAGAAACCUUUAGGGAACUCUUCUGCCAUUCUUUCCAAUCUAACAGGGGGGGAGGGGAGAGUGAGAGUGCCUAAUUGACGGAGGAGCUAAAUCUUCGCCAUUGCCUCCGCUCUCUCCGAUGCAGAAUGCAGCAACAACAACAGCAUCCUCAUCCAAUCUGCAGCGGCGCUCGGUAGUUUCUUCUGUGUUCCCUGAUCUCAUCGGUCUCUUCACUAAUCCUAGCGAAAAGGUUUAAAGUUGGAAAUUUUAUUAGAAAAGUAGUGUUGGGUCUCUAGAACCAAGCUUUGAACGAUCUUUAGAUUAUACUCUCUAUGAUCAUCCUAGCUUUUAGGAGUUGUGUUAUAAAGGUCAAAGUUCGAAACUUUAUUGACUUUGUAUUAGAAAGUUCUCGAGAAGAAAGCUUGAACAAUUUUUAGAUUAUAUACUAUGUGACAGUGUUUUAAAAAUCGGUUUAGGCUGCGCAUGGGGCAAAUCAGAUCUAAAAGAAAUGAAAAAAAAUAGGUCUAGGUGUCCCCCUAAACAGUAAUCCUCUAUAACACGUAUAACCACCACCGCCUAGCUAUUUCUUGAAUAUUGUUCUGUGAUAAAGCAUUGGCCAUUAGAUAGUUUUGUUGAUCCUCUUUUACAUGUUUAUUAGGUAGAAGAUGUUGGGGCUCGUUCACUGAGAAUGAUAUUUCAGUCUAAAUUAGCUUCCAAAGUACGACUUACUCUAAGAUUCUCUUCUCCUUGUUAAAACAGCAAGAACGAGAACCUUAGUGGCCUCGGUGCAAGCAUCAUCUCUUACGCUUGCGGGACAAGUGCAGAGCAACAGCUUCUAUGUGACGCUGGUGUCUUGGGGAAGCUUGUUGUCCUUCUCGAUGGUUCUCUAAGCCAAAGAGAAGCUUGUCUUGAGUCUUUAGCCACGGUUUUGAAGGGUAACCAUGAUGCUGUUUUGCGCUUUGUUGGACUCGAGGGUGGGAGAUAUUUGAGUUUUGUAACUGAAUUAACAAAGAAAAGAUAUACAAGGACGAGGGUGCACGAGGGUGCUUUCUUGUCUCUGCUUGGUUGCUAUAUACAACACUUCUCCGUCUUGUUUCUUAAACAUGGGAACCAAAUCAAGUUUGAUAACUACUCUGCUUGAGCUUCUUAACGACCCUGGUCAAUCUGGAGAUGAUGCUACGUUGUGUUUGUCUUCUCUCCUCGCCGAAAAAGAGGAUCUACAGCAACUAGCUUACGAGGCCAAUGCAGUCAAGACUAUUGUUGACAUCUUGAAGACAGAAAGUGAGCUUCAACCUAAACGUCUUCAGGGCGGCUUGUUUCAGUCUUUAGCUGAACUGAGUUCUAAGCUUGAGGAUUGCAGGUCUACCUUCCUGUCAUUACAGGUUUUGCUCCCAUCUUUGAGUAAUUUAGUACUUGUGUUCUUAUACUGUUACUUAAUCUGUUUCGUCUUUCUUUAGGUGUUAGACCUUCUAUUUGAUGCGCUAAGACACAAAAACGCUGAUGCAAGAACUGCAGCAUGCAUAUGCUUUAGAAUCACUUCUCGAUCAAUCAAGGUUUGUUAACACAAUUAUGAUUUAAAGCUGUCGUAUAUUAAGUGGUAAGCCCACCUGAGACAUGUCAUUUUAGAAUUUGAGUGCAGGCCUUUUCACCAACGAUCAUGUUAUGCUUCCUUUGGUUCAGUUAUUGCAUGAUCCAUCUCCCUCUGUCCAGGUACAUACUCGCAUUUCUUUAAGUUAAUCUCUGAAGUGAUUUUGUUGUCUGGCAGAACUGAUUUGAAUUUAUAUAUGGCUGAUUAAUUAGGUUGCAGUUCUUGGUGCUCUGAGAAAUAUAGUAUUGGAUUCCUCAUCUCCUAAGUUAACAUUUAUAGAAUAUGGAGAGAUAAAACAGCUUAUUGAGUUAUCAAAUUCAAUGGAUGCAAACACUCGGUGUAGCGCGUUACGGGCUUUAGGGAACCUCAUGUUUCUUGCAGACAAUAAACGUAAAGAGCUCUUUUAUUAAGAUGUCAAGGCUCAAGGACUUGCUUGCCUCAUCAGUAGUAAAUCAUUCCUCUAAACCAAAACCAUAUGAUUUAUUCUUAUGCUCUCAAAUAACAACAAAACAAAACUCAUUGCAACUCAGAUCCUGAGUCUCUGGUGCAAGAGCAAGCUUUGGCCCUUCUUCGUAAUCUUGUUGAUGGAUGCAUCAACUCCAUUGAGUUUGUGUUUGAAGAAGAUGGACUUAUCUUAGAUACUGUUGGAAGACAAUUGAGGAAAGCUCCACAAGCUCAAAUGGCAAUAGAGGGAAUGUAUGUGCUCACAAAUGUGGCGAGUGGCACCAAGUUACAUAAAUAAGCUGUUAUGCUGCACCUGUUUCCUCAAGGGGAAGCUGAAUCAGACAGUUUCAUGGUUAAGUCUUUUGCAGAGCUACGAGAGCCAGUUACGGUUAGCAACAGUCUAGACUAUCAUAAACCUCAUUAGUCCUUCAAGUCCUGGUGCACUUGAUCGGCAUGUGAAACUGUGGAGUGCUGUUAUCAUUCUUCAGUUAAAAAUCAUGGUCAACGAUCCCUGCCUUGAUGUUAAGGUCAUAACAAAGAAGUAAACUUUAUAGCAGUUUCAUUUUUUUAAUACCUUGUUUCCUAUACUCAAGCUGUACUUCGAUCUUUUUUUGCUUGCAGGUUCGCAUCAAAGCCGUGUUAGGCCAGUCAGUAUCUUUUGGUGAUAGUUAACAAACACAGAGAUAUUGCUACACCCAAUCCCACAGACUAUAUACAUUGAACAUAUCAAUAGUUAUUUAGCUUUGAGUCAGUUUUCACCAUGUAGCAAAAGUGAGACAGAGCCUUAGAAGUUAGAAUUUAUGAUCAUGUUCUAUAUAUCCAGUUCCAGACACACUUAGCAUCCAACAGGUACUUACUUUAUCAGGCUUGUUCUUCUCAUUUUUGGUUUCCUGAAUUGGCCAUAGAUGAAACUGCAAUUGGAGCUGUUCAGAAGCAUAAUGCUAAGGGAUUAUCUAUUCAUCUGCUUACCUUUUCUUCAUAUAUCGGAAUAGGACAAGGAGAUUUUGUGUUUCAGUUACUGCUCUGGUUAACAAAACAGUAUUGUGUCUGAUUCUGCGUGCAGGUGAAAGCGGUGAGAAAGGGUUGUAUUGUUGUGCCACACUCACACUUAGAUUAGAUCCACCACAUUUUUUAUUUUAUAUGUUUUUGCCUUUAAAAGAACUUCAAUUGGUUGUAACAUUUGAGUUUAAGAAACCCAUGAUUUUUGUAUCUAUAUUUUUUAUUACUUUCCAGUUUCAGCAUUUUUUUUCAAAAUAACUAAGAGGUUCUGUUUUAUGGUAAGAUUCCGACCAUAGUUAACUCUUUUACGAAGAACAUACAUCUCCCAAUGGAACUUGAACAUGUGAUCUUAAAAUUAUGUUAGGUAAUGGAAGAGAUUUAACCAUUAUGCCAAUUUCUGGUUAGUUUCAGCAUUUUGACAUACUAAAAAUUAGAUUUACUAUAAAUAAUGGAAUAUUGUUCACACUUAACCAAAAUGAUAUGGGCGAUCAUUGGUUUGAUUGACUUUAAACCUUACCAAAUCUCUUCUGGUAAUUAUAUUUUACAAACUUUUUCAAAGAUUCAUUUUUUUCUUCAUUUGGCUGUAGAUAACAGAAACUGGAACACUAAAAUCUUAACUUUGAAAAUUUUAAGAGUAAAAUAUAAAUUAGUUUUUAAACCAAGAAAAAAACUUAAAAUAAAUUAUUAAACUAAGAUAAAGAAAAAAGAAGAAGAGACUAUUGUGUAAUUUGGCCUUUCAGGAUCUAAGUGGCCGUUUGUGUGCAGUGAAUCCAAUGUUUGGAUCCCAUGAUAAGAUCCAGCCUCGACUACUGUGUACUUUCUUUAGGGAAUUAGCAUUUUUAUACUAUAUGUAUAUAUUAUACUAUAUGUAUAUUUCCCCGUAUAUACUCAUCGAAACUACUAAACCCUAAAGGAUUUACUGAGAGAAUCUCAACUAAACCCAAAAGGAGUCGGUUAAAAUAUAUGAAAUGAAUAGUGUUAGUUGGAGUGUAGAAACCCCAUGCAUAUAUAAAAUACAUUGAAUUUAAAUGACAUCCCACGUGAAUUGUUUUUAUAUUACAUCGAAGUUCAACUUUAUAUUGUUGUUCUGCCUGCGUUCUGCAGUGUUUUUGUCUUUGCUUAUUGCUUUAGGGAAAAAAUCGGAAGCCUUAACAGAUGAAUAUGCUAAAUUAUAUAUACCACCUAAUACAUCCAAGGGAAUAAUGUUUUCUGUUUAUCUUAAUAUUAAACUAGAUAUUAACCCGCACAUCCGUGCGGAUAUAUUUAUAUUUUUAAAUUAAUAUUUAAAUUAUAAAAUAUGUUAUAAAGAUAUAUAUCUAAUAUCAAUUUUAUGUAUAUAAUUUUUAUUUUGAAAAUUAUAUUUGUUGAAAUUUGUUUGAUGAUAUUGUACAAAUCAUAUAUUAAUGAAGUAUUUUUGUUUAUUUAUUUAAAAUGCAAGAUCAAUAUUAAUAGUUCAAUUUUAAACAUUAGUUUUAAAAGAAUUAAUAAAAACAAUUAUUAGCUUCUUUGUUUAGAAAUGUUUAUUCUCGAAAUGUUUUUAUGUGAAUAAAUUAAAUUAUUUUCGUUAUAUUUUAAAAUAUUAUUUUAUUUAAUAUUUUAUAUUUCAGUUUAAUGUUUUUAUUUUUACUAAACAUAUCAACAUAAAAUGUUACAACUAAUAACAUAUUAUUUAUUUUGUCUUAUAUAAAAAUUUAAUUUGAUAAUUUAAAAAGAAUUGGACUAUACUAUUUAAUUUCAAAAUUAGUUACUGGAAUAUAAAAAAUAUAGUCUAUAUUAAAUAUGAGAAACAGUCAAAUGAUGAUUACCUAAUGAUAAUAUAUUUAUGUUUUUUUUUAGAAAUGUUAUUGUUUAGAUAUAUAUUGUUUUUGUUAGGAGAAUAUUAUAUAUGAGUAAUUUUAGGAUGUUUAGUUAAAUUUCUAAUGAAUGGUCUAACAUAAACUUGUGUAUGGUAGAUAAAAAAUAGGUCUCUAUUUUAAUAGAGUAGAUGUGUGACUUGUAUAUAUCUUGUCUAGUGAAAUAAUACAUGUUUUAAAUGGGUAUAAUUUGUUAUUGUAAAUAGCAGAUGAAUAAGAAAAAUUAUAUAUACCACCUUAUACAUCCAAAGGAAUAGUGUUUUAUUUUAAUACUAGAUUUUGGAUUAUAAACAAAUUUUGAUAUAAAAUUGUAUUUUAUGAUUGUUUUAGAUUAUUAUGUUACUAAAGUCGUAUUAAAUCAAAAAGUAAUUUUUUUAAGUUGUAUAAUUUAUAAAUUAGUUUAUUUAAAGUUUUAUACAUAUAAUUUUGUGUAAUUGUUUCUUAAGCCUAUGUAUUUUACCUGGAUCAGAAAAACUGAAUCAAAACUACCCAAAAAUACAUGUUCAGUUUGGUUCAGAUCCAGGACAAAAUACAUAUUGGGUAUUUUUUGGACCCGCGAGUCUUUGUCGAGUUCAGAUCCUAUCCAGGAUUCGAUCAGGUAUCCAAAAUAUCAGAAUAUUUUAUGUAUAUUAGAUAUAUUUAGAUAUUUAAAAUAUGAUUUUGGUAUUACGGAUAAUUUUUUUAUUUCCAGGUUUGGGUCUUCGGUUAGAGUUUCGAAUUUUGGGUUCAAUUUCAAAUUUUAUAAAAUAUAUUUUAGAUAUUCGGAUAAAAUGUUAGAUAUUUUUGUUUCUUCAGAUCAAAUUUCACGUAAAAUGUUUGGUCUUUUGGAUAUUUGAAUAUUUUAGAUAUUUAUUUUGAUUUUUCAGGUAUUUCAAGUCUAUUUCAGAUUUUAAAUAUCUGAACCGAUUUGAACUCAUUAUUUACCCAAAAAUUAUUUGUGGUUUACAGGUGUUUAAAUUAUGGAUUGAAUCCAAAAUAAAUUAACCCAAACUUAAACCGAAAAUUUUCAAAUACCUAACUAGAUCCAAAUGUAUACGAACCCAAAAUGAAAUGCACAUACUUAAACUGUUUAUUCAUAGAUGUAUAUACAUAAAUUAAUAUACGAUUAUGUCUGUAAUUUUAGUUUUGGUUAUGUAUUAGCCGUCCGUCAGGAUUAGAAUAGGGACACUACUAUAUAAUUCACGCGAAAUAGUAGUGUAUUAUAUGGUACCUAUAUUUUAUAGUAAAAAGGUAAUAACAUAAAAGCAUAUUUACGUAGUUGCCGUAGAUUGUUACUAUAAUAAUAUUCUAAGGAUAUUAAUGAUAUUCUAAAUAAGAAGCGUAAGUAUAGAAUUAAUAUUAAGAGAUGUUACAAAGAUUAUUUUAGCUUGCCUUAUUUUGAAAUAUUAAUGAAAAAGUGCAGUAACUUUUCAUAAAUAGAUUUUUUAAUAUUCUUUCAUUUUUAAUAGUAUAAAUUAAAUGUGUGACUUGUAUAUAUCUUGUCUAGUGAAAUAAUACACGUAUGUUUAGAUGUUUUAAAUGGGUAUAAUUUGUUAUUGUAAAUAGUGGGUGUGAUAUAAUUUCUACUCUAAUUUAUAAAAUAUUUGUGUUAGUUGGAAUCCACAUGCAUGUAUAUGAAUUGCAUUGAAGUUAAAUGUCAUCCGACGUGAAUUAUUUUUAUAUUACAUGGAAGUUUUGCUUCAGUUUUCUUUUUAUUCUGCCUGCAUUCUGCAAUUUACUUUUCUUUUAAACAAAUAAUAAGGCUAAAUAGAUAAAUAAGCAAAAUUAUAUACUGCACCUAAUACCUCCAAAUAGUGUUUUAAGACAAUUAUCUUCAUCAUCAAAUGGGAGACUAUUGUCUUAUUUUUAGUUUAACAAAACACUUAUGUUUAAAUGUUUUAAUCUGUGUAUAAUUGAAUUUGUUUUUGUAAAUAGUAUAAUAGUAAGAAUGAACUAACGUAUAUGUUCUGCAUAAUUACGUUCACUUGCAUUUGAAUGUACAUAGCUCACAAAAAAUUGCAAAUAAAAUAUGAAUUAUUAUGUGUUGUCUUUAACCGCGAAUCUAAAAAUGCAUUUGAAACAACAACACAAUUAAAUAAUUUCUUCGGUACUAUGAUAUUCUCUUUUCGGGAAAAGGUUUUCUUCUUCGAUAACUGAUUUUAUCUAUUUAUUUCUUUUACUUUAUUAUGGGACAUAAAAAACUAUACAUUUAUUUUUAAACAUCCCACUUCGGUACAAAUGAUUUUAAUCAAUUAGGAUUUUAUUAUUAAUUAUGAACCGAGAUCUUCUAUAUUUACUUUAAAUCAUUGAUAAAUUUAUAACAUGCAUGAAGAGAUAAAUCAUGGAAAUUACAUGGUGAUAAACUACAAGUUUUGAUAAAAUGUCCAUGAAUUGAGAUAAUCGUAAAAUUAAAAUAUUACCAUUAUUUUGCUCUUGUUUUAUUUUAUGAAUAUUUAAGUAAAAUAAAGCGUACCCAUUUCACACUUCACAGUGACUUAUUACAUGCAUUGAUAUCCUCUACCAAAAAGAAACCCUUUUUCUUUAGUUUCCAAAUACUUAUCAAUCUCUUUUUUCUUGGCUUUAUCUGCUCUCCUGAGAAACUUUUUCCAGUCAAAAUUAAGAGCUUUAAAGUAAAACUUCCAAUAAUGUUUAUAAUACAUAUAUAUGCUCCUCAGAUACAAUAGUUUCACAGUUUUUCUUUUCUCUCUAUCGUCUCUUCUCUCUUAGUUUUGUCUUAAAAUGGCAUCAAAAGGAAAGAAACCAAUAAGAAGAACAACUACAAGAGGAAGAAAAGGAAUUAAGAACCCAUCUCCUCCAUGUAGUAUCAGUAGUGACGUCACUUCAACGUCGACGAUUCCAGCCAGUGGAUGUUGUACUCCGAUAUCUAAGAAGUCACGAAUACCGGAGAUGCUGACGUGUCCGCCGGCGCCAAAGAAGCAAAAGGUGGCUCAGAACUUUGCUUUGAGUAGGAGACAAAUCUCUUUCUUUGCUCCUCCAGAUGUAGAGCUUUUCUUUCUUUUCGCACAUGGUCAACAAAUCAAAAAAAUAAGUUAAGUUUAUAGUUAGGGCUUAGUGGAUGUUCUCAUGGUAUGAUCAAUCUCAAGCUUAUGGUUUGGUUCAAAUACAAUAAUUGAAGGUAUAUUAUAGGGAGUGUAGUGUGAUGUUUUGCUUCUUUUCUUUUUGACUUGCUUUUUUCGCUCUCUCUUUGGUAUUUUCUAGGUUCUGAUAAUUUUGAAUUUGUGGUAGGUUCUGAUAAUUAAUCGAACACCCUAUCUAUUUUUAAUUAGUUAUUUUGUAACUUUCAAAUUAUGUUUGCUGUAAUGGAAUGAUGCUUGCUAACAUUUCGGGAUUGUUAGCUUUGCAGUUUUGUUUGUAUUUUGGUUUGAGUUAAUGACGAGCUGGGUUGAUGUUUUACAUACUUUACUGGCUUUAGCUACUAGCUAGGCAUCAAUUUUAUUCGUUAGCUCUUCGACAACGUCCUUGAUAUCUAUAUCCUUUCUAUUGUUUGAAAAAGUCCUGACUUGAUACUGUUUUUAUCAGAGUGAUAGCUCAAAUUUAAAUCUUUAAUAAGUUCGUUAGGAAAAGAGUGGAUGCAAAAUACGUAGACAAAAGUUCUGAUUAUUGGAUAUAAUCGAAAACUUUUACAAGAACGAUUCCAAUAUUGGAUUUAGUUAAUAAAAUUUGAAAUAAGUACUGUGUAGAUCUAUCUGAAAGUUAAAGAAAUUACUUUAUUAAUGUAUACUGAAAAUUUUAAAAGGUUUAAUUCAGUUAGUGAAAAAGACGAUAAAGAAUAUGUUAAGAAGUUUACAAAAAAAAAAAAGAAUAUGUUAAAGACAUGUACAAAAUGUUGGAAUAGAUGAUACCAUCUUUGAAGGGAAUCCAAUGAAAUGACUCGUGCGGCAUUUUUCAUCAUUUUCUCUCUUUUCCUCUCACUUCCUUUUAAGGAAAAAAAUAAUAAUUACGAGUUACGAAGAAUUGUAUAGACUUAUUCUACUGUAUAAAAGGAACUAAACUCUAGUUUUUCUAGAGGUGCCACAUAAGCAAAAUAAUCUCACCUAUCAAACAGUCAUGUUACUUGAAAAAAAAAUAUUGUCCAUGCUCCUUAAUUUAUAUCACGUAACAUCACUGAAUAUCCCACUCAGACCAGUCCGAACGCUAUAAAACCAAAGAAAAAUAUAUAAUAGGAUGCAAAAAUAUUUGCCGGUGGGCCAGGUAAAUAAAAAUAUCGCAGCCCAAAAAUAUUCUCAUCCAAAAAAAAUUAGUAAUAGACGUCAUUUAGAAAAUAAUUAACUAACAUAUGACUUUUGAUAUUUCUAGAAAUUUCAAAUUUGUAACUGCUAAUUUAUUAAUAGAAUCAUAUAUCUAUAUUGAAUUAUGUUCUAUUUUUAAUCGUUAGACUUCAAGAGUAAAUAAAUUAUUAAUUUAUAAUAUAUAUAGUUCAUAACUUUAUAUUGUAGUUAUAAAUAAAGAGAAAAUAACCGGAGAGGAUGAAGAAGCUCAUGUAAAAUUAUGUAAUUAAAAUGGUAAAAUGGUGAGUAUGAUGAGGUGAAUCUAAGAAAAUUUGUUGUACAAAUUAUGGUGCUUUCUUCGUCCACUAUAAUGAUUUAAAAUAAAAUAUAUAUUCACAUAAAUAAGUCAAUAUUUGUUGUUUUUUUUUGGUAAGAUGUUAAGAUUAUCAUUUUCUGAAAGGUUACACUGUUGUUUUUAAACAACUUAUUACAGCAAGGAAACAAAAACAACCAACAACAACUCAAGGUAAAAAAAGCAUUAAGGAGGUCUUAUACAAGAAAGAUAAAAAGAAGUAGAGAAGAGGAGAAAGAAGAACUUGCCGGGUAAGAGAGGAGACGGUCACGAAUCAUACGGUCGAGAGAGGCAAGGAUGACUGAUGAAGGUGAGGAGACAGCUGUGAACACACGAGCAUUGCGCUCUUUCCACAGCAGGUAGAUGGCUGACUGAAAGUAGAGCUUGAUGACUGGAGUAGCAUGCACAUCUGCGUUGACGCGAGGUUGAUUGAUCCAGGCUGCAAUAGAGUGUAGAUCAGCCGGAGGAGAAAUCCAAACUUCAGCAGCAAAAGGUUCCCAUAUCAAGCGAGAGAAAGAGCACUCAAAAAAGAGAUGAUGGUGAAUCUCUAUUUCCAGAUUACAAAGGACGCACGUUCCUGAGACAUUUAACCCCCAAUGCUUCAAGCGAUCCUUGGUUGGCAGUUUUCUCCGCAAAGCCAGCCAUGAUAUAAACGCAUUACGUGGAAUAUGUUCCUUGAACCAAAUAGUCUUGUGCCAAUAUUUGUUGUUGAUAGUGUUUAUAUUCUUUUCUGACAUUAGUAUCCAUAUUUUUUAGUAAACUGAUCCAAAGAGAUUAGUUUGUGGAGCUAACCAAACGAGGAUUAUAGUGUUUACUUUGGAAAAAGUAAUAGGUUGAAUGAUAGAUGGCGUGUGUGCUUUUUCACAUGGAAAUUUGCACAUAUAUUAAAAUUGUAAGAUUUGAAUCAUAGAGAAAUAUAGUGGAUAUGACUGAAGUUGGUACAUUCUGAAACUUAAGAUGUCUAAAAAUUUUCUUUGUCAAAAUGCAUAGAUGUGAAUCUUAUAUGAAUAGAGUUCUCCAUUGCUGAUAGCAGUGUAAUAAACUAUGUGUGUAAACGAGAAGAAAUGUUAUAUAAGUGAAAACAAAAAUUAUAAUUUUUUUUUCUUGUGCCUAUAGGCUCUUCGCAAUUUGAAAAAAAAAGAACAUAUUGUGUGAAAAUCUUUGGUUCGGUCAAAUUUUAUCCAGUUGUUUAUAAAACUGUUGUUAUCUGAAUCAUGUAAUUUUUCAGUGUUGAUUUAAAAGCUCAAAAAACCCAUUUAUACUGACUUUUUGAUAUUUUUUUCUGUGAUUUGAAUUUAAAAAGAGAUAAAACUUUCGAUAAGUUAUGUAAACUCAGAACAAGUAUUUAGCUUUAGAAAGCAUUUACAUGUUUCAAACUUAUAAUAUAUACAUAUAUAAUGUUUAAAAUUAUGCAUAUAAAACCUGUGUAAAAUGUGCUUAAAUAUGUUUCUCUUCUUUAAUGUGUUAAUCGUACUAUAUAUAACAUUAUUUUAAAAUUUCAAAAAGUUUAUGUCACAUACAAAAAACCAUCAAUAAAAAAUAUAAUUCUCCAUCUACAACAAGAAAAAUGAAAAAUUAUAAAAAUAUAAAUUUAAAUUAAGAAAAACUAACAUUGGAAAAACAAGAAGUUAAUGUAAAAGAAAAAACCAAUAAAUAAUAUUAUAAAUAAAAUAAAUUUAUAAGACACAAUCUGCGCGAAACGCGGAAAAAAAUCUCUAGUAUCGAUAAAUUGAGUAGGUAAGAAGGCCACAUAUUGACCAAAAAAAUAAAAAAGGCCACAUAUUGACCAAAAAAAUAAAGAAGGCCACAUAAUAGCUAUAAAUAAUUUUACAAUUAAUUUUCUCAUCAUUUUAUUUCUUUCGAUUUAUUGUUAUAAUAUUUUUGAAUAAAAAUAUAUUUUGCUAUAAUAUAUUCAAACUGCACUAAUUUAGCAUAAGGACGCACGCAUCAUAUGAUUGAAAUUAUAAACUCACGCCCAUCCGUGCACUAUUUAUUCGUUCCUACGUCACUAAUGUUAGGAUGUACAACGCCGAUCGAUAAUAAAUCCAAUUUCGAAUUUAGUCUUUUUUUUAGAAAAACUUUGACUAGAAAAUAAAUUAUAUUUUUGAAUUUACAUAGUUAUUUUUGGGCUGUAUCAUUUACAGUGAUAACUCUAAUAUCUUUAUAUAUAAAAGAGGCUUUGUUUCUCUCUUAGAGUGUCCACAUCGGAUGACAGGUCACUAAUUCGAAGCAUGUAUGCGCGACACGUGUUCAAGUGACUUAAACUCACCAUUUCAUUUAAUCUUUUACGUGAUGGGCUUCGUCGUUUAACAUGUGGGUGUGUUCGAGGCUCUUUUACGUGAUAGACUUGAUCAAUUAUAUCUCACAGAAUAUGUAUUAACUAAGCCCAUUAUUGUUUCAUUCUAGGUCAACUGACUCGCUUCGUCUUCUCCGCAAGCAUCUUGAUCGUUCGGUCGUUAGAUCUUCUGGACAUUGAAUUUGUAGUUAGUGAUGCGUACUGCUAACGUAUGGAUUCAGUGAACAAUAUUAAAGUUUUCAUUAACAUCACUGAUCCACUCAUCCCACAACUUUUCAUUCAAUGCACCUCUAAUCUCAAUGUUUGUAGAUCUCGAUCUAUAAAAAGCGAGUUUGGAGUUGUGAAGAUCAUCACUUUCUUCUUAGUCAUUGUAAUCUUCACAAAUUCGUCAUCCCGGAAUGGCUAUUUCUUCCCAUCUGCUCGCCCACUUGAAGGCAUGAAGUCGUAACACCACAGUCCGUCGAAGUCCAGUUUUUGACAAACCUUAGCAGAUAAUCAAUGAUGACUGGCGUUCAUGUUGGAUCAAUCUUCUAAACUCCGAUUAGGCCAGAUUGGUGAAUGGCACCUCAAUUGCCGCAAAAAUCUACCUAACUUGAUCCAUGAAUUUCUAAAACAGGGUCAUCGGGACAAUCACUGACUGUUACACUUCCUCUCGAUUUGUAAGCAACCACAUACAAAUCUUCGGCAAACCCAUGAUUCAGGUUCCUUCUUGGCUUCUUUUUUUUCAGUUGUGUUUCGACUGCGAUGUUUCAUGUUUGUAGCUCAACGUUUCAAAAUAUUCAACUUUAACAUUUGUUCUUGAACAGAGAACUUGGGAGAGUUUGGUGUUACCUCUACUCUCGAUGACUUUGGUAAUAUUGCUCCUCUCUACUCUUUUUGGUUACAUACAUAAGAAAGUUAUGAACUUUAUGAAUCAAAGGCCUUUUUUUGUAAACUAAUUGGUAGUAGCUCAGAUAAGAAGAACACAUGGAUGAUGGUUCUGAACAAAAGUUUCAAUGGCCACCGCUUCUAUUAUUAUGACUGAGUGAACGUGUCCACCUUAUCUGUGACACUUUUCACCCCUUCCACCUAUACAUGCGCUUCCUUCGAGAUCGUUUAAUCAUCGUGAUUGCUCAUUGAACGCAACAUCAACAUACCACCGAUGACAUUCUGUCAGGGAGAGAGAUCAAUGGCUCCCAUUUGUGAGGUGGAUGAGACGAUGAUAAAGGUUGCUUCAAGGUGUGAAUUGUUUUCUGAACUGUUAUGUUUUGCAAAUCGGUUAUUCAGCAAAAUAUGAUUUUUCCGUGGGAUGCUGAUACAACAUGUUAGAAUUUUCUGAUCUUGCAUUUUAUUUCCUAUUUUCAGUAAUAUUUACCGCCGUUUGAUUAAUCAACUACUUUGCAUGGGCUGUGGUUAGAAAUAUGCUAAUUUGUUAAUGGGUUUGCAUGUUCUUAUAUGCAUCUCAAAUGUUCUUAAUCAUGUGUUUGUUGAAAGAAAAAUAUUCUAGAAAGAAGUUUUCCUGAGUUGUAGUGAAGAUUUUUUUCUUUUGGCUGCGAGCAAAUAAUAAAAGUAUGGAUCUAUACUCAAUUAAUGAGAUAAGCGCAGUUGAGAGGUGUCGGAAUGAGAGGCUUUUACUUCGGAGAGCAAGCCAGAAACCAUAUACGGCGGAUGGUUUUGGGGCAUUGAAAAAAAAAAUGCUAUUGAGGAAGAUGUAAUUAUUACUUUUGUAUUGUUAGUGUUACUGAGACUUAAUUGUUAAAUUAAUCUUUUAAGUUCUGAAUUACUUUAUCUCUUGAACUGUCUAAACAUAAAGAAGAAACGUCGUCAUCCUCUUUACAUGUAAAACAUAUGAUUAUACUCUCAAGUUAAGGUGUACAUUUCUAAUUUUCCAGACACUACUGUGUAUAGUUUGGUAUGUAUUGUCUUUCUUUUGUUUUUAUGAGUUCCCCUCCACGGUCAGCUCAAGCUAUUUACUGUCUGAGUAUAUGAUAGUGUUACUCAUUUACAAGUGUACUCCAAAAAAAAAAAAAAAGAAACAAAAACAAAUAUAAAAAUGAUGGCCCUGAUGUUGGAUCGACCAACUAACUUCAAAUAUAUUCAAGACUUUCAAUAUAUUGAGUGUUUCGUGUUCCAUUCGUAAUUUUGGUUUUGUUUGUAAAAGUUGAAAUUAACCAUCAAAAAUUUGAGAAGUUAACAUAGAUAAUAAUAAGCGUUCCAAAAAAAGCAUAGAUAGUAUGAAAUAUAAUUUCCAAUUAAGAUGAAUUACAUUUGUUAAACUGUGUUGUUUAAUUACUUUGCUACAAUAUUUUUCACCAAAAAUAUUGUUGCAUGUUACGGAGAUACACAAUAUAUAUACACAUAAUGUAAUUCAAAAAUAUACAAUGUAAUAUAAAAUCAUUAUUGUUUCAUUCUAGGUCAACUGACUCGCUUCGUCUUCUCCGCAAGCAUCUUGAUCGUUCGGUCGUUAGAUCUUCUGGACAUUGAAUUUGUAGUUAGUGAUGCGUACUGCUAACGUAUGGAUUCAGUGAACAAUAUUAAAAUUUUCAUUAACAUCACUGAUCCACUCAUCCCACAACUUUUCAUUCAAUGCACCUCUAAUCUCAAUGUUUGUAGAUCUCGAUCUAUAAAAAGCGAGUUUGGAGUUGUGAAGAUCAUCACUUUCUUCUUAGUCAUUGUAAUCUUCACAAAUUCGUCAUCCCGGAAUGGCUAUUUCUUCCCAUCUGCUCGCCCACUUGAAGGCAUGAAGUCGUAACACCACAGUCCGUCGAAGUCCAGUUUUUGACAAACCUUAGCAGAUAAUCAAUGAUGACUGGCGUUCAUGUUGGAUCAAUCUUCUAAACUCCGAUUAGGCCAGAUUGGUGAAUGGCACCUCAAUUGCCGCAAAAAUCUACCUAACUUGAUCCAUGAAUUUCUAAAACAGGGUCAUCGGGACAAUCACUGACUGUUACACUUCCUCUCGAUUUGUAAGCAACCACAUACAAAUCUUCGGCAAACCCAUGAUUCAGGUUCCUUCUUGGCUUCUUUUUUUUUCAGUUGUGUUUCGACUGCGAUGUUUCAUGUUUGUAGCUCAACGUUUCAAAAUAUUCAACUUUAACAUUUGUUCUUGAACAGAGAACUUGGGAGAGUUUGGUGUUACCUCUACUCUCGAUGACUUUGGUAAUAUUGCUCCUCUCUACUCUUUUUGGUUACAUACAUAAGAAAGUUAUGAACUUUAUGAAUCAAAGGCCUUUUUUUGUAAACUAAUUGGUAGUAGCUCAGAUAAGAAGAACACAUGGAUGAUGGUUCUGAACAAAAGUUUCAAUGGCCACCGCUUCUGUUAUUAUGACUGAGUGAACGUGUCCACCUUAUCUGUGACACUUUUCACCCCUUCCACCUAUACAUGCGCUUCCUUCGAGAUCGUUUAAUCAUCGUGAUUGCUCAUUGAACGCAACAUCAACAUACCACCGAUGACAUUCUGUCAGGGAGAGAGAUCAAUGGCUCCCAUUUGUGAGGUGGAUGAGACGAUGAUAAAGGUUGCUUCAAGGUGUGAAUUGUUUUCUGAACUGUUAUGUUUUGCAAAUCGGUUAUUCAGCAAAAUAUGAUUUUUCCGUGGGAUGCUGAUACAACAUGUUAGAAUUUUCUGAUCUUGCAUUUUAUUUCCUAUUUUCAGUAAUAUUUACCGCCGUUUGAUUAAUCAACUACUUUGCAUGGGCUGUGGUUAGAAAUAUGCUAAUUUGUUAAUGGGUUUGCAUGUUCUUAUAUGCAUCUCAAAUGUUCUUAAUCAUGUGUUUGUUGAAAGAAAAAUAUUCUAGAAAGAAGUUUUCCUGAGUUGUAGUGAAGAUUUUUUUCUUUUGGCUGCGAGCAAAUAAUAAAAGUAUGGAUCUAUACUCAAUUAAUGAGAUAAGCGCAGUUGAGAGGUGUCGGAAUGAGAGGCUUUUACUUCGGAGAGCAAGCCAGAAACCAUAUACGGCGGAUGGUUUUGGGGCAUUGAAAAAAAAAAUGCUAUUGAGGAAGAUGUAAUUAUUACUUUUGUAUUGUUAGUGUUACUGAGACUUAAUUGUUAAAUUAAUCUUUUAAGUUCUGAAUUACUUUAUCUCUUGAACUGUCUAAACAUAAAGAAGAAACGUCGUCAUCCUCUUUACAUGUAAAACAUAUGAUUAUACUCUCAAGUUAAGGUGUACAUUUCUAAUUUUCCAGACACUACUGUGUAUAGUUUGGUAUGUAUUGUCUUUCUUUUGUUUUUAUGAGUUCCCCUCCACGGUCAGCUCAAGCUAUUUACUGUCUGAGUAUAUGAUAGUGUUACUCAUUUACAAGUGUACUCCAAAAAAAAAAAAAAAGAAACAAAAACAAAUAUAAAAAUGAUGGCCCUGAUGUUGGAUCGACCAACUAACUUCAAAUAUAUUCAAGACUUUCAAUAUAUUGAGUGUUUCGUGUUCCAUUCGUAAUUUUGGUUUUGUUUGUAAAAGUUGAAAUUAACCAUCAAAAAUUUGAGAAGUUAACAUAGAUAAUAAUAAGCGUUCCAAAAAAAGCAUAGAUAGUAUGAAAUAUAAUUUCCAAUUAAGAUGAAUUACAUUUGUUAAACUGUGUUGUUUAAUUACUUUGCUACAAUAUUUUUCACCAAAAAUAUUGUUGCAUGUUACGGAGAUACACAAUAUAUAUACACAUAAUGUAAUUCAAAAAUAUACAAUGUAAUAUAAAAUCAUUAUUGUUUCAUUCUAGGUCAACUGACUCGCUUCGUCUUCUCCGCAAGCAUCUUGAUCGUUCGGUCGUUAGAUCUUCUGGACAUUGAAUUUGUAGUUAGUGAUGCGUACUGCUAACGUAUGGAUUCAGUGAACAAUAUUAAAAUUUUCAUUAACAUCACUGAUCCACUCAUCCCACAACUUUUCAUUCAAUGCACCUCUAAUCUCAAUGUUUGUAGAUCUCGAUCUAUAAAAAGCGAGUUUGGAGUUGUGAAGAUCAUCACUUUCUUCUUAGUCAUUGUAAUCUUCACAAAUUCGUCAUCCCGGAAUGGCUAUUUCUUCCCAUCUGCUCGCCCACUUGAAGGCAUGAAGUCGUAACACCACAGUCCGUCGAAGUCCAGUUUUUGACAAACCUUAGCAGAUAAUCAAUGAUGACUGGCGUUCAUGUUGGAUCAAUCUUCUAAACUCCGAUUAGGCCAGAUUGGUGAAUGGCACCUCAAUUGCCGCAAAAAUCUACCUAACUUGAUCCAUGAAUUUCUAAAACAGGGUCAUCGGGACAAUCACUGACUGUUACACUUCCUCUCGAUUUGUAAGCAACCACAUACAAAUCUUCGGCAAACCCAUGAUUCAGGUUCCUUCUUGGCUUCUUUUUUUUUCAGUUGUGUUUCGACUGCGAUGUUUCAUGUUUGUAGCUCAACGUUUCAAAAUAUUCAACUUUAACAUUUGUUCUUGAACAGAGAACUUGGGAGAGUUUGGUGUUACCUCUACUCUCGAUGACUUUGGUAAUAUUGCUCCUCUCUACUCUUUUUGGUUACAUACAUAAGAAAGUUAUGAACUUUAUGAAUCAAAGGCCUUUUUUUGUAAACUAAUUGGUAGUAGCUCAGAUAAGAAGAACACAUGGAUGAUGGUUCUGAACAAAAGUUUCAAUGGCCACCGCUUCUGUUAUUAUGACUGAGUGAACGUGUCCACCUUAUCUGUGACACUUUUCACCCCUUCCACCUAUACAUGCGCUUCCUUCGAGAUCGUUUAAUCAUCGUGAUUGCUCAUUGAACGCAACAUCAACAUACCACCGAUGACAUUCUGUCAGGGAGAGAGAUCAAUGGCUCCCAUUUGUGAGGUGGAUGAGACGAUGAUAAAGGUUGCUUCAAGGUGUGAAUUGUUUUCUGAACUGUUAUGUUUUGCAAAUCGGUUAUUCAGCAAAAUAUGAUUUUUCCGUGGGAUGCUGAUACAACAUGUUAGAAUUUUCUGAUCUUGCAUUUUAUUUCCUAUUUUCAGUAAUAUUUACCGCCGUUUGAUUAAUCAACUACUUUGCAUGGGCUGUGGUUAGAAAUAUGCUAAUUUGUUAAUGGGUUUGCAUGUUCUUAUAUGCAUCUCAAAUGUUCUUAAUCAUGUGUUUGUUGAAAGAAAAAUAUUCUAGAAAGAAGUUUUCCUGAGUUGUAGUGAAGAUUUUUUUCUUUUGGCUGCGAGCAAAUAAUAAAAGUAUGGAUCUAUACUCAAUUAAUGAGAUAAGCGCAGUUGAGAGGUGUCGGAAUGAGAGGCUUUUACUUCGGAGAGCAAGCCAGAAACCAUAUACGGCGGAUGGUUUUGGGGCAUUGAAAAAAAAAAUGCUAUUGAGGAAGAUGUAAUUAUUACUUUUGUAUUGUUAGUGUUACUGAGACUUAAUUGUUAAAUUAAUCUUUUAAGUUCUGAAUUACUUUAUCUCUUGAACUGUCUAAACAUAAAGAAGAAACGUCGUCAUCCUCUUUACAUGUAAAACAUAUGAUUAUACUCUCAAGUUAAGGUGUACAUUUCUAAUUUUCCAGACACUACUGUGUAUAGUUUGGUAUGUAUUGUCUUUCUUUUGUUUUUAUGAGUUCCCCUCCACGGUCAGCUCAAGCUAUUUACUGUCUGAGUAUAUGAUAGUGUUACUCAUUGACAAGUGUACUCCAAAAAAAAAAAAAAAAGAAACAAAAACAAAUAUAAAAAUGAUGGCCCUGAUGUUGGAUCGACCAACUAACUUCAAAUAUAUUCAAGACUUUCAAUAUAUUGAGUGUUUCGUGUUCCAUUCGUAAUUUUGGUUUUGUUUGUAAAAGUUGAAAUUAACCAUCAAAAAUUUGAGAAGUUAACAUAGAUAAUAAUAAGCGUUCCAAAAAAAGCAUAGAUAGUAUGAAAUAUAAUUUCCAAUUAAGAUGAAUUACAUUUGUUAAACUGUGUUGUUUAAUUACUUUGCUACAAUAUUUUUCACCAAAAAUAUUGUUGCAUGUUACGGAGAUACACAAUAUAUAUACACAUAAUGUAAUUCAAAAAUAUACAAUGUAAUAUAAAAUAUUAAUUUUAAGAAUAAAUAAGAAGGAUUCAUAAAAAAAAGAUGAAAAUGGUGGAUUCAUGAAUAGUUUUGUUAUAAUUUCGAGAACGUUUAUGUAAUAUUUCAAGAAAAAUAUAUCUUAUCGCAUAUAAUAUCUUAUCACCUAAAACUUUUUAAAAACCCAAAAUCAUUAUCAUACACAUUUUUUGCAAAUGCAAAUUCAAAACACAAAUCACAAAAUUAUACAAAAAAUAAUAAAUAAAAUACAUCCCGCCCGUAGGGCGGACCGACCCUAGUAACGUAAUAAAACUAACAUUUAUAAGAAAACCUGUUAUCUUUUGGCCAUGCAUUUGGCAAAUCCUUACUCUUUUUAUGAAGUUUAUUAACUCAAUUUUUAUCAGAAAUUAUGAGUUUAUGAUUAAUUAGUUUUUAGGGUUUAUUUGUGAAAUAGCUAAAAAAAAAGAGAAUUUAGUUUUGUAGAGAGAAUAUAGAGAGAGAUAGGAAGAGAAAAGAGGAAAGAGGGUGUAAUUUUAGUUAGUUAGUGAAUUAUGAUUUUUUUUAUAGUUAUCUCACCAAAUUUCUCUAGUUUUUAACCCUUUUUGAUCUGGGGCUUUAGUUUUUAGCCCCUUUUUACGUCAUAUGUAGUUGAAGUGAAUACGUAUAGGAGGUGUGAUAUGUAUUCGUACAGUUUAUAUAUGUAUGUACACGUGUGACGUUAUCAGACACGUACGUACAAACAAAAACAUAAUUAGGUAAAGGUCCAAAUCACCUUGGAAUGAGGAUUUGAUUUGAUCCAUCAAUUUCUUUUGGUUUUCUCUUUUUGUCUUAUCCCCUAUAUAUUAAAAGAGAAGUCACUUUAGUGAGGUUUGGUGACGUGUCGCUUAUACAUGAAGUUUCAAAAAAAUUGUUAUAAUUUGAUUGGUUGAUUUUUAUUUAUUUUUAUUUAUUUAAAUUAGAUCUAAAAAUUUAAGGUAAGUCUAAAAACAUUUAACAUCACUUGCUAUAUAAUCUAAAGAAUAUUACAAAUAACAAUUUAUGAUAACAAAAUAUCGAAAUUAUAGAAAGAUUAAUAAUGUUAUAUUUAUUACUUUUAAUAUUUAUAAACUAUAAAAUAUAAUGAACGAAUUUUUAUAUAAGAUAAUUAUAAUAGUUUUAUACUCUACUUGAUGAAUUGUAUUCGAAUAUAAUUAUAUAAUAACUAUUUUAAAUAUUACAAAAUCCAAACAUGUUUAUUAACAUCAUUUUUAAAUUAUUUAUCGUUGUUUACAGAAUAAAUUUAUCAGAAUUUUAAAAUUAUUUAUAUAAUGUUACAAAUUAUUUAUAAAAUUUAAAUCCUACUAUAUAUUGAUUGAGAAGUCACAUAAAUGAUUUUUUAUUACGUGUUGAUCAUAAAUGAACUCUUCAAAUUGUUAUAAUUUGAUUGACCGGUGAUUUUUAAUUAUAUCGAAAAGUAAAGGAUAAUUCAAUUACCACUUUCCAAAUAAUCUACAUAAUUUAGAAAUAAUUAUUUAUGGUAACUAAUUGUUGAAACUAUGAAAGAGUAAUAAUGCGAUCAAUUUUUUUAUAUAUUUAUAAAUUACAUAAAAUAAUAAAAAAGUGUUUAUUUGAAUUGAUAUAAUGAUUUUAUAUUCGUAUAGAAAGAAUUACAUUUGUAUAUAAAGUAUCAUAAUAACUAUUAAUGUCUAAUAAUUCAGUGCAUGCUUUAUAAAUCAUUUAUAAAAUUAUAAAUACAUUUAUAAAAAUCAGACGUUUUAAAUUAUUAUAAGAGGUUAUAAGUCAUUUAUAGAAGCUUAUACAUUAAUUUAUAAAAUGUAUUUUGAAAAUUUAUCCUCAUAUUACUGUAUUUUGAUUUUUUUUCAUUUUAAUGGUAAAAUUCCUCAACUAUGUUUACUUAGUGUAGAAACCCCUACACUAAAGAUUUACUGGUAGUAAUAGUAUGGAUUUUUAAUGUUAAAACCUCUCAACUAAGUUUAUUUUGGGUAAAAAAACUCCAAACUAAGUACGGACGUUCCAGUUGCAAUCAACUGACGAGAUAUCUUCUUUCCUAAUAUCAUGCAUUUAAUAUUUAAAUAUAUAUAUAUAUAUAUAUAUAUAGCAACAUUUGAGUUACCAAAAUUAUGUAUAUAUUAUAGCAAGAAUAUCUUUAAAAAUUUAUUAGAAGAUAUUCUAUUUCAUAGCUAAAUUAAAAUUUAUUAGAGGAUAUUCUAUCUCAUAGCUUCUCUUGAAAACUAGGUCAUUUAGAAACUUAAACUAAUUUGCUAUAUAAAUAUCACACCACCCCUAUUAGUUUCACGCAUCUAUCUUUUAAGUUUUCAUAUGUUUUUGAUCGUUAUAAUUUAAAUUCUACUUUUGUGAUCUUGCGCAGGUGUAUGAUAAUCAAUAAGUAAUUCAUAGACGGGAACACCAUUACUGGUAAUUUUAUGGGGGAUUUUUCUUCUCCGUUUAUUUUUGUUCUCUUCCUCUCCAUGUUGUAUAUUUAUCUAUAUUUUUGCAUCAGUAGUAAUUCAACUAACAAAAAGAGACGACUCUUUUUAUCCAGGAACUGAUCAUCCCUUUCGAAAAAGGUCAUUCUUUUUUUAUAAAGUUAAAUCACUUAUCAAGAAUAUAAUAUAAGAUAUGUAUGCUAAUCAAGUGCAAUUUGUUUAUUGUGUGUGAUCCUCUUCAGUACGUCUGAGAGCCAAAGGUAAUCUCAAAGCUUUUUAAAAACUUUGAAACUCAUUGACGUUGUCCUAUCAAUUAUAUAAUUUGUUAUCUUUUGGAGAUUGUUUACAUCUUUAAAUAUUUUUGUUAGAAUUACCUCUUUUCUGACUCAAGGCUUAGAGAAGAAAACCGUAAAUCAUUUAUGUUGUUACAAUGAAACCGAUGAUAAUAAAUCUCAAAUAAUUCAAAUCUUUCUUUUAUAUUUUAUGGCUAAUUUUUUUAUUGAGGUUAUGCGUGAAAUAUUUAUUUUUUCUCAAUUAUAUUUUUCUGGUGUUUUAAGAUUAGUGUUAAAUGUGAUCGUUUUCUAAACGUUCUAAUAUAUUCUUUGUUCAUAUGAACAUAGUAUAAAUAUCAAUAUGUAACAUCGAAUCUUUCAUAUUAACCAUAUACAUGUAACAUAAGUAUUAUAUAGUUGUAAAUAUAAUAUCAAUUUAAUAUUAAUGUUAAUGUCCGCAGAUGCGUGCGGGCAGUCCACCUAGUUAAAUUUUAAUUAAAGAGUUAAAUGUCAUCCCAAAAUUAAUUGUAUUUAAAUUCACUAAAUUCGUUAAAGCAUAGCAUAAAAUAUUUUAAAUACAACUUGCUAGGAUAAUCGAUCUAAUCAAAGAUAAAAUCGUACGUUUAUGUCAAAGCUGAUUUAACUUUAUAGGAAUCCUAGAAAAUGUUCAAAAAAAAAGAAAAAAAAAACUUUAUAGGAAUCCUAGGUUCAUCUCCCCCACAAGCAAACACACACACGUUGUAGGUUCGUCUGAUGGGCUGUAAUAAGGUACGGAGGAUAUAACCGUUAAGGCCCAUUAUAGUUUGAUCUAAUCUAAGUUUAGAAGUACCUCUACUACUAAUUGUCUAGAAACAAUGAUAGCAAUAAAAAAAAAUAUAAUAUUGUUUGGAAAUAUUUAUACCAAUAUAUUAAAAAAAAUAUAUAUUAGAUUUAUGUUAUUGAAAAAAUUGAAAGUCCAUUAUGUUAUAUUACAAAGUAAUAGGUUUAUAUUAUUUGAUAUACAUAUCUAUCUUAUUAAAAUAGAAAUUGUUUGGAAACAACGAUAACAACAAAAAAAAUAUAUAAUGUUGUUUGGAAACAUGUUUAGCAGUAUAUUAAGAAAAAAUAUAAUAGACUUAUGUUAUUAAAAAAAAUUAGAAGUCUAUUAUAUUAUAUUACAAAAUAAUGAACUUAUGUUACUUGAUAUACAUAUUUCAAAUCAAAAUAAUAAUUUAAAAUUGAUAUAUAUCAAAAUUUCAUUCAAAAAUAUACAUAUAUUAAAAAUUGAAUAUUACUAAAAUAUUUUCCAAUAAAAAUUAUAAAAAACGUUUUCAAUACAUAUAAGAAAAAUACAAUACAAAACCCAAUUUCAAACAUCUAUCUUAUUAAAAUAGAAGUACCUUUAGGAAUUGUUUGGAAGCAAUGAUAGCAAUAAAAAAAGAAUAUAAUGUUGUUUGAAAACAUAUAUAGCAAUAUAUUAAGAAAAAAUUGUAAUAGGCUUAGGUUAUUAAAAAAAAAUGAAAGUCCUUAUACUAUAUUACAAGUAAUGGGCUUAUGUUACUUGAUAUACAUAUUUCAAAUCAAAAUAAUAAUUUAAAAUUGAUUUAUAUCAAAAUUUCAUUCAAAAAUAUACAUAUAUUCAAAAUUGAAUUUUACUAAAAUAUUUUCUAAUAAAAAUUAUAAAAAAUGUUUUCAAUACAUAUAAGAAAAAUAGAAUACAAAGCCCAAUUUCAAACACCAACUUAAAUUAUUGGUUUUAUAUUUCACAUUAAAAUUUUAAAAUAUGAUAUAAUUAUUUAUAUGAUGGUACAUAUAAAAUGCUAUUAAUUAUAUUAUUAUUUAUAUGAUGGUACGUAUAAAAUAAGACUGAUUAUAUGAUGACACAUAUAUCAUAUAUAAUAGUGACUAGGGAUGGGUGUUGAGAUACCCAUUCAGGUUCAGUUCGGGUCUCUUUGGGUUUUGGAUUUUUGGAAUCAAAGAUUUUAACAUUCGGAUAUUUCAAAAGUUUGUUUUGUGGUUUGGAUCUUUGCGGGUUUGGUUUGGAUUGAAAUAACCUAUUUAAUUUUUUAAUUUCUUUUUUAAAAUUCACUAUAUAGUUUAAAUUUCUCAAAAUAUAUAAGCAAAUUAAUAUAUUCAUAUAAAUUUGAAUAACAUAUGUAACAGUACCUAAACUUAACAUAUAAAUUGGUUUGGUUUAAAUAUUUGGAUAGAGAAUCAAUAAUUCUUUUAAAUGUUUUUGGUGUUUUGAAUAUACUUUAACUAUCUUAGAUAUUUACUUUUGACUAUUUGUAUAUAUUUUCAAAUAUUUAAACCAAUUUAAAAGUAUCAUAUAAAUUCUGGAUGUUUUUAUAUACAUUAAAUCUAAAAAUAAUUAAUAUAUAUAUAAGUAUAUAAAUCUAUUUCAUAUACAUUUGGAUACUCGAAAAUUUUUGGUUUAGAUCGGAUUAGGUUUCAGUUUAAAUAACAAAAUUUUGAAUAAUUCAGAUAUUUGAUCAAUUCCGGUUUGGGUUUGGUACUAUUUUUUCGGAUUGGAAUCGGUUAGGUUCUUCAGAUUUGUUUUUUUUUUCAAUCUUAAAUAGUGAAAUGAAAAAUAAAUAACAACAUAUUUUGAACAUCCGCACAUGCGCGCAUAUCGAAAUCUAGUUAUUCUUAAUUUUCGUUAACCGUAGAUAAAUUUGGAUUUGUAAAAUAUUUCGCUUUAGUGUGUAGAUAAAAAUUCAUAUUUAGUAUUUAAGAAAGUUUUGUAUUCUUUAAUUUUGUGGAGCACUUGUUUCCUUUAUGGACUAUCUUGAUCACUAAAGAUUUACUUCUUUUAUUCCAUUCCCAAUCAAUUUUGUGGACAUUAAUCUGAUAUGGACCAAAAGACAAAAAAAUAAUCUCUUACCACCUAUUUUAAUCUAUAUGGACCAAUUCAUGUGAAUUUAUGCUAAUACCCUUAAUGAGUUUUUGUCAAGUACUUCCCCAACCAACCAAUUAUCAAACACUUGGGCCCACUCAUUCUUCUUCGGGACAUUUGCUAAAACCAACCCAAAUAUUCAAGUCAAAUGUAAAAGUGUACCCCACUUUCAGUCAAAUGCAAAACCAACCUAAAGAAGUAGUGAAAGUACUAUUUAACCCUUAUGACCAAACAAAAAACAAAAAUAUAUUUUACGUUUCUAUCCUUUGGAAGUCUACACGUAAUAAAAGAAGUCUACAUAUAUAUAGACUUCCUACGAAGUCUACUUUAUAGACUUGUUUUGUAGUCUACACUCUAAUUUGAUCUACUAAUUUAAUUUUGAAAAUGUAUAAAAAUAAUUAUUGUGAUAUUUUUAACUAAUCAUCAAUAUAAUGGAUAAUAUGAAGUAAAUAAAUUAAAAUUUCAUAUAAUCAAACAAUUUUGAAGAAUAUAUACUAAUUUGGUUAUCAUGUGUUAGACUAUGUUCAUAGUUUAGAAACAAAAGGUUCUAACAUGUUAUGUCUUUUAGUAGUUGAUUUCAUAGGGUUAGAUUUUAGAUUUUGUUUUUUUUUUUUGUUUUAUUAACUUAAAUCUGCAUAUUAAUGUUUAGUAGUUUAUAUUUUGUAUAAAUGAGAUUUUUUUAUUAUCAAGCAAAACAUUUAGGGUUUGAUAUUUGUGGUUUAGGGUUUCGUAGACCUACAAUAAAGUCUAUUUAUCUGAAGACAUCUUUUUCAGUCUAUAUUUUUCAAUUUGUUUUACAAAAAAUUAUUAUAUUUAAACUAAGUUAAGUUCCUUACGAAUAAAAAACUGAAAUCAUAUACUAUAACUAUUAAAAAAUAAAGAAAUAAAUUUAAUAAAUCAUAUAUUAAAAUUAUUAAAAUAAUAAAGAAUAAACAACAAUAAUUAAAUUAUUAUAGUAGACUUCCAAAAAGGUCUACUAUGUUAUAGUAAGAUCUACUCCAAAAUUUUAAUUUUAGUAGACUUCAAACGAAGUCUACAGUAUCGUAAAUUUUAACCUAGUUACAUUUUUCUCCCUAUAUAAACAAAAUUUAUACAAUCUCUCUCUAAAGUGGCUGCACAAGUUUUUAAAACUCUCUCUCUUCUCUCUAAAACUUUCUCUCUUCUCUCUAAAAUUCUCUCAAUUGUUUCUAAAUCUCUCUCAUUAUCUUCUUUCUCUCUAAAAUUUUCUCAAGUCUUUCUCACAAUAUUAUCUUGUCAUUUUAGAUAUUAUGAUUCAUGGUUUUCAUCUUCUCCUUUAAAAAAUGUAAGUUUUAGAUCUAUAGAUUUUAAAUGUGUAUUUUUAUGUUUAUUUCUCACAAUAUUAUUUUUUUUUGGUAGGUAUUAUCACUCAUGGAUUUCAUCAUCUCCUCUAAAAAUGUAAGUUUUAGAUUAAUAAAUUUUAAAUAUGUAUUUACAUGUUUAUAUUCAAAUAAAUUUAUAGAUCAAGCUCUCUACAUUAAUUUGCUACUAGUUUACCUUAUAAAUUCUAUUAUGUAAAGUAUUUUCAGAUUUAAAAUUAUUUUCAUAUUUCAAAAUAUAUAGAUUUUUUCAGAUCUGAAAAUUAUCAGACAGUGUAGACUUUACCACAAAGUUUAAGCAGACUUCAUUGGAAGUCUACAAAAAUAUGACUUUAAUUUUUUUCUAUGUUUUUUAAUAAUUUUAUCUUAUUUUGCAGGUAUUUUCUUCCAUAGUUGUUCUCUUCUCCUCCUAGAAAUGUAAGGUUUACAUCUAUAGAUUUAAAACAUGUGUUCUAGUAUUUAUAUUCAAAUAAAGUUACAUAUUAAAAUUCAUAUUAAUAUGUCUUUAAUUUAUAACUAUUUUGUCUAUUAAAUCAUAUUUUUAAAAGUUUUUUAGAUUUAAACUUAUUUCAUAUUUUUAAUGUAUUAUUUUUCAGAUCUAUUUUUUUUUUAUAGAGUAGACUUCAUUUGAAAUCUACUUAAAACUUACGGCUGGUAGACUUCAAAUGAAGUCUACUAGCCUUGACUUUUAAGCAUAUUUCAUUAGAAGUUUACUCAAAUAUGAUUUUAAUUUUUAUCUUAUUUUUCAAAAUUUUAUUUUAUUUUGCAGGUAUUCUCUUCCAAUGUUUUCAAAUCAUCUUCCCAAAAAUGUAAGCUUUCCAUAUAUUCAUUAUAAGAUAUUUUGUGUUUAUAAUGAACUAAAUUUAUAGAUUCAUACAUUAUCUUUUUGCUUUGUUACAAGGAUGACAAAAAACCAUUUUUGAAAUAUUUUCCAGAACAAAGUAUUUUCAAAUUUUCUAAAUGCACACUUUUAGAUAUGAAAAUUUUCCAUUAGUGUAGACUUCAACUAAAGUCUACUAAACAAUAACUUUACGUAGACUUGAUAAAAAGUCUACUAAAAUAUGAUUUCAUUUUUUAUCUUAUGUUUUUCUCAUAACUCUAUCUUAUUUUGCAGGUACUUUUUCCAAGACUUUAUUUGAAGCAUCAAGAUUAUGAAAAAUCAAACAUACUCAAGAAUAAUUUUUAAUAUAUUGCUCUGUAAUAACUUUCAUAAUAAAAUAUUAAUUUUUAAAUAAUUUUUUAAUGCAUAAUCUUUUUUUUUUUGAAAGAAUUUUAAAUUUAUUCAAAUAAAAAAAAACCUUUGUACAGAGUUUUAUCUGCUACCAUAUUUAAAUACAAUGAAAUGCAAACCAAAAGAAAAUAUGCUUCUAUAUCUCUCAAGCUAUACUAGCCUCUGUUAAACCAAUCCUCCAUCAUCUUCUCAUAUUUACCUCCUACCCUCCUUCUCAAAGAAGAUAUUCUGUUUCUAAUGAGCUUAUCAAGCCUUGCAAUCAGACAGGUAGCUGGCUGCGAUGCCUCACCCACUCUUCUCACAUUCCUCUCAUGCCAUAACGCAUAAGCCACGGCCUGAAAGCAAUAACGCAGUAACACAGUCGAACUCCACUUAUGUAAACCCUUCUCAACAAUCCGAAGCACUCUAUCCCAUUUAUACACUUCUCCACGCCCUGCCAAAUGUUUUAUGGUUCCAAUCCAGACUUCCUUAGAGAACGAGCACUCGAAAAAUAGGUGAUCACGAGUCUCAGCUUCCGUGUUACACAACCAGCAUGUAGAAACGGCUUGUGGAUUCCACCUAAGAAUCCUAUCUCCUGUUGCUAGUCUGUCAUGAAUAGCAAGCCAAACUAAGAAAGAAAAUCGCGGGGUAGCUUCAGUGAACCACACUCCUUUUACCCAAGAUACCUUUGGAGAUGAACUUCUUACAAGAUUCCAAGUAUGAGAUGUUCUGAAAUCUGUUUUAAAAUCCCCAUUCUCCCUCUUCCAAAGGCAUAUAUCAUCUAGCUGGUUGAGACCUUUAUUUUUGAGAACCAUAAUCUUGCGAUCAACCUGCCUAAGAGAGUGAGCACGAUGCCUUCUCACUCGGUACAACUGAAUAGCUUUCUCCACCGUAGAGUUUAUAGGAAUACCAAGGUCCAUACACCCUCUUGCUCCUGUUAGCUCAAUCAGUUGGCCAAUUGAUGACCAUUUCUCAAACCAGAAAGAGGUGGUGGCUCCACUGUUGACUUCCUUCUUAGUUAAUUGCAUAGCCAAAGGCCGCAGUUUCAAAAGCUUCUUCCACAUCCACGAUCCACUGUUACUCUUCUCAUUAACACUCCAAAAAGAACCCUUUCGAAUGAGAUAUUUCCAUAUCCAUUUAACCCAUAAAGAAGACCUAGUAGAGAUAAUACGCCAAAUAAGCUUCAAACAAGACACUUUAUUCGCAUCUGCCAGAUUUUUCAAGCCUAAACCACCUUCAUCUUUUGGUUUGCACACAUCCACCCAAGCUACUUUAGCUUUAUGCGUUGAUAACACCGGUCCAGACCAAAGAAAUGCAGCACAGAUGCUAUUUAUUUCUUGAAUGCACUGGUUUGGGAGCCUAUAAGCUGACAUCCAAAAAUUUGUUAUGCUAUAGAGAACAGAACCAAUUAACUGAAGCCGUCCAGCAAAGGAGAGAUGCCUCGCUGUCCAAGAAGAGAUGCGAUUCCGAAUUCUUGAGAUAAGAGGGCUAUAGUCAUGUACAUUCAUCCGUUUUGUCAGAAGAGGGAGGCCCAAAUAUCGUACCGGAAGAGAUCCUCUUUCAAAAGGAAACUGGUCUAAAAUAGCCUCACUAUCUGUUUCCUGAACACCAGCCAGAUACAAUGUAGACUUCUCAAGACUAAUACUCAAACCCGAUAUCUUUUCAAAUCUCUGAAAGACCUCCAGUAUACCCUCAACCGACUUCUUCUUCCCGUCAGAGAAUACUAAAACAUCAUCAGCAAAACAUAUGUGUGUCAAAUGAAGCUCUUUGCAGUACGGAUGAAAACCCAUCUGUUUCUCUGUUGCUGCUUUAUCCAGGAGCUUUGAAAGAACUUGCAUACUAAUAACAAACAGAUAUGGAGACAAAGCACACCCCUGCCUAAGUCCUCGCUUGCUAUUAAAAUAGCCAGCCAAUUCCCCAUUUAUCUGUAUCGAGAAUGAAGCCAACUCUAUGCAUUUCUUAAUCCACACAAUGAACUUCUCCGGGAAAUUUAAUGCCGCAAGCACUGAUACUAAAAAAGACCACUGGACAGAAUCAAAGGCCUUUGAAAUAUCUAUCUUGACUGCACACCGCUCGGUAACAGAAUCCUUGUGAUAACUCUUGACUAGCUCUGAAGCUAACAAGACAUUCUCCAUUAGUAGCCUAUCCUUCACAAACGCAGACUGGUUCAAAGAUAUGAAAAGAGGGAGAAUCCUUUUCAUCCGAUUUGCUAGGAGCUUUGAUAUUACCUUAUAGAUAACGUUGCAGCAUGAAAUAGGCCGAUAGUCCUUCAUGUAUACAGCAUCAUUCUUCUUCGGAAUAAGCGCUAAGAUGGUUGAGUUAAUUCCCUUAGGCAGAAACCCCUUAUCAAAGAAGGACUUAACUGCUGUAACGAAAUCUCCUCCUGUUACCGCCCAAGAGGCCUUAAAAAACUCACUUGUGAACCCGUCUGGACCCGGUGAUUUGUCUCGUGGCAUAGAGAAAAGAACUUUUCGAAUCUCUUCCGAAGAUACCUCCCUCAUCAAACUGCUUCUAUCAUCCUCCGAACACUCAUAGUUUACCAGCGACUUUAACUCAUCAACACUUAUUCCCUCAUACUCUGAAGGCGUAUGAGUAAGAAAUUGAUGGAAGUGACUUACUGCUUCUUGUUUAAUAUCAUCUUGCGAGUCUGCUACAGAACCAUCCAAUCUCUUAAUCUCCCUUAUAGAAUUCCUUAUCUCCCUUACUGUAGCCGCCCUGUGAAAACUUUUAUUGUUACCGUCUCCAACAUCAAGCCAAUGAAUUUUUGCCUUCUGACUAAGAACUUUCUCCUCCAGAGUAGAUAAAAAAAUCCAUCUUCUAUAUGCUUCUGAUUCUGCUUCAAUGUUGGCUUGGAUGGGAUUUUCCAAAGUCUUCACUUGAGCAUCACAAAGCUUAGCAUAUGCCUCUCUUGUCUUCUUUACUAUCUCCCCCACCUUUUCUUUACUCAGUUGCUUCAAAACCGGCUUCAGGGCCUUGAGCUUCUUUGACAAUCGAAAUAAAGCAGAAGUGGAAUUGAACAACACCUCUGUCUCAGACCAGAACUUCUCAACCACAGGAAUGAAUUCUGGCAUAUCCACUAGUGCAUUUACAAACUUAAACGGCUUUCUUGGUUUCAUUAUCUCAGCUUUAAUCACUACCCGACAUCUUUGAUGAUCCGAACAACCUCCAGCUUCAAAUACACAAUAAGACUGCGGAAAAGAUCUCACCCAUACCUCAUUAAUCAAAGUACGAUCCAACUUCUUGCAGAUCAAGCCAGUAUCUCUCUUAUUGCACCAAGUAAACCUAGGCCCUUGGUAUGACAUAUCUACAAUAGAGCAGUAUUGAACCACUUCUUGAAAAUCCUUCAUACCCAACGAGUCUUGUGAACCCGACACUGAAUGCUCCACUCCACUAAGAAUCUCGUUAAAAUCCCCUUGAACAAUCCAUGGUGAUUUCCUUAUUAUAGGAGAAUCAUGAUGGUCUUUAAGAUCCCUCCAAAGCUCCUUUCUCUCUUCCUCCAAAUUAAAUCCAUAUACAAAGGAACAAAAAAUCUCCUCUACCAUCCCUUCCAACAACACAGAACACGUAACCAACUGUGCGCUUUGAAAGCAGGGAGUAACCCUUACUCUCGGACUCCAAGUGACCCAAAUUCUACCCAACCGGUGAUGAUCAUAGUUUGUGAUAUAUGACCAUCCUGGAAAUACAGUCUCCAAAAUCUUCUUUGCUUUAUUCUCCUUCACUCUUGUCUCAAUUAAACAUCCAAACUGAAAACCACGUUUCCUGACCCAUUCCUGAACCACCAAAUGCUUAGAAAACUUGUUGAAACCUCUUAUGUUCCAAUAAAACCCAGACAUAUUAAUGACGACGGGUUUUCUUCUUGUUCAGACAACCAGGAUCUGCAUCCUGAGUUUUCUGGCCCGCUUUAUCUCUGAGAUAUCUGUGGUUAACCUUAGACUCUCGAGGUAACAUUUUCCUUGUAAGGUUAUCUUCUUCCUGCAUUACCUCAUGUUCUUCUUCUGUCUGCUCCAGAUUCUCUUCUUCUUCUUGUUCCUCUUCCGUUGGUGAUAACACUUCAAAUCUCGAUUUAGUAAGUAUUGAUACCUGCCCAAACUUCAAAGGACUCGAAGGCCGACUAGAUUUCCCUGGCGAGACAUCCAACCAUUCUUUUUCUUUCUCACUCUCAAUGUCUUGUGACUUUUCUUUUAUGGAGGCUUGAUUGUCCUCAGCUUGUAUCUCUACAUGUACUACUCCACCACCUUUAUCACCACUCUCAAUUUUCUGAACUUCAAUUCUUUCUAUCUCUUCCUCCUUGUUAUUCUCCCCGCAUAUUUCUCCUUCUUUUAGCUCCUUUUGAGCUGCUUUCUCCAUAGGGCAAGUUUUGACAGCAUGACCCCACUUAUCACAUUUUUGACAUUUUGUUGGUAGCCGUGGAUACCCAUACUCCACCAUUACAUCCUCUCCCAGAACAUUAAAAUUCAUCCUCUUUGGCAGCUCCUUUGUGAGAUCAACAUUAACAAAAAUCUUUGCCACAUCAAGAUUUAAACAUUGAGCUGUCUCAAGAUGCAACCUACUUGGGUUCCCAAUUGGACUAGUCAGGAAGCUUAGCCCUUGCCAUGAGAACAUCGAUAUUGGAACAUGCUUUAUGUGAACCCACAUUGGAAUAGAUUGCGUAGGUGGCUUCUCCUUUUCAACCACCGGCGACCAUUUCGUCAUCACCACCGGGAUUCCUGCUAGAUUCCACAUUCCUCUUCUCAAAAUCCUUCUUCUAUCAGCUUGGUUGGGAAUACGAAACUUCAUCGUAGUCUGAUUGACCUCAUACACUUCUAUCUUCUGGGCUUUGUCAUUCAGAUUCCAUAUUUUGUUCACUAUCGCAUGAACUUUCGCUAUAUGCGGAGCUGUAUCCAAAAACUUUCCCACCAGAAAAUCAUCCCAUAGCGGUGGCACAUCCUUCGUGAUCUCUUCUGGAACCUUUACCGAUCCGAUACCGUCUUUCAUCGUGACCUCAACAUCAUACUUUCUCAGAAUUUUUUGACCUUGAACCGCACCAAUCCACGAGCCUUUAGAUCCUCCCACCUGAUCCUUUGGACUCUGAAUCGAUCCUCCAUUUUGUACCUCCAAAUUUGAAAUCUCCUGAAUCGCCUUCUCACCCACAUUCUCCAGAACCUUCGUCGAAAUCUGACUUGAUACCAAAAUCUCCUGAUCGCUUCUUAUUUCUUGCUCCGAACCCUGCGCUUCCCCCUGAGACAGACCCUCCCCCGUCGGAGGUGGAUCAGAUCCCGGCGGAUCCGCCGUACUCAUGCCGCGUCGAACGAGAGAUACCCCAGUCGCCAAAUCGCCUUUUUGAUCGCCUACCAAAACGGAGCGUUUUUAGUUUAUGUGUUUUUCCUCGCAUAAGCUUUUCAAGCUAGGCACUCGAUUGAAUCUUUCCAUGUCUUUUUUUUUUUUUUUUUUAAUGGAAAUACAUUCCUAUUAAAUACCUCUUGAGGCCAAAACAAAAAGGUUUCUUUGCAAACAAAAAAAAAAUCACAUACGUAAGAAAAGCAUCACCAAGAAUCAAUUCCCUAACUUUUGACACUACAUCAAGCUGGUUUCAAGAUGAUGGUGGAUCCACCUCCGGCUCUGCGCUAUCAUCUUCCAUUUCAUCUUCCCCUGCAGAGUCCCUGUCUAUAAACAUUGUAUUCAUUUUUAGUUGUUUUCACUUGUAUGAUAUUAUUAAUUUUUUGUUAGAUAUCAAUUUUUUCACAAGAUCUAACCAACCAAACAAGUAAAACCACCAUAAGCUAAAAUAAUAACUAACACACAUGUGAGAAGAAGAAAAUCUAUACAAAAUUUUCCCAAAAAUUUUCAAGAAUAACACUAAUCAAAACAAUUUGCAAUAAGUAUCAAGUGUAUAAUUAUAACACAUUAAAUUGUGAAAUUCAUCCAAGACCAUUAAAAUUUUACUAACAUACACUGUAAAAUAAUUAAAUCAUGAAAAAUAUGAUGAAUAAUACACAAAUACACUUUUAAUAGAAUUUACGACGUAGAUUUCAACUGCAGUCUACAUUUGUAGAUUUACAAAAACGUCUACACUUAUUAUCUAACAUAUAGUCAAUCCAAAAAAAUUUAGUGUAUUGGUGCAGGCUUGAUAAACAAAGGCGUACAAAGUGUGUCUUAGAUAACUCGAUCAAGUUCCGUACUUGUCGAUUAUUCGUGACAGGCAUAAGAGGAGUAUAUUCCUAUUCGGAGUCAUUUGUUUUAAAUGAUGUUUGGUAAGGAAUAGGUUAGCACCAUCUUCUCAAUUUUGUUGUCCAGAUCAUAAUCUUCUUGUGUCAUUUCAAGAAGUUUACCAUGUGUACAGCCAUCAUGCACAAGGAACAUUCUUCAACCUUUCUGAUUCUUCAUCCUUUGCGAAUAUUUUGGGUGUCUUUGGCCCAUGGUUCACACUCGCUCUAAGUUUUCCACCACAUCCUUGAACACGACACUUAGCCACAUACAGAGUUUUUGUUGUCUUAUAUGCUGAAAAUGUAAAUUUAUAUUUCACAGUACUUCAGCUUUGAAACAAGCUCAGCCUUACUAGCAAAACUAUAAACGAAGACUUACAAAUACGUCUACAAUUAUUAGCUAACAACAUUGUCAAAUCAAAUGAAUUAUACCUUCAUAAUUAUAAAAAAAAAAUUUUUCAAAAUCACUCAAACCCAUUAGGAUUAACUAAUACACACUGUCAAACAAAAAAACUAGAAAAAAUUUAAUGAAUAAUACACAAAUUCUCAUUUUUAUAGAUUUUUCUAUGAAGACUUAAUAUUUAGUCUCUGAAGAUGUUGACGUUCUUUUCAGUUUACAGACGUAGACUGUCAAAUAGGUCUACUAUUUGGGUUGGUUUUUGCAAUUGACCAUUUUACGGGUUGAUUUCUAUAGUUGAAUAAAAGUUGUAAUUUUGUAUAUGUAGACUUUCAUUUCAGUCUACAAUUUAAAAAUGUUACUUUUUGCAAUUGACCAGAAUUCAUCCAAGAUUUGACUUUGAGAACUAGACUUCAUAUGCAGUCUACAUGUUUGAAUUUUUUAGAAAGAGGUUAGUUUUGCAAUUGACCAAGUUUGACUUCAAAUCAGUAGAUUAAAAUGAACGUCUACGGGUGUGUAGACUUCUUGUGAAGUCUACUCUCAAAUCCGACGGGUUGGUUUUGUAUUUGACCAAAAUAAAAAAGUAGACUUUAUAGGCAGUCUACAUUUUUUUUUUAAGAUAAGAAGACUGCAUAUGAAGUCUACAAUUUAAUAAAUUUUUUAAUGCUUUUUAAACUUUUUGGUCAAACACAAAACUAACCUAUUCCACGAAGUCAAAGUUUUGGUCAAAUGCAAAACUGACCUUUUAUAGACUUCGUUGGCAGUCUACAUUUUGUAGACUUCUGUUGAAGUCUAUUUUAAAAAGUCAAAAGUUCGGUCAAAUGAAAAACUAACCUCUUUUAGGUAGACGUCUUAGUAAGUCUACCGAAAGUUUUAUUUUUGUUGUCAAAGGUAAAGACGGAGACUACUGGGGAAGUCUGCGUUAGAAAAAAAAUUUGUCUGGUCAAUUGCAAAACUAACCCGUGCGUUGACAAGUCUCAACGGAGGCGUAGACAUACAAAACAGUCUACCGUCGCGACACAGAUCUGAAAAAGAACGAAAACCAUGUAAAUAAUUACAUUUUUCAUGUGUAAAGCUCGUUUCCAACCUUUUCAACCGUCCAAACUCCAAAUAUGAGCAAAAAGAAGCAUCUUUAACGAUUCACUAAUGAAGAAACUCGAAAAUAUGAAGUUUGUGAUUAUGAAAAUGAUAGUUAUGAGAGUUUUUUAGAUGGAAAUGUAGAGGAGAUAAGAGGAAAUGAAGUUUUUUGGGUUAUAAUUGAAUUCUAGAGCUUUAGAGCUCAAAAAUGAUGGUUCAUGGUGGUUGGAAAAAUUGAUGAUAGUGGCAUUUUUGUAAAUAAGAAGAAAUGGUUAGGGUGUAUUUGAUUUUUUGUUAAUUUCGAAAUUAAUAAAAAAAUAAAUAAAAAUGGCAAUUUUGUGAAUAAUUCAAAAAUAUAAGGAUAGUAUGGAAAUUUUAUUGAUGAAUAGUAUGGACAAAAAAAAAGGGGUUGGUUUUGGGUUUGACUUGAAAAUAUGGAUUGGUUUUGAAAAACACCCUUCUUCUUCCUCAUCAACCAUCGUUUUUUUUUUUUUUUUUGUAAACUAUCAACCAUGGUUUCUUCCUCUCAUCUUCUAAUCAUUCUCUUUGACUUUCUCCAUUAAUGCAUUAUGUUUCCUUAAAGGUUAUCAAUAUUUGACCACUGGCUCCAGUAAUGUAGUUACUUCUCCGAUGGCAUGAGAUGUACGUCCGGUGGUGCAUGUUGGUGGUUGGCAGUGACAGCUCCAGUUCGUGUACUUCUUCUCUCUACGUAAAAACUGCUCGACUUCAUUAUAUAUCAUAUCACAAACGAGGGCAUUAAUAAUGGCUUCAGAUGGCACGGCUCCUCCAAGGCUCCAACGGUCACCGUCAAAACUUCUUCAUUGUAUAUCACCAGCGAGAGCGUCAAUGAUGGCUUCCGAUGGCACUCCUCCUCCUACGGUGAUGUAUGACAAAUCCAGUCCGGUUUGAUGGCAUGGCUCUCCGGUAGUGAAAAACAGUGACCGUGGUGAUAAGAUGCGGCAGCUCCGAGUAGUUUCUUCCUCCAUGCACUAACAUAUUAUAAUUAUGUAAGAAAAAGAAGAAAAGAGGAACGAAAGAAAAGAGGAAAGAGAGGAAGAGAGGAAUUGAAGUAGUACAUCAAAACCAUCUAAUCACCCUUGACAAAAGUGGUGCGGCUAGGUUAGCGUAGUGAGGAAGAUGCAUACAUUGUAUAUAUAAAUGAUGCACAGUUUGACCAAAAGAAAAGAAGAGGGUUUUAGCUAAUUGUAGUAAAAUUGCUGAACAUUAUUGUUCAAAGUAUUAUUGAAUAGAUCAACGGACUUUGGCAUAUUACAUGACAAUAUAUUCAGUGCUUCAUCGUUCAUCAUGGAAGACUAUAUAUCAAACAAUACAUGUUCGGCUAGUAUAACUAAUACAAUUAUUUCUUAUUUAGCAGACUAGUGAUACUGAUAUAACUAGUACAACUACGCAUGUUCUGAAAUUUAAAUAUUCCUUUGAGUAUGUCAUAUGAAAAAAAAUCAAUAAAGUGGCUAAACUGGAAAGUAUUUAUAAAGGUUCCUUAUGAAAUUUAAUGGGGUUUUUUUUGUUUUUGCAAAUCUAACACAAUCACAUAAGUUUGCAUGAUCUACCUUAUACUUUUAAGGUUUGCAUGUUAACUUAUUUGUCCACAUAAUUUUUGAAAAACAUACAUGAAAUAUAUUUUAACAAAAUUUAUGAUUUCAUUUUAUUGGGGCAAAGACAUGUACACAUAAAGAAGUGGUACAACUGAAGUAAGUUUAAAUUUUAUGUCGUACAACUAGUUUUUUCAAUUUUACUGCCAAAAUACAACUAUGUACAAACUCGUACAACUCAAAAACUAGUACAACUAUGUACAAACCGGUACAACUCGAAUAUUAGUACAACUAUGUUAUUUCAUUUUAUAUUGUGCAUCACGUUUUAAAUGUGUAUCAUAUUCUAAACAUUAUGGUUAAAUAUUAAAUCAAGUAGUUGUACUAUUCCUAGAUAUUUUUGUGUAGUUUAUCCUGCUAUCUAUUUUUUUGGGGUAAAAAUACAUUAAAUCAAAGUCUAUAAAAUUAAGAGAAAAAUUUGUUAGGUACGUAAAUAUCAAAAUGUAAAACUAAAUAAUAUUUCUAAAAUUUGUAGAUAUUAAAAAGAAACUGAUGGUAUUGAGUUUAUAAAUUUCAUAAAAUUUUGAAAACUUCAUAAAAUUUUGAAGAUUUGUUUUAGUAGGAAAAAUAUAUAAUUAUAAAUUGAAUUAAAUAAUAUUUCAAAAAUUGUAAAAUAUAUUAUAUUUCUAUAUCUAAAAUUAUUUGAUUUAUUGCUAUAUUAAUGAUGUUGUGUGAGCUAUUACCAUAUUUUAAAAAAUUUACCAAAAAUAUAAAUUAUCAUUAAAUAUAAAUGUCCAUGUGAACUGACCAAAUUGGUGUGUGUUUAUAAUGAUCUCUCCUAACUAUUUUAAUGUUUUUAAUGUUUUUAGCAAUUGUUACAAUAUCUCAUAGUUGUACUAUUUAUACCGAUCAUAUUAAUCUACUUUUCUUUUAAUUUUGUGACUUUUAAAUUUCCUCUUCUUCACCACGGCUUCACUCUUCUUCUUCACGACGUCUUUUUUUUCUUUUUGGAUGUAGUAUAUCUCUUCUUCACAGCAGAGUCCUUCUUGUUUAUGCAAAUAUAUACUAAUGAUGAAAAUUAUAUAUAUAUAUAUCAUCACUUAUCAUUGCUUAUUUAUGUGAAUAUAUUUUAUUUAAUCAAAAGUGUUAUGAUAAACUGAGUGGAAUUUACUAAUUUGCAAACAUAAGAAUCAAAAACUAUUUGAAACCAAAUUUGUAGAUACAACAAACAUGAAUCAAAAACUAUUUGAAAUCAAAUUUGUAGAUACAACAAACAUAUGUAUAUCAUGUUUUAUAUCAAAAUAUGCAAGUUUCACCAUGUUCUUGUUGUGUAUGUGAUUACAAUUUCUCUAUUUCUUAUAUUAUUUUCAUGUACAUAUCAAAAAAUGAACUUUGGGGCGAGAAACCUACCAACCAGCACUAGAAAAACACAAAUCAAGUGUUGCCACAAUUAAACUAGUUAAAGUACUACUGUAGUUAAACCAGUUAUACCAGUUAAAUUAUUAUUGUUGUGGUCCAAAUACCAAACAUUAAUGCUUAUGCAUUCUUUUCAAACUCGUGAUGGAUUAUGUAUUAUCUUUUGGAGUAUACUCUUCCAGAUCUUAAACUGCAAGGCUCGGCAGUUGUUUUCUUCGGCUUCGGGAGUAAAAACAUGAAGAUGAUCUUUUCUCGUAUAUAGUACUGUGAGGCUUUGGUGCCUCUUGGGCCAUCCGGGACUGGGCUGGUUAAUGGGCUUCGACUGGACCUGAAAGAUAAAACAAGAUGGGCUUAGUCUUGUGCAAUAAGAAGUCCAAGUUCUAAUAGGAAACAAGAUCAGAUGCAUAUGACGGUGGAUUGAUAAAUCCUUCUCCAACUAGAACUAGCUCAAAUCAGGUUGUAUAAAUAUAGGUCUCAUCUCUUCAUUGUAGUUACAGAAACAUAUAAACUCUCUAAAGCAUAGAACACGCAACUAGUGCGAAGCUUGUAACGUUUUCGAUUCAUAGUGAUAUAGAGUUUGUCUCCGGUUUGGAGAGGACUCGCCCAACAUAUUGUUGUGUCGAUUUACUUGUUACGAGAAACAGCCAAGGUCGAUUCUCUACAAGUGGUAUCAGAGCCAGGUUAACAGAGAUCCUAGUUACAGAGAUUCGAAGGCAAGAUUCAAUAAACAAGCAAGGAGAAUUCUUAUCUGGUGCUGAGAAGAAGACUCAGCUCGUUGGUGAUUGAAGCUUGAAAGACUACGGCGUGUUACAGCAACCUGCAAACAAAGGAAAACAAGUUUACAGGUUAUAAAGAAGAUGGAGGCAAUUUCAAAGAAAUUUGAAGUGGAAAAAUUCGAUGGCAAAGGUGAUUUUGGUCUAUGGAAGUAUAAGAUGCUGUGAGAGCUAGAGAUCUUUGGUUUGGGGUCUGUUCUUAAGGAGAAGACUCCUUCUACGGAUGUUGAAGGUGAAGAACAGAAAGAUGAAAAACCUGAUCCUAAGGAGCAAGACCGGGAAUUGCGUACAAAGAAUCUGAUCAGUUUGUGUCUAUCUGACCUUAUUUUGCGCAAGGUUAUGCAAGAGCCUACAGCACUGGCUAUGUGGAAGGCUCUAGAAGCUGAGUAUCAGACCAAGACAUUACCUAAUCGAAUCUACAUGAAGCAGAGAUAUGCAGGUUUUAGAAUGGAAGAGCACAAGUCCAUUGAGGAAAAUAUGGAUGUGUUUCUGAAACUUGUGGCUGAUCUAGCAAGUCUGGAUAUUAAGAUCAGUGAAGAAGAUCAAGCAAUUCAGAUCUUAACCAGCUUGCCCAAGCAAUACGAGUCUCUCGUUGAUGCAUUAAAAUACGGCAGCGGCAAAGAAAUUUUAACGGUUCGUGAUGUUACAAGCUCAGCUUAUUCUAAGGAAGUAGAAUUAAGAGAGAAGGGACUUCUCAACAAGUCCAAAGGUAACUCGGAGGGGCUGUUUGCUGGCGAAAACAGAGGCAGAGGUGAGAAGAAGAGCGAUAAAACUUGGAGAGCUAGAUCUAAAAGCAAUAACAGAUCAAAAUCAAGACCUAAGUUCUCUAAAGAAUGUUGGACGUGUGGCAAGGAAGGACAUUUUAAAAAGCAGUGUCCAGAAAGAAAGAAGCCAUCAAAUUCGGUCAACAUAGCAGAAGAGAAGGAGGAACCAUUGGUAUUAGUGGCUAGCCAGCAAGCUACUAAGGACGAGUGGGUACUUGAUUCUGGCUGUACAUUCCAUAUCACUCCAAAUAAAGAUGUCUUAUUUGAUCUUGAAGACAUAGAAGGAGGAAAGGUUUUGAUGGGAAAUAACACUAUCAGCGAGAUUAAAGGGAUCGGGAAGAUCAGGAUCAUGAAUAAUGAUGGAUCGAGCGUAAUUCUCACUGAUGUUCGUUACAUGCCUACAAUGGGCAGAAACCUUAUCUCCUACGGUUUAUUGGAGAAGAUGGGAUGCAGAUACGAAGGCAAAGACUUCAUGGUGCAGUUUUACAAAGGAGAUAAGAAGGUUAUUUCUGGAAAAUACUGUGAUGGUCUGUACUACUUACAAGGGACAGUAUUGGAUGGUGAAGCUGCAGUCGCAAGGCCUGAUAUCGAUUUGACUAAAAGGUGGCACUCUAGGCUUGGACAUAUGAGUCUAAAGGGCAUGAAUAUUUUAGUCAAGGACGGAUAUUUAAACGCAAAGGAUGUGAAGACGUUAGAGUUUUGCGAGAAUUGCGUUUUGGGUAAAGCACACAAGCUAAGCUUUCCAAAAGGCAAGCACACGUCUAAGGAAGUCCUAGAGUACAUCCAUUCAGAUUUAUGGGGUUCACCUUCGGUGGUAGAGAGUCUCGGAGGAUGUUUCUACUUUGUUACAUUCAUUGAUGAUUUUUCUAGGAAAGUUUGGAUCUAUUUCCUAAAAUCAAAAAAUGAAGUGUUUCAAAACUUCAAGGAAUGGAAAACAUGCGUGGAAACUGAGACAGGAAAGAAGGUGAAGUGUCUUAGGACGGAUAACGGAUUAGAGUUCUGCAAUACACAGAUGGACACAUUGUGUAAGGAAGCAGGGAUUAAAAGACAUAGAACAUGCGUCUAUACUCCACAGCAAAACGGAGUAUCAGAACGCAUGAACCGUACGAUUAUGGAGAAGGUGAGAUGUAUGUUGACAGAGGCAGGCUUAGAGCAAAAGUUCUGGGCGGAAGCAGCUUCUACAGCUGUCUACUUAAUCAACCGAUCUCCCAGUACAGCUAUUAACUUCAAACUACCGGCAGAGGUGUGGUCUGGAACCAAAACAGACUUAAAUCAUCUAAGAAAGUUCGGAUGUACAGCUUAUGUUCACGUGACUCAAGCCAAAACCAGUCCAAGAGCGAUGAAAGGAGUUUUCAUGGGAUAUCCAGACGGGACUAAAGGUUAUCGAGUUUGGUUACCAGAAGAACUAAGAUGUACAGUAAGCAGAAACGUGAUUUUCAAUGAGGAAGAGAUGUUUAAAGACAUUAAAGGAAUCAGCGAGAAGAAGAGGAAAACGAAAAAGGUAACGUUCAAUCCUGUGCUGAUUCAAGGACCUUCAAACACAACUACAGACACUGAAACAGAGGAUACAGUUCAAGGUGGAGUUUCUCCAGCAUCAGAAAACUCGGAAUCUGAAUCCUCAAGCUCAGAAAGUGAAGAAGAAGUUGUGGGAGCUCAACAUGAAAAUCUAGACAACUACAUUCUUGCUAGAGAUAGAAUCAGGAGGGAAGUAAAGAAACCUUCUAGGUUUGAUGAUUCAGAUUGCGUGGCUUAUGCUCUAGCUACAGCAGAAGAAAUAAAUAAGGAUGAGCCUAAAUCCUAUUUGGAAGCAAAAAGAAGUAAGAGCUGGAAGUUAUGGAACGAGGGAAUGCAAGAAGAGAUGGUUUCGUUGGAGAAAAAUCAGACUUGGAAACUGGUUGAGAAACCAGAGAAAAAGAAGAUUAUUGGCAGCAAGUGGGUUUUCAAGCUGAAAGAAGGCAUUCCUGGAGUAGAGAAGCCGAGAUACAAAGCUAGAUUAGUAGCUAAAGGGUUUUCACAAGUUGAAGGGAUCGACUACACAGAGGUGUUUGCACCAGUGGUGAAACACGUGUCGAUUAGAAUUAUGCUGUCACUUGUUGCAAAUUAUGAUCUUGAUUUGGAACAACUAGACGUGAAAACGGCUUUCCUGUACGGAACGUUAGACGAGGAGAUUUAUAUGGCACAGCCAGAAGGUUUCGUUGAGGAGGGAAAAGAAGAUCAAGUUUGUCUCCUGUUGAAAUCACUUUACGGAUUAAAACAAUCACCAAGACAGUGGAAUAGGAGAUUUGAUAGUUUCAUGAAGCAACAAGGCUUCGAAAGAAGUGCAUAUGAUCCUUGUGUCUACAUGAAAGGUUCAGACUUAUCUCAUAUGGUUUAUCUCUUGAUCUAUGUUGAUGACAUGCUCAUAGCAUCUAAGGAUUCUAAAGAAAUUAAAAGAAUCAAAGAUAGCUUGAAGAGAGAGUUUGAGAUGAAGGACCUUGGAGCAGCUUCAAGAAUACUUGGAAUGGAUAUUAUUAGAGACAGGAAGAAAGGAACUCUAAAACUAUCGCAAGAGAAGUAUCUACAGAAGGUGCUGGAAACUUUUAACAUGGCAGAGAGCAAAGCUGUGGUUACUCCUAUCGGACCACAAUUCAAGCUUAAAAGUUUGACACAAAAAGAAGAGCACGAGGAAGCAAGGUUCAUGAAUGUGAUUCCAUACGCAUCAGCCGUUGGAAGUUUAAUGUAUGCAAUGGUAGGAUCUAGACCAGACUUAUGUUUCGCAGUGGGCUUAAUCAGCCGUUAUAUGAGCAAGCCAGGAAGAAUACACUGGGAAGCUGUUAAGUGGGUGAUGAGAUAUCUUAAAGGAGCUCUAGAUUCGGAUCUAUUGUUUACUAAAGGAGAAGAUUUCAAAGUACGAGGAUUCUGUGACGCAGACUACGCAACCGAUUUGGACAGAAGAAGAUCCGUGACAGGAUAUGUGUUUCAAGUCGGAGGCAACACAAUAAGCUGGAGAUCAGGUCUCCAACAUAUUGUCGCACUAUCAACGACAGAAUCAGAAUACAUGGCAUUAGCCGAAGCUUUUAAAGAAGCAUUAUGGCUUAAGGGGUUUGUUAGUGAAUUGGGAUUCAAGCAAGAUGAUGUGAGAGUGUUUUCAGAUUCACAGAGUGCUAUACACUUAGCUAAGAAUGGAGGAUUCCAUGAAAGGACUAAGCAUAUAGAUACUAGACUACACUUUAUGAGAGACGUAAUUGAGGCUGGCGACGUUACGGUUCACAAGAUUCACACAUCUAUCAACCCUGCAGAUUUUCUAACUAAGUGUGUACCUGGACAGAAGUUCGAGACAUGCUUGGAGAUCCUCAAGGUUCUGCCUUAGAAGGUCUCGCGUGGCUGCAGGUGACAAUGCUGUCGAGUUGAUCACCUCGCGGAAAAGCCACAAAAGAAAAUAUCAGCUUCAGGAAAAGUAAACUGAUGGUUCAACAGGGUUAGUAAAAAGCUCAGGAAGAAGAUGAAUUUGAGUGUAGAAGAUUACCUUUGAAAAAUGACAG
rnacentral:lncRNA from 1 species